UGACUUCUAAUUUUUAGGUCCGUAUGAUUUGAAAUGUGUGCACACAAACCCCGAGAAAGCAUUCCUGGAAAUCUCGGCCCAAAAAAGGACGUUUAGUAAUUCUAAAAGGGACUACAGGAUGAAAAACAAUAGUUUUGGCAGUUAAAGUUUGAGAUUCGAUAAUGCCGUAGAUCCGUUUGGUCAUCAGGUGUAACGAGCCACACCCAUGUCUGGUUAGAGUAGUGUGCUAGGCUCAGACUAGAUAAGAAACGGGGAACAAACUGAUGAAAGAAUGAUCAUACCGAGCGAAUUCACUCAGAACUAACAAGAAUGAUAACAUGCUCCGACUGGAGCGGUUUAGGAACUGCUGGAAGGCUCUAGGGGAAUAAAGAUGGAAUGACUUCUAAUUUUUAGGUCCGUAUGAUUUGAAAUACUUGCACACAAACCACGCGAAAGCGUUCCUGGAAAUCUCAGCCCAAAAAAGGACGUUUAGUAAUUCUAAAAGGGACUACAGGAUGAAAAACAAUAGUUUUGGCAGUUAAAGUUUGAGAUUCGACAGUGCCGUAGAUCCGUUUGGUCAUCAGGUAUUACGAGCCACACCCAUGUCUAGCUAGAAUAGUGUGCUAGGCUCAGGCUAGAGAAGAAACGGGGAACAAACUGAUGAAAGAAUGAUCAAACCGAGGGAAUUCACUCAGAACUAACAAUAAUGAUAACGUGCUCCGACUGGUGCGGUUUAGGAACUGCUGGAAGGCUCUAGGGGAAUAAAGAUGGAAUGACUUCUAAUUUUUAGGUCCGUAUGAUUUGAAAUACUUGCACACAAACCGCGCGAAAGCGUUCCUGGAAAUCUCAGCCCAAAAAAGGACGUUUAGUAAUUUUAAAAGGGACUAUAGGAUGAAAAACAAUAGUUUUGGCAAUUAAAGUUUGAGAUUCGACGGUGUCGUAGAUCCGUUUGGUCAUCAGGUGUUACGAGCCACACCCAUGUCUAGCUAGAAUAGUAUGUCAGGCUCAGGUUAGAGUAGAAACGGGGAACAAACUGAUGAAAGAAUGAUCAUACCAAGGGAAUUCACUCAGAACUAUCAAGAAUGAUAACGUGCUCCGACUGGAGUGAUUUAGGAACUGCUGGAAGGCUCUAGGGGAAUAAAGAUGGAAUGACUUCUAAUUUUUACGUCCGUAUGAUUUGAAAUACUUGCACACAAAUCACGCAAAAGCGUUCCUGGAAAUCUCAGCCUAAAAAAGGACGUUUAGUAAUUCUAAAAGGGACUACAGGAUGAAAAACAAUAGUUUGGGCAGUUAAAAUUUGAGAUUCGACGGUGCCGUAGAUCCGUUUGGUCAUCAGGUGUUACGAGCGACACCCUUGUCUAGCUAGAAUAGUGUGUUAGGCUCAGACUAGAGAAGAAACGGGGAACAAAGUGAUGAAAGAAUGAUCAUACCGAGGGAAUUCACUCAGAACUAACAAGAAUGAUAACGUGCUCCGACUGGAGCGGUUUAGUAACUGCUGGAAGGCUCUAGGGGAAUGAAGAUGGAAUGACUUCUAAUUUUUAGGUCCGUAUGAUUUGAAAUACAUGCACACAAACCCUGAGAAAGCGUUCCUGGAAAUCUCGGUCGAAAAAAGGAUGUUUAAUAAUUCUAAAAGGGACUACCGGAUGAAAAACAAUAGUUUUGGCAGUUAAAGUUUGUGAUUCGAUGGUGCCGUAGAUCUGUUUGGUCAUCAGGUGUUACGAGCCACACCCAUGUCUAUCUAGAAUAGUGUGUUAGGCUCAGGCUAGAGCAGAAACGGGGAACAGACUUAUGAAAGAAUGAUCAUACCGAGGGAAUUCACUCAGAACUAACAAGAAUGAUAACGUGCUCCGACUGGCGCGGUUUAGGAACUGCUGGAAGGCUCUAGGGGAAUAAAGAUGGAAAGACUUCUAAUUUUUAGGUCCGUAUGAUUUGAAAUACUUGCACACAAACCGCACGAAAGCGUUCCUGGAAAUCUCAGCCUAAAAAGGAUGUUUAGUAAUUCUAAAAGGGACUACAAGAUGAAAAAUAAUAGUUUGGGCAGUUAAAAUUUGAGAUUCGACGAUGCCGUAGAUCCGUUUGGUCAUCAGGUGUUAUGAGCCACACCCAUGUCUAGCUAGAAUAGUGUGUUAGGCUCAGGCUAGAGAAGAAACGGGGAACAAACUGAUGAAAGAAUGAUCAUACCGAGGGAAUUCACUCAGAACUAACAAGAAUGAUAACGUGCUCCGACUGGAGCAGUUUAGAAACUGCUGGAAGGCUCUAAUGGAAUAAAGAUGGAAUGCCUUCAAAUUUCUAGGUCCGUAUGAUUUGAAAUACUUGCACACAAACCGCUCGAAAGCGUUCCUGGAAAUCUCAGCCCAAAAAAGGACGUUUAGUAAUUCUAAAAGGGACUACAGGAUGAAAAACAAUAGUUUUGGCAGUUAAAGUUUGAGAUUCGAUGGUGCCGUAGAUCCGUUUGGUCAUCAGGUGUAACGAGCCACACACAUGUCUAGCUAGAGUAGUGUGCUAGGCUCAGACUAGAGAAGAAACGGGGAACAAAGUGAUGAAAGAAUGAUCAUACCGAGGGAAUUCACUCAGAACUUACAAGAAUGAUAACGUGCUCCGACUGGAGCGCUUUAGUAACUGCUGGAAGGCUCUAGGCGAAUAAAGAUGGAAUGACUUCUAAUUUUUAGGUCCGUAUGAUUUGAAAUACUUGCACACAAACCACGCAAAACCGUUCCUAGAAAUCUCGGUCGAAAAAAGGACGUUUAGUAAUUCUAAAAGGGACUACAGGAUGAAAAACAAUAGUUUUGGCAGUUAAAGUUUGAGAUUCGAUGGUGCCGUAGAUCCGUUUGGUCAUCAGGUGUUACGAGCCACACCCAUGUCUAGCUAGAGUAGUGUGCUAGGUUCAGACUAGAGAAGAAACGGGGAACAAAGUGAUUAAAGAAUGAUCAUACCGAGGGAAUUCACUCAGAACUAACAAGAAUGAUAACGUGCUCCGACUGGAGCGGUUUAGGAACUGCUGGAAGGCUCUAGGGGAAUAAAGAUGGAAUGACUUCUAAUUUUUACGUCCGUAUGAUUUGAAAUACAUGCACACAAACCACGCAAAAGCGUUCCUGGAAAUCUCAGCCUAAAAAAGGACGUUUAGUAAUUCUAAAAGGGACUACAGGAUGAAAAAUAAUAGUUUGGGCAGUUAAAAUUUGAGAUUCGACGCUGCCGUAGAUCCGUUUGGUCAUCAGGUCUUACGAGCCACACCCAUGUCUAGCUAGAAUAGUGUGUUAGGCUCAGGCUAGAGAAGAAACGGGGAACAAACUGAUGAAAGAAUGAUCAUACCGAGGGAAUUCACUCAGAACUAACAAGAAUGAUAACGUGCUCCGACUGGAGCAGUUUAGAAACUCCUGGAAGGCUCUAGGGGAAUAAAGAUGGAAUGACUUCAAAGUUUUAGGUCCGUAUGAUUUGAAAUACUUGCACACAAACCGCGUGAAAGCGUUCCUGGAAAUCUCAACCCAAAAAAGGGCGUUUAGUAAUUCUAAAAGGGACUACAGGAUGUAAAACAAUAGUUUUGGCAGUUAAAGUUUGAGAUUCGAUGGUGCCGUAGAUCCGUUUGGUCAUCAGGUGUAACGAGCCACACCCAUGUCUAGCUAGAGUAGUGUGCUAGGCUCAGACUAGAGAAGAAACGGGGAACAAAGUGAUGAAAGAAUGAUCAUACCGAGGGAAUUCACUCAUAACUAACAAGAAUGAUAACGUGCUCUGACUUGAGCGGUUUAGGAACUGCUGGAAGGCUAUAGGGGAAUAAAGAUGGAAUGACUUCAAAUUUUUAGGUCCGUAUGAUCUGAAAUACUUGCACACAAACCGCGAGAAAGCGUUCCUGGAAAUCUCAACCCAAAAAAGGACGUUUAGUAAUUCUAAAAGGGACUACAGGAUGAAAAACAAUAGUUCUGGCAGUUAUUGUUUGAGAUUCGAUAAUCUCGUAGAUCCGUUUGGUCAUCAGGUGUAACGAGCCACACCCAUGUCUAGCUAGAGUAGUGUGCUAGGCUCAGACUAGAGAAGAAACGGGGAACAAACUGAUGAAAGAAUGAUCAUACCGAGGGAAUUCACUUAGAACUAACAAGAAUGAUAACGUGCUCCGACUGGAGCGGUUUAGGAACUGCUGGAAGGCUCUAGGGGAAUAAAGAAGGAACGACUUCUAAUUUUUAGGUCCGUAUGAUUUGAAAUAUGUGCACACAAACCACGAGAAAGCGUUCCUAGAAAUCUCGGCCCAAAAGAGGACGUUUAGUAUUCUAAAAGGGACUACAGAAUGAAAAACAAUAGUUUUGGCAGUUAAAGUUUGAGAUUUGACGGUGCCGUAGAUCUGUUUGGUCAUCAGGGGUUACGAGCCACACCCAUGUCUAGCUAGAAUAGUGUGUUAGGCUCAGGCUAGAAAAGAAACGGGGAACAAAGUGAUGAAAGAAUGAUCAUACCGAGGGAAUUCACUCAGAACUAACAAGAAUGAUAACAUGCUCCGACUGGAGCGGUUUAGGAACUGCUGGAAGGCUCUAGGGGAAUAAAGAUGGAAUGACUUCUAAUUUUUAGGUCCGUAUGAUUUGAAAUACUUGCACACAAACCGCGCGAAAGCGUUCCUGGAAAUCUCAGCCCAAAAAAGGACGUUUAGUAAUUCUAAAAGGGACUACAGGAUGAAAAACAAUAGUUUUGGCAGUUAAAGUAUGAGAUUCAACGGUGCCGUAGAUCCGUUUGGUCAUUAGGUGUUACGAGCCACACCCAUGUCUAGCUAGAAUAGUGUGCUAGGCUCAGGCUAGAGAAGAAACGGGGAACAAACUGAUGAAAGAAUGAUCAAACCGAGGGAAUUCACUCAGAACUAACAAUAAUGAUAACGUGCUCCGACUGGAGCGGUUUAGGAACUGCUGGAAGUCUCUAGGGGAAUAAAGAUGGAAUGACUUCUAAUUUUUACGUUCGUAUGAUUUGAAAAACUUGCCCAUAAACCGCGCGAAAGUGUUCCUGGAAAUCUCAGCCCAAAAAAGGACGUUUAGUAAUUUUAAAAGGGACUACACGAUGAAAAACAAUAGUUUUGGCAGGUAAAGUUUGAGAUUCGACAGUGCCGUAGAUCCGUUUGGUCAUCAGGUGUUACGAGCCACACCCAUGUCUAGCUAGAAUAGUAUGUUACGCUCAGGUUAGAGAAGAAACGGGGAACAAACUGAUGAAAGAUGAUCAUACCAAGGGAAUUCACUCAGAACUAACAAGAAUGAUAACGUGCUCCGACUGGAGCGGUUUAGGAACUGCUGGAAGGCUCUAGGGGAAUAAAGAUGGAAUGACUUCUAAUUUUUACGUCUGUAUGAUUUGAAAUACUUGCACACAAACAACGCAAAAGCAUUCCUGGAAAUCUCAUCCUAAAAAAGGACGUUUAGUAAUUCUAAAAGGGACUACAGGAUGAAAAAUAAUAGUUUGGGAAGUUAAAAUUUGAGAUUCGAUAGUGCCGUAGAUCCGUUUGGUCAUCAGGUGUUAGGAGCCACACCCAUGUCUAGCUAGAAUAGUGUGUUAGGCUCAGGCUAGAGAAGAAACAGGGAACAAACUGAUGAAAGAAUGAUCAUACCGAGGGAAUUCACUCAGAACUAGCAAGAAUGAUAACGUGCUCCGACUGGAGCAGUUUUGAAACUGCUGGAAGGCUCUAGGGGAAUAAUGAUGGAAUGACUUCUAAGUUUUUGGUCCGUAUGAUUUGAAAUACGUGCACACAAACCCAGAGAAAGUGUUCUUGGAAAUCUCGGCCGAAAAAAGGAUGUUUAAUAAUUCUAAAAGGGACUACAGGAUGAAAAACAAUAGUUUUGGCAGUUAAAGUUUGUGAUUCGAUGGUGCUGUAGAUCUGUUUGGUCAUCAGGUGUUAUGAGCCACACCCAUGUCUAGCUAGAACAGUGUGUUAGGCUCAGGCUAGAGCAGAAACGGGGAACAAACUUAUGAAAGAAUGAUCAUACCGAGGGAAUUCACUCAGAACUAACAAGAAUGAUAACGUGCUCCGACUGGAGAGGUUUAGGAACUGCUGGAAGGCUCUAGGGGAAUAAAGAUGGAAUGACUUCAAAUUUUUAGGUCUGUAUGAUCUGAAAUACUUGCACACAAACCGCGAGAAAGCGUUCCUGGAAAUCUCAGCCCAAAAAAGGACGUUUAGUGAUUCUAAAAGGGACUACGGGAUAAAAAACAAUAGUUUUGGCAGUUAAAGUUUGAGAUUCGAUAAUGCCGUAGAUCCGUUUGGUCAUCAGGUGUAACGAGCCACACCCAUGUCUAGCUAGAGUAGUGUGCUAGGCUCAUACUAGAGAAGAAAUGGGGAACAAACUGAUGAAAGAAUGAUCAUACCGAGGGAGUUCACUCAAAACUAACAUGAAUGAUAACGUGCUCCGACUGGAGCGGUUUAGGAACUGCUGGAAGGCUCUAGGGGAAUAAAGAUGGAAUGACUUCUAAUUUUUAGGUCCGUAUGAUUUGAAAUACAUGCACACAAACCCCAAGAAAGCGUUCCUGGAAAUCUCGCCCCGAAAAACGACGUUUAGUAAUUCUAAAAGGGACUAUAGGAUGAAAAACAAUAGUUUUGGCAGUUAAAGUUUGAGAUUUGACGGUGCCGUAGAUCUGUUUGGUCAUCAGGUGUUACGAGCCACACCCAUUUCUAGCUAGAAUAGUGUGUUAGGCUCAGGCUAGAAAAGAAACGGGGAACAAAGUGAUGAAAGAAUGAUCAUACCGAGGGAAUUCACUCAGAACUAACAAGAAUGAUAACAUGGUCCGACUGGAGCGGUUUAGGAACUGCUGGAAGGCUCUAGGGGAAUAAAGAUGGAAUGACUUCUAACUUUUAGGUCCGUAUGAUUUGAAUUACUUGCACACAAACCGCGCGAAAGCGUUCCUGGAAAUCUCAGCCCAAAAAAGGACGUUUAGUAAUUCUAAAAGGGACUACAGGAUGAAAAACAAUAGUUUUGGCAGUUAAAGUUUGAGAUUCGACGGUGCCGUAGAUCCGUUUGGUCAGCAGGUGUUACGAGCCACACCCAUGUCUAGCUAGAGUAGUGUGCUAGGUUCAGACUAGAGAAGAAAUGUUGGGGAACGUAGCAGAAAUUCAAAAUUUUCCUACGUGUCACCAAGAUCUAUCUAUGGAGAGACUAGCAACGAGGGAAGGAGAGUGCAUCUACAUACCCUUGUAGAUCGCUAAGCGGAAGCGUUCAAGUGAACGGGGUUGAUGGAGUCGUACUCGUCGUGAUUCAGCUCACCGAUGAUCCUAGUGCCGAACGGACGGCACCUCCGCGUUCAACACACGUACAGCUCGACGAUGUCUCCCACGCCUUGAUCCAGCAAGGAGAGAGGGAGAGGUUGAGGAAGACUCCAUCCAGCAGAAGCACAACGGCGUGGUGGUGAUGGAGGAGCAUGGCAAUCCUGCAGGGCUUCGCCAAGCACCUAUGGGAGAGGAGGAGGUGUCACGGGAGGGAGGGAGGCGCCAAGGGCUCAGGUAUAGAUGCCCUCCCUCCCCUCCACUAUAUAUAGGGGCAAGGGAGAGGGGGGAGGCGCAGCCUUGCCCCUUCCUCCAAGGAAGGGGUGCGGCUAAGAGGGGGGGAGGAGUCCAUCCUCCCCAAGGCACCUCGGAGGUGCCUUCCCCCUUUAGGACUCUCCCCUUUUUCCUAUAUCUUGGCGCAUGGGCCUCUAGGGGCUGGUUCCCUUGGCCCAUGUAGGCCCAGGCGCACCCCCUACAGCCCAUGUGGCCCCCCGGGGCAGGUGGCCCCACCUGGUGGGCCCCCGGGACCCUUCCGGUGGUCCCGGUACAAUACCGAUGACCCCGAAACUUGUCCCGAUGGCCGAAACAGGACUUCCUAUAUAUAAAUCUUUACCUCCGGACAAUUCCGGAACUCCUCGUGACGUCCGGGAUCUCAUCCGGGACUCCGAACAACAUUCGGUAACCACAUACAAACUUCCUUUAUAACCCUAGCGUCAUCGAACCUUAAGUGUGUAGACCCUACGGGUUCGGGAGACAUGUAGUCAUGACCGAGAUGUUCUCCGGUCAAUAACCAACAGCGGGAUCUGGAUACCCAUGUUGGCUCCCACAUGUUCCACGAUGAUCUCAUCGGAUGAACCACGAUGUCAAGGACUCAAUCAAUCCCGUAUACAAUUCCCUUUGUCUAGCGGUAUGGUACUUGCCCGAGAUUCGAUCGUCGGUAUACCGAUACCUUGUUCAAUCUCGUUACCGGCAAGUCUCUUUACUCAUUUCGUAACACAUCAUCCCGUGAUCAACCCCUUGGUCACAUUGUGCACAUUAUGAUGAUGUCCUACCGAGUGGGCCCAGAGAUACCUCUCCGUUUACACGGAGUGACAAAAUCCCAAUCUCGAUUCGUGCCAACCCAACAGACACUUUCAGAGAUACCCGUAGUGUACCUUUACAGCCACCCAGUUACGUUGUGACGUUUGGCACACCCAAAGCACUCCUACAGUAUCCGGGAGUUGCACAAUCUCAUGGUCUAAGGAAAUGAUACUUGACAUUAGAAAAGCUUUAGCAUACGAACUACAUGAUCUUGUGCUAGGCUUAGGAUUGGGUCUUGUCCAUCACAUCAUUCUCCUAAUGAUGUGAUCCCGUUAUCAACGACAUCCAAUGUCCAUGGUCAGGAAACCGUAACCAUCUAUUGAUUAACGAGCUAGUCAACUAGAGGCUUACUAGGGACAUGGUGUUGUCUAUGUAUCCACACAUGUAUCUAAGUUUCCUAUCAAUACAAUUCUAGCAUGGAUAAUAAACGAUUAUCAUGAACAAGGAAAUAUAAUAAUAAUCAAUUUAUUAUUGCCUCUAGGGCAUAUUUCCAACAGUCUCCCACUUGCACUAGAGUCAAUAAUCUAGUUCACAUCGAUAUGUGAUUAACACUCAAGGUCACAUUCCCAUGUGACUAACACCCAAGAGUUUACUAGAGUCAAUAAUCUAGUUCACAUUUACCAUGUGAUUAACACUUGAUGAGUUCUGGGUUUGAUCAUGUUAUGCUUGUGAGAGAGGUUAUAGUCAACGGGUCUGAACCUUUCAGAUCCGUGUGUGCUUUACAAAUCUCUAUGUCAUCUCCUAGAUGCAGCUACCACGUUCUAUUUGGAGCUAUUCCAAAUAACUGUUCUACUUGGAGCUAUUCUAAAUUGUUGCUCCAUUAUACGUAUCCGGUAUCUCUACUCAGAGCUAUCCGGAUAGGUGUUAAGCUUGCAUCGACGUAACCCUUUACGACGAACUCUUUUACCACCUCCAUAAUUGAGAAAAUUCCUUAGUCCACUAGUUACUAAGGAUAACUUUGACCGCUGUCCUGUGAUCCAUUCUUGGAUCACUCUUGUACCCCUUGACUGACUCAUGGUAAAGCACACUUCAGGUGCGGUACACAGCAUAGCAUACUGUAGAGCCUAUGUCUUAAGCAUAGGGGACGACCUUCGUUCCUUUCUCUCUAUUCUGCCAUGGUCGAGCUUUAAGUCUUAACUUCAUACCUUACAACUCAGGCAAGAACUCCUUCUUUGACUGAUCCAUCUUGAACACCUUCAAGAUCACGUCAAGGCAUGUGCUCACGUCAAGAUCACGUCGGUAUACCGAUACCUUGUUCAAUCUCGUUACCGGCAAGUCUCUUUACUCGUUCCGUAACACAUCAUCCCGUGAUCAACCCCUUGGUCACAUUGUGCACAUUAUGAUGAUGUCCUACCGAGUGGGCCCAGAGAUACCUCUCCGUUUACACGGAGUGACAAAAUCCCAAUCUCGAUUCGUGCCAACCCAACAGACACUUUCAGAGAUACCCGUAGUGUACCUUUAUAGCCACCCAGUUACGUUGUGACGUUUGGCACACCCAAAGCACUCCUACGGUAUCCGGGAGUUGCACAAUCUCAUGGUCUAAGGAAAUGAUACUUGACAUUAGAAAAGCUUUAGCAUACGAACUACAUGAUCUUGUGCUAGGCUUAGGAUUGGGUCUUGUCCAUCACAUCAUUCUCCUAAUGAUGUGAUCCCGUUAUCAACGACAUCCAAUGUCCAUGGUCAGGAAACCGUAACCAUCUAUUGAUUAACGAGCCAGUCAACUAGAGGCUUACUAGGGACAUGGUGUUGUCUAUGUAUCCACACAUGUAUCUGAGUUUCCUAUCAAUACAAUUCUAGCAUGGAUAAUAAACGAUUAUCAUGAACAAGGAAAUAUAAUAAUAAUCAAUUUAUUAUUGCCUCUAGGGCAUAUUUCCAACAGUCUCCCACUUGCACUAGAGUCAAUAAUCUAGUUCACAUCACCAUGUGAUUAACACUGACAGGUCACAUCACCAUGUGACCAACAUCCAAAGAGUCUUGGGUUUGAUCAUGUUGCUUGUGAGAGAGGUUAUAGUCAACGGGUCUGAACCUUUCAGAUCCGUGUGUGCUUUACAAAUCUCUAUGUCAUCUCCUAGAUGCAGCUACCACGUUCUAUUUGGAGCUAUUCCAAAUAACUGUUCUACUUGGAGCUAUUCUAAAUUGUUGCUCCAUUAUACGUAUCCGGUAUCUCUACUCAGAGCUAUCCGGAUAGGUGUUAAGCUUGCAUCGACGUAACCCUUUACGACGAACUCUUUUACCACCUCCAUAAUUGAGAAAAUUCCUUAGUCCACUAGUUACUAAGGAUAACUUUGACCGCUGUCCUGCGAUCCAUUCUUGGAUCACCCUUGUACCCCUUGACUGACUCAUGGUAAAGCACACUUCAGGUGCGGUACACAGCAUAGCAUACUGUAGAGCCUAUGUCUUAAGCAUAGGGGAUGACCUUCGUUCCUUUCUCUCUAUUCUGCCAUGGUCGAGCUUUAAGUCUUAACUUCAUACCUUACAACUCAGGCAAGAACUCCUUCUUUGACUGGUCCAUCUUGAACACCUUCAAGAUCAUGUCAAGGUAUGUGCUCAUUUGAAAGUACUAUUAAGCGUUUUGAUCUAUCCUUAUAGAUCUUGAUGCUCAAUGUUCAAGUAGCUUAAUCCAGGUUUUCCAUUGAAAACACUUUCCAAAUAACCCUAUAUGCUUUCCAGAAAUUCUACGUCAUUUCUGAUCAUUAAUAUGUCAACAACAUAUAAUCAUCAGAAAUUCUAUAGUGCUCCCACUCACUUCUUUGGAAAUACAAGUUUCUCAUAAACUUUGUAUACACCCAAAAUCUUUGAUCAUCAUCAAAGCAUACAUUCCAACUCCGAGAUGCUCACUCCAGUCCUCAGAAGGAUUGCUGGAGCUUUGCAUACUUAUUAGCAUAUUUCAGGAUAGACAAAACCUUCCAGUUGUAUCACAUACAACCUUUCCUCAAGAAUCGUCGACGAAACAAUGUUUUGACAUCCUAUCUGCAAGAUUUCAUAAAUAAUGCAGUAAUUGUUAAUAUAAUUCCAACAGACUCUUAGCAUCGCUACGAGUGAGAAAGUCUCAUUGUAGUCAACUCCUUGAACUUGUCAAAAAACAUCUUAACGACAAGUCGAGCUUUCUCAAUGGUGACACUUACCAUCAUUGUCUGUCUUCCUUUCAAAAUCCAUAUGUACCUAACAGCCUUACGACCAUCAAGUAGUUCUUCCAAAGUCUACACUUUGUUUUCAUACAUGGAUCCUCUCUCGGGUUUUAUGGCCAUGAGCCAUUUAUCGGAAUCCGGGCCCACCAUUGCUUCUCCAUAGCUCGUAGGUUCAUUGUUGUCUAGCAACAUGACUUCCAAGACAGGAUUACUGUACCACUCUGAAGUAGUACGUAUCCUUGUCACCCUACGAGGUUUGGGAGUGACUUGAUCUGAAGUUUCAUGAUCACUAUCAUAAGCUUCUACUUCAAUUGGUGUAGGUGCCACAGGAACAACUUCCUGUGCCCUGCUACACACUGGUUGAAGUGAUGGUUCAAUAACCUCAUCAAGUCUCCACCAUCCUCCCACUCAAUUCUUUCGAGAGAAACCUUUCCUCGAGAAAGGACCCAAUUCUAGAAACAAUUCAUAUUGCUUUCGGAUCUGAAUUAGGAAGUAUACCCAACUGUUUUGGGUGUCCUAUGAAGAUGUACUUUAUCCGCUUUGGUUUCGAGCUUAAUCCUGAAACUUUUUCACAUAAGUGUCGCAGCCCCAAACCUUUAAGAAACGACAACUUAGGUUUCUCUAAACCAUAAUUCAUACGGUGUCAUCUCAUCGGAAUUACGUGGUGCCCUAUUUAAAGUGAAUGUGGUUGUCUUUAAUGCCUAACCCAUAAACUAUCGUGGCAGUUCGAUAAGAGACAUCAUGGUAUGCAUCAUAUCCAAUAGGGUGCAACUAUGAUGUUCGGACACACCAUCACACUAUGGUGUUCCAGGCGGUAUUAAUUGUGAAACAAUUUCCACAAUGUCUUAAUUGUGUGCCAAAACUCGUAACUCAGAUACUCAUCUCUAUGAUCAUAUCAUAGACAUUUUAUCCUCUUGUCACAAUGAUCUUCUACUUCACUCUGAAAUUACUUGAACCAUUCAACAAUUCAGACUUGUGUUUCAUCAAGUAAAUAUUCUCAACAUCUACUCGAAUCAUCUGUGAAGUAAGAACAUAACGAUAUUCACUGCAUGCCUCAGCACUCAUUGGACUGCACACAUCAAAAUGUGUUACUUCCAACAAGUUGCUAUCUUGUUCCAUCUUACUGAAAACGAGGCUUUUCAGUCAUCUUGCCCAUGUGGUAUGAUUUGCAUGUCCCAAGUGAUUCAAAAAUCAAGUGAGUCAAAACGGUCCAUUUGCAUGGAGUUUCUUCAUGCAUAUACACCAAUAGACAUGGUUCGCAUGUCUCAAACUUUUCAAAAACGAGUGAGCCCAAAGAUCCAUCAAUAUGGAGCUUCUUCAUGCGUUUUAUACCGAUAUGACUUACGUGGUAGUGCCACAAGUAGGUGGUACUAUCAUUACUAUCUUUUGGCAUGAACAUGUGUAUCACUACGAUCGAGAUUUAAUAAACCAUUCAUUUUAGGUGUAAGACCAUUGAAGGUAUUAUUCAAAUAAACAGAGUAACCAUUAUUCUCCUUAAAUGAAUAACCGUAUUGCGAUAGACGUAAUCCAAUCAUGUCUAUGCUCAACGCAAACACCAAAUAACAAUUAUUUAGGUUUAACACCAAUCUCUUUGGUAGAGGGAGCGUGCGAUGCUUGAUCAUAUCAAGCAUGGAAAAACUUACAACACAUAUCGUCAGCUCACCUUUAGCUAGUCUCUGUUUAUUCCGUAGCCUUUUGUUUCGAGUUACUAACACUUAGCAACCGAACUGGUAUCUAAUACCCUGGUGCUACUAGGAGUACUAGCAAAGUACACAUUAACACAAUGUAUAUCCAAUAUACUUCUAUCGACCUUGCCAGCCUUCUUAUCUACCAAGUAUCUAGGGUAAUUCUGCUCUAGUAGUUGUUCCCCUUAUUACAGAAGCACUUAGUCUCGGGUUUGGGUUUUACCUUGGGUUUCUUCACUAGAGCAGCAGCUGAUUUGCCGUUUCAUGAAGUAUCCCUUCUUGCCCUUGCCCUUCUUGAAACUAGUGGUUCCACCAACCAUCAACAAUUGAUGCUCCUUCUUGAUUUCUACUUUCGCGGUGUCAAACAUCGCGAAUACCUCAAGGAUCAUCAUAUCUAUCCCUGAUAUGUUAUAGUUCAUCAUGAAGCUCUAACAGCUUGGUGGCAAUGACUUUGGAGAACCAUCACUAUCUCAUCUGGAAGAUCAACUCCCACUCGAUUCAAGCGAUUGUUGUACUCAGACAAUCUGAGCACAAGCUCAACGAUUGAGCUUUUCUCCCUUAGUUUGCAGGUUAAGAAAGUCAUCGGAGGUCUUAUACCUCUUGACAUGGGCACGAGCCUGAAAUCCCAAUUUCAGCCCUCAAAACAUCUCAUAUGUUUCGCGAUGUUUCAAAAACGUCUUUGGUGCCUCAACUCUAAACCGUUUAACUGAACUAUCACGUAGUUAUCAAAACGUGUAUGUCAGAUGUUCGCAACAACCACAGACAACGUUCGAGGUUCAGCACACUGAGCGGUGCAUUAAGGACAUAAGCCUUCUAUGAAGCAAUGAGGACAAUCCUCAGUUUACGGACCUAGUCCGCAUAAUUGCUACUAUCAACUUUCAACUAAUUUUUCUCUAGGAACAUAUCUAAACAGUAGAACUAUAGCGUGAGCUACGACAUAAUUUGCAAAAACCUUUUGACUAUGUUCAGGAUAAUUAAGUUCAUCUUAUGAACUCCCACUCAGAUAGACAUCCCUCUAGUCAUCUAAGUGAUUACAUGAUCCGAGUCAAACUAGGCCGUGUCCGAUCAUCACGUGAGACGGACUAGUCAUCAUCGGUGAACAUCUUCAUGUUGAUCGUAUCUUCUAUACGACUCAUGUUCGACCUUUCGGUCUUCGUGUUCCGAGGCCAUGUAUGUACAUGCUAGGCUCGUCAAGUUAACCCUAAGUGUUUCGCGUGUGUAAAUCUGUCUUACACCCGUUGUAUGUGAACGUUAGAAUCUAACACCCGAUCAUCACGUGGUGCUUCGAAACACGAACUGUCGCAACGGUGCACAGUUAGGGGAGAACACUUCUUGAAAUUGUUGUAAGGGAUCAUCUUAUUUACUACCGUCGUUCUAAGCAAAUAAGAUGUAUAAACAUGAUAAACAUCACAUGCAAUCAAAUAGUGACAUGAUAUGGCCAUCAUCACUUUGCUCCUUUUGAUCUCCAUCUUCGGGGCUCCAUGAUCAUCAUCGUCACCGGCAUGACACCAUGAUCUCCAUCAUCAUGAUCUCCAUCAUCGUGUCUUCAUGAAGUUGCCUCGCCAACUAUUACUUCUACUACUAUGGCUAACGGUUAGCAAUAAAGUAAAGUAAUUACAUGACGUUUAAGUUGACACGCAGGUCACAAAUGAAUAAAGACAACUCCUAUGGCUCCUGCCGGUUGUCAUACUCAUCGACAUGCAAGUCGUGAUUCCUAUUACAAGAACAUGAUCAAUCUCAUACAUCACAUAUAUCAUUCAUCACAUCCUUUUUGGCCAUAUCACAUCACAUAGCAUACCCUGCAAAAACAAGUUAGACGUCCUCUAAUUGUUGUUUGCAUGUUUUACGUGGCUGCUAUGGGUUUCUAGCAAGAACGUUUCUUACCUACGCAUGAACAACAACGUGAUAUGCCAAUUGCUAUUUACCCUUCAUAAGGACCCUUUUCAUCGAAUCCGAUCCGACUAAAGUGGGAGAGACAGACACCCGCCAGCCACCUUAUGCAACUAGUGCAUGUUUGUCGGUGGAACCGGUCUCACGUAAGCGUACGUGUAAGGUUGGUCCGGGCCGCUUCAUCCCACGAUGCCGCCGAAUCAAGAUAAGACUAGUAACGGCAAGCAUAUUGAACAAUAUCAACGCCCACAACUACUUUGUGUUCUACUCGUGCAAAGAAUCUACGCAAUAGACCUAGCUCAUGAUGCCACUGUUGGGGAACGUAGCAGAAAUUCAAAAUUUUCCUACGUGUCACCAAGAUCUAUCUAUGGAGAUACUAGCAACGAGGGAAGGAGAGUGCAUCUACAUACCCUUGUAGAUCGCUAAGCGGAAGCGUUCAAGUGAACGGGGUUGAUGGAGUCGUACUCGUCGUGAUUCAGAUCACCGAUGAUCCUAGUGCCGAACGGACGGCACCUCCGCGUUCAACACACGUACAGCUCGACGAUGUCUCCCACGCCUUGAUCCAGCAAGGAGAGAGGGAGAGGUUGAGGAAGACUCCAUCCAGCAGCAGCACAACGGCGUGGUGGUGAUGGAGGAGCGUGGCAAUCCUGCAGGGCUUCGCCAAGCACCUACGGGAGAGGAGGAGGUGUCACGGGAGGGAGGGAGGCGCCAAGGGCUCAGGUAUAGAUGCCCUCCCUCCCCUCCACUAUAUAUAGGGGCAAGGGAGAGGGGGAGGCGCAUCCUUGCCCCUUCCUCCAAGGAAGGGGUGCGGCUAAGAGGGGGGGAGGAGUCCAUCCUCCCCAAGGCACCUCGGAGGUGCCUUCCCCCUUUAGGACUCUCCCCUUUUUCCUAUAUCUUGGCGCAUGGGCCUCUAGGGGCUGGUGCCCUUGGCCCAUGUAGGCCAAGGCGCACCCCCCUACAGCCCAUGUGGCCCCCCGGGGCAGGUGGCCCCACCCGGUGGGCCCCCGGGACCCUUCCGGUGGUCCCGGUACAAUACCGAUGACCCCGAAACUUGUCCCGAUGGCCGAAACAGGACUUCCUAUAUAUAAAUCUUUACCUCCGGACCAUUCCGGAACUCCUCGUGACGUCCGGGAUCUCAUCCGGGACUCCGAACAACAUUCGGUAACCACAUACAAACUUCCUUUAUAACCCUAGCGUCAUCGAACCUUAAGUGUGUAGACCCUACGGGUUCGGGAGACAUGUAGUCAUGACCGAGAUGUUCUCCGGUCAAUAACCAACAGCGGGAUCUGGAUACCCAUGUUGGCUCGCACAUGUUCCACGAUGAUCUCAUCGGAUGAACCACGAUGUCAAGGACUCAAUCAAUCCCGUAUACAAUUCCCUUUGUCUAGCGGUAUGGUACUUGCCCGAGAUUCGAUCGUCGGUAUACCGAUACCUUGUUCAAUCUCGUUACCGGCAAGCCUCUUUACUCGUUCCGUAACACAUCAUCCCGUGAUCAACCCCUUGGUCACAUUGUGCACAUUAUGAUGAUGUCCUACCGAGUGGGCCCAGAGAUACCUCUCCGUUUACACGGAGUGACAAAAUCCCAAUCUCGAUUCGUGCCAACCCAACAGACACUUUCAGAGAUACCCGUAGUGUACCUUUAUAGCCACCCAGUUACGUUGUGACGUUUGGCACACCCAAAGCACUCCUACGGUAUCCGGGAGUUGCACAAUCUCAUGGUCUAAGGAAAUGAUACUUGACAUUAGAAAAGCUUUAGCAUACGAACUACAUGAUCUUGUGCUAGGCUUAGNNNNNNNNNNUGAUCAACCCCUUGGUCACAUUGUGCACAUUAUGAUGAUGUCCUACCGAGUGGGCCCAGAGAUACCUCUCCGUUUACACGGAGUGACAAAAUCCCAAUCUCGAUUCGUGCCAACCCAACAGACAUUUUCAGAGAUACCCGUAGUGUACCUUUAUAGCCACCCAGUUACGUUGUGACGUUUGGCACACCCAAAGCACUCCUACGGUAUCCGGGAGUUGCACAAUCUCAUGGUCUAAGGAAAUGAUACUUGACAUUAGAAAAGCUUUAGCAUACGAACUACAUGAUCUUGUGCUAGGCUUAGGAUUGGGUCUUGUCCAUCACAUCAUUCUCCUAAUGAUGUGAUCCCGUUAUCAACGACAUCCAAUGUCCAUGGUCAGGAAACCGUAACCAUCUAUUGAUUAACGAGCUAGUCAACUAGAGGCUUACUAGGGACAUGGUGUUGUCUAUGUAUCCACACAUGUAUCUGAGUUUCCUAUCAAUACAAUUCUAGCAUGGAUAAUAAACGAUUAUCAUGAACAAGGAAAUAUAAUAAUAAUCAAUUUAUUAUUGCCUCUAGGGCAUAUUUCCAACAAGAAACGGGGAACAAACUGAUGAAAGAAUGAUCAUACCGAGGGAAUUCACUCAGAACUAACAAGAAUGAUAACGUGCUUUGACUGGAGCGGUUUAAAAACUGCUGGAAGGCUCUAGGGGAAUAAAGAUGGAAUGCCUUCAAAUUUCUAGGUCCGUAUGAUUUGAAAUACUUGCACACAAACCGCGCGAAAGCGUUCCUGGAAAUCUCAGCCCAAAAAAGGACGUUUAGUAAUUCUAAAAGGGACUACAGAAUGAAAAACAAUAGUUUUGGCAGUUAAAGUUUGAGAUUCGAUGGUGCCGUAGAUCCGUUUGGUCAUCAGGUGUAACGAGCCACACCCAUGUCUAGCUAGAGUAGUGUGCUAGGCUCAGGCUAGAGAAGAAACGGGGAACAAACUGAUGAAAGAAUGAUCAUACCGAGGGAAUUCACUCAGAACUAACAAGAAUGAUAACGUGCUCCGACUGGAGCGGUUUAGGAACUGCUGGAAGGCUCUAGGGGAAGAAAGAAGGAAUGACUUCUAAUUUUUAGGUCCGUAUGAUUUGAAAUACGUGCACACAAACCGCGCGAAAGCGUUCCUGGAAAUCUCAGCCCAAAAAAGGACGUUUAGUAUUCUAAAAGGGACUACAGAAUGAAAAACAAUAGUUUUGGCAGUUAAAGUUUGAGAUUCGACGGUGCCGUAGAUCCGUUUGGUCAUCAGGUGUUACGAGCCACACCCAUGUCUAGCUAGAAUAGUGUGCNNNNNNNNNNNNNNNNNNNNNNNNNCGUAUGAUUUGAAAUACGUGCACACAAACCGCGCGAAAGCGUUCCUGGAAAUCUCAGCCCAAAAAAGGACGUUUAGUAUUCUAAAAGGGACUACAGAAUGAAAAACAAUAGUUUUGGCAGUUAAAGUUUGAGAUUCGACGGUGCUGUAGAUCCGUUUGGUCAUCAGGUGUUACGAGCCACACCCAUGUCUAGCUAGAAUAGUGUGCUAGGCUCAGGCUAGAGAAGAAAAGGGGAACAAACUAAUGAAAGAAUGAUCAAUACGAGGGAAUUCACUCAGAACUAACAAUAAUGAUAACGUGCUCCGACUGGAGCGGUUUAGGAACUGCUGGAAGGCUCUAGGCGAAUAAAGAUGGAAUGACUUCUAAUUUUUACGUCCGUAUGAUUUGAAAUACUUGCACACAAACCACGCAAAAGCGUUCCUGGAAAUCUCGGCCUAAAAAGGACGUUUAGUAAUUCUAAAAGGGACUACAGGAUGAAAAAUAAUAGUUUGGGCAGUUAAAAUUUGAGAUUCGACGGUGCCGUAGAUCCGUUUGGUCAUCAGGUGUUACGAGCCACACCCAUGUCUAGCUAGAAUAGUGUGUUAGGCUCAGGCUAGAGAAGAAACGAGGAACAAACUGAUGAAAGAAUGAUCAUACCAAGGGAAUUCACUCAGAACUAACAAGAAUGAUAACGUGCUCCGACUGGAGCAGUUUAGAAACUGCUGGAAGGCUCUAGGGGAAUAAAGAUGGAAUGACUUCUGAUUUUUAGGUCCGUAUGAUUUGAAAUACGUGCACACAAACCCCGCGAAAGCGUUCCUGGAAAUCUCAGCCCAAAAAAGGACGUUUAGUAAUUCUAAAAGGGACUACAACAUGAAAAACAAUAGUUUUGGCAGUUAAAGUUUGAGAUUUCAUGGUGCCGUAGAUCUGUUUGGUCAUCAGGUGUUACGAGCCACACCCAUGUCUAGCUAGAAUAGUGUGUUAGGCUCAGGCUAGAAAAGAAACGGGAAACAAAGUGAUGAAAGAAUGACCAUACCGAGGGAAUUCACUCAGAACUAACAAGAAUGAUAACAUGCUCCGACUUGAGCGGUUUAGGAACUGCUGGAAGGCUCUAGGGGAAUAAAGAUGGAAUGACUUCUAAUGUUUAGGUCCGUAUGAUUUGAAAUACUUGCACAUAAACCGCACAAAAGCGUUCCUGGAAAUCUCAGCCCAAAAAAGGACGUUUAGUAAUUCUAAAAGGGACUACAGGAUGAAAAACAAUAGUUUUGGCAGUUAAAGUUUGAGAUUCGACGGUGCCGUAGAUCCGUUUGGUCAUCAGGUGUUACGAGCCACACCCAUGUCUAGCUAGAAUAGUGUGUUAGGCUCAGGCUAGAGAAGAAACUUGGAACAAACUGAUGAAAGAAUGAUCAAACCAACGGAAUUCACUCAGAACUAACAAUAAUGAUAACGUGCUCCGACUGGAGCAGUUUAGGAACUGCUGGAAGGCUCUAGGGGAAUAAAGAUGGAAUGACUUCUAAUUUUUAGGUCCGUAUGAUUUGAAAUACUUGCACGCAAACCGCGCGAAAGCGUUCCUGGAAAUAUCAGCCCAAAAAAGGACGUUUAGUAAUUCUAAAAGGGACUACAGGAUGAAAACAAUAGUUUUGGCAGUUAAAGUUUGAGAUUCAACAGUGCCGUAGAUCCGUUUGGUCAUCAGGUGUUAUGAGCCAUACCCAUGUCUAGCUAGAGUAGUGUGCUAGGCUCAGGCUAGAGAAGAAACAGGGAACAAACUGAUGAAAGAAUGAUCAUACCGAGGGAAUUCACUCAGAACUAACAAGAAUGAUAACGUGCUCCGACUGGAGCGGUUUAGGAACUGCUGGAAGGCUCUAGGGGAAUAAAGAUGGAGUGACUUCUAAAUUUUUAGGUCCGUAUGAUUUAAAAUACUUGCACACAAACCGCACGAAAGCGUUCCUUGAAAUCUCAGCCCAAAAAAGGACGUUUAGUAAGUCUAAAAGGGACUAUAGGAUGAAAAACAAUAGUUUUGGCAGUUAAAGUUUGAGAUUCGAUGGUGCCGUAGAUCUGUUUGGUCAUCAGGUGUUACGAGCCACACCCAUGUCUAGUUGGAAUAGUGUGCUAGGCUCAGACUAGAGAAGAAACAGGGAACAAACUGAUGAAAGAAUGAUCAAACCGAGGAAAUUCACUCAGAACUAACAAUAAUGAUAACAUGCUCCGACUGGAGCGGUUUAGGAACUGCUGGAAGGCUCUAGGGGAAUAAAGAUGGAAUGACUUCUAAAUUUUUAGGUCCGUAUGAUUUGAAAUAGUUGCACACAAACUGCGCGAAAGCGUUCCUGGAAAUCUCAGCCCAAAAAAGGACGUUUAGUAAUUCUAAAAGGGACUAUAGGAUGAAAAACAAUAGUUUUGGCAGUUAAAGUUUGAGAUUCGACGGUGCCGUAGAUCCGUUUGGUCAUCACGUGUUACAAGCCACACCCAUGUCUAGCUAGAGUAGUGUGCUAGGCUCAGACUAUAGAAGAAACGGGGACCAAACUGAUGAAAGAAUGAUCAAACCGAGGAAAUUCACUCAGAACUAACAAUAAUGAUAACAUGCUCCGACUGGAGCGGUUUAGGAACUACUGGAAGGCUCUAGGGGAAUAAAGAUGGAAUGACUUCUAAAUUUUUAGGUCCGUAUGAUUUUAAAUAGUUGCACACAAACUGCGCGAAAGCGUUCCUGGAAAUCUCAGCCCAAAAAAGGACGUUUAGUAAUUCUAAAAGGGACUACAGGAUGAAAAACAAUAGUUUGGGCAGUUAAAAUUUGAGAUUCGACGGUGCCGUAGAUCCGUUUGGUCAUCAGGUGUUACGAGCCACACCCAUGUCUAGCUAGAGUAGUGUGCUAGGCUCAGGCUAGAGAAGAAACAGGGAACAAACUGAUGAAAGAAUGAUCAUACCGAGGGAAUUCACUCAGAACUAACAAGAAUGAUAACGUGCUCUGACUGGAGCGGUUUAAGAACUGUUGGAAGGCUCUAGGGGAAUAAAGAUGGAAUCACUUCAAAUUUUUACGUCCGUGUGAUUUGAAAUACUUGCACACAAACCGCACGAAAGCGUUCCUGGAAAUCUCAGCCCAAAAAAGGACGUUUAGUAAGUCUAAAAGGGACUACACGAUGAAAAACAAUAGUUUUGGCAGUUAAAGUUUGAGAUUCGACAGUGCCGUAGAUCCGUUUGGUCAUCAGGUGUAACGAGCCACACCCAUGUCUAGAUAGAGUAGUGUGCUAGGCUCAAACUAGAGAAGAAACGGGGAACAAACUGAUGAAAGAAUGAUCAUACCGAGGGAAUUCACUCAGAAAUAACAAGAAUGAUAACGUGCUCUGACUGGAGCGGUUUAGGAACUGCUGGAAGGCUCUAGGGGAAUAAAGAAGGAAUGACUUCUAAUUUUUAGGUCCGUAUGAUUUGAAAUACGUGCACACAAACCCCGAGAAAGCGUUCCUGGAAAUCUCGACCCAAAAAAGGACGUUUAGUAAUUCUAAAAGGGACUACGGGAUGAAAAACAAUAGUUUUGGCAGUUAAAGUUUGAGAUUCGAUAAUGCCGUAGAUCCAUUUGGUCAUCAGGUGUAACGAGCCACACCCAUGUCUAGCUAGAGUAGUGUGCUAGGCUCAGACUAGAGAAGAAACAGGGAACAAACUGAUGAAAGAAUGAUCAUAUCGAGGGAAUUCACUCAGAACUAACAAGAAUGAUAACAUGCUCCGACUUGAGCGGUUUAGGAACUGCUGGAAGGCUCUAGGGGAAUAAAGAUGGAAUGACUUCUAAUUUUUAGGUCCGUAUGAUUUGAAAUACUUACACACAAACCACGCGAAAGCGUUCCUGGAAAUCUCAGCCCAAAAAAGGACGUUUAGUAAUUCUAAAAGGGACUACAUGAUGAAAAACAAUAGUUUUCGCAGUUAAAGUUUGAGAUUCGACGGUGCCGUAGAUCCGUUUGGUCAUCAAGUGUUACGAGCCACACCCAUGUCUAGCUAGAAUAGUGUGUUAGGCUCAGCCUAGAGAAGAAACGGGGAACAAACUGAUGAAAGAAUGAUCAUACCGAGGGAAUUCACUCAGAACUUACAAGAAUGAUAACGUGCUCCGACUUGAGCGGUUUAAGAACUGUUGGAAGGCUCUAGGGGAAUAAAGAUGGAAUCACUUCAAAUUUUUACGUCCGUGUGAUUUGAAAUACUUGCACACAAACCCCGAGAAAGCGUUCCUGGAAAUCUCGGCCGAAAAAAGGAUGUUUAAUAAUUCUAAAAGGGACUACAGGAUGAAAAACAAUAGCUUUGGCAGUUAAAGUUUGUGAUUCGAUGGUGCCGUAGAUCUGUUUGGUCAUCAGGUGUUAUGAGCCACACCCAUGUCUAGCUAGAAUAGUGUGUUAGGCUCAGGCUAGAGCAGAAACUAGGAACAAACUUAUGAAAGAAUGAUCAUACCGAGGGAAUUCACUCAGAACUAACAAGAAUGAUAACGUGCUCCGACUGGAGCGGUUUAGGAACUGCUGGAAGGCUCUAGGGGAAUAAAGAUGGAAUGACUUCUAAUUUUUAGGUCCGUAUGAUUUGAAAUACAUGCACACAAACCCCAAGAAAGCGUUCCUAGAAAUCUCAGCCCAAAAAGGACGUUUAGUAAUUCUAAAAGGGACUACAGGAUGAAAAACAAUAGGUUUGGCAGUUAAAGUUUGAGAUUCGAUAAUGCCGUAGAUCCGUUUGGUCAUCAGGUGUAACGAGCCACACCCAUGUCUAGCUACAUUAGUGUGCUAGGCUCAGACUAGAGAAGAAACGGGGAACAAACUGAUGAAAGAAUGAUCAUACCGAGGGAAUUCACUCAGAACUAACAAGAACGAUAACAUGCUCCGACUGCAGCGGUUUAGGAACUGCUGGAAGGCUCUAGGGGAAUAAAGAAGGAAUGACUUCUAAUUUUUAGGUCCGUAUGAUUUGAAAUACUUGCACACAAACCGCGCGAAAGCAUUCCUGGAAAUCUCAGCCCAAAAAAGGACGUUUAGUAAUUCUAAAAGGGACUACAGGAUGAAAAACAAUAAUUUUGGCAGUUAAAGUUUGAGAUUCGACGGUGCCGUAGAUCCGUUUGGUCAUCAGGUGUUACGGGCCAUACCCAUGUCUAGCUAGAAUAGUGUGUUAGGCUCAGGUUAGAGAAGAAACGGGGAACAAAGUGAUGAAAGAAUGAUCAUACCGAGGGAAUUCACUCAGAACUAACAAGAAUGAUAACGUGCUCCGACUGGAGCGGUUUAGGAAUUGCUGGAAGGCUCUAGGGGAAUAAAGAUGGAAUGACUUCUAUAUUUUACGUCCGUAUGAUUUGAAAUACUUGCACACAAACCACGCAAAAGCACUCCUGGAAAUAUCAGCCUAAAAAGGAUGUUUAGUAAUUCUAAAAGGGACUACAGGAUGAAAAAUAAUAGUUUUGGCAGUUAAAAUUUGAGAUUCAACGGUGCCGUAAAUCCGUUUGGUCAUCAGGUGUUACGAGCCACACCCAUGUCUAGCUAGAAUAGUGUGUUAGGCUCAGGUUAGAGAAGAAACGGGGAACAAACUGAUGAAAGAAUGAUCAUACAAGGGGAAUUCACUCAGAACUAUCAAGAAUGAUAACGUGCUCCGACUGGAGCAGUUUAGGAACUGCCGGAAGGCUCUAGGGGAAUAAAGAUGGAAUGACUUCUAAUUUUUAUGUCCGUAUGAUUUGAAAUACUUGCACACAAACCACGCAAAAGCGUUCCUGGAAAUCUCAGCCUAAAAAGGACGUUUAGUAAUUCUAAAAGGGACUACAGGAUGAAAAACAAUAGUUUGGGCAGUUAAAAUUCGAGAUUCGACGGUGCCGUAGAUCCGUUUGGUCAUCAGGUGUUACGAGCCACACCCAUGUCUAGCUAGAAUAGUGUGUUAGGCUCAGGCUAGAGAAGAAACGGGGAACAAACUGAUGAAAGAAUGAUCAUAUCGAGGGAAUUCACUCAGAACUAACAAGAAUGAUAACGUGCUCCGACUGGAGCGGUUUAGUAACUGCUGGAAGGCUCUAGGGGAAUAAAGAUGGAAUGACUUCUAAUUAUUAGGUCCGUAAGAUUUGAAUUACAUGCACACAAACCCCGAGAAAGCGUUCCUGGAAAUCUCGGUCGAAAAAAGGAUGUUUAGUAAUUCUAAAAGGGACUACAGGAUGAAAAACAAUAGUUUUGGCAGUUAAAGUUUGUGAUUCGAUGGUGCCGUAGAUCUGUUUGGUCAUCAGGUGUUACGAGCCACACCCAUGUCUAGCUAGAAUAGUGUGUUAGGCUCAGGCUAGAGCAGAAACGGGGAACAAACUUAUGAAAGAAUGAUCAUGCCGAGGGAAUUCACUCAGAACUAACAAGAAUGAUAACGUGCUCCGACUGGAGCGGUUUAGGAACUGCUGGAAGGCUCUAGGGGAAUAAAGAUGGAAUGACAUCAAAUUUUUAGGUCCGUAUGAUUUGAAAUACUUGCACACAAACCGCAAGAAAGCGUUCUUGGAAAUCUCCGCCCAAAAAAGGACGUUUAGUAAUUCUAAAAGGGUCUACAGGAUGAAAAACAAUAGUUCUGGCAGUUAAAGUUUGAGAUUCGAUAAUGUCGUAGAUCCGUUUGGUCAUCAGGCGUAACGAGCCACACCCAUUUCUAGCUAGAGUAGUGUGCUAGGCUCAGACUAGAGAAGAAACGGGGAACAACCUGAUGAAAGAAUGAUCAUACCGAGGGAAUUCACUCAGAACUAACAAGAAUGAUAACGUGCUCCGACUGGAGCGGUUUAGGAACUGCUGGAAGGCUCUACGGGAAUAAAGAAGGAAUGACUUCUAAUUUUUAGGUCCGUAUGAUUUGAAAUACGUGCACACAAACCCCGAGAAAGCGUUCCUGGAAAUCUCGGCCCAAAAAAGGACGUUUAGUAUUCUAAAAGCGACUACAGAAUGAAAAACAAUAGUUUUGGUAGUUAAAGUUUGAGAUUUAACGGUGCCGUAGAUCUGUUUGGUCAUCAGGUGUUACGAGCCACACCCAUGUCUAGCUAGAAUAGUGUGUUAGGCUCAGGCUAGAUAAGAAACAGGGAACAAAGUGAUGAAAGAAUGAUCAUACCAAGGGAAUUCACUCAGAACUAACAAGAACGAUAACAUGCUCCGACUGGAGUGGUUUAGGAACUGCUGGAAGGCUCUAGGGGAAUAAAGAUGGAAUGACUUCUAAUUUUUAGGUCUGUAUGAUUUGAAAUACUUGCACACAAACCGCACGAAAGCGUUCCUGGAAAUCUCAUCCCAAAAAAGGACGUUUAGUAAUUCUAAAAGGGACUACAGGAUGAAAAACAAUAGUUUUGGCAGUUAAAGUUUGAGAUUCGAUAAUGCUGUAGAUCCGUUUGGUCAUCAGGUGUAACGAGCCACACCCAUGUCUAGCUAGAGUAGUGUGCUAGGCUCAGACUAGAGAAGAAACGGGGAACAAACUGAUGAAAGAAUGAUCAUACCGAGGGAAUUCACUCAGAACUAACAAUAAUGAUAACGUGCUCCGACUGGAGCGGUUUAGGAACUGCUGGAAGGCUCUAGGGGAAUAAAGAUGGAAUGAGUUCUAAUUUUUAGGUCUGUAUGAUUUGAAAUACUUGCACACAAACCGCGUGAAAGCAUUCCUGGAAAUUUCAGCCCAAAAAAGGACGUUUAGUAAUUUUAAAAGGGACUACACGAUGAAAAACAAUAGUUUUGGCAGUUAAAGUUUGAGAUUCGACGGUGCCGUAGAUCCGUUUGGUCAUCAGGUGUUACGAGCCACACCCAUGUCUAGCUAGAAUAGUAUGUUAGGCUCGGGUAAGAGAAGAAACGGGGAACAAACUGAUGAAAGAAUGAUCAUACCAAGGGAAUUCACUCAGAACUAACAAGAAUGAUAACGUGCUCCGACUGGAGCGGUUUAGGAACUGCUGGAAGGCUCUAGGGGAAUAAAGAUGGAAUGACUUCUAAUUUUUACGUUCGUAUGAUUUGAAAUACUUGCACACAAACCACGCAAAAGCGUUCCUGGAAAUCUCAUCCUAAAAAAGGACGUUUAGUAAUUCUAAAAGGGACUACAGGAUGAAAAAUAAUAGUUUGGGCAGUUAAAAUUUGAGAUUCGACGGUGCCGUAGAUCCGUUUGGUCAUCAGGUGUUACGAGCCACACCCAUGUCUAGCUAGAAUAGUGUGUUAGGCUCAGGCUAGAGAAGAAACGGGGAACAAACUGAUGAAAGAAUGAUCAUAUCGAGGGAAUUCACUCAGAACUAACAAGAAUGAUAACGUGCUCCGACUGGAGCAGUUUAGAAACUGCUGGAAGGCUCUAGGGGAAUAAAGAUGGAAUGACUUCUAAUUUUUAGGUCUGUAUGAUUUGAAAUACGUGCACACGAACCCCGAGAAAGCGUUCCUGGAAAUCUCGGCCCAAAAAAGGACGUUUAGUAAUUCUAAAAGGGACUACAGGAUGAAAAACAAUAGUUUUGGCAGUUAAAGUUUGAGAUUCGACGGUGCCGUAGAUCCGUUUGUUCAUCAGGUGUUACGAGCCACACCCAUGUCUAGCUAGAAUAGUGUGUUAGGCUCAGGCUAGAGAAGAAACGGGGAACAAACUGAUGAAAGAAUGAUCAUACCGAGGGAAUUCACUCAGAACUAACAAGAAUGAUAACGUGCUCCGACUGGAGCGGUUUAGGAACUGCUAGAAGGCUCUAGGGGAAUAAAGAAGGAAUGACUUCUAAUUUUUAGGUCCGUAUGAUUUGAAAUACGUGCACACAAACCCCGAGAAAGCGUUCCUGGAAAUCUUGGCCCAAAAAAGGACGUUUAGUAUUCUAAAAGCGACUACAGAAUGAAAAACAAUAGUUUUGCUAGUUAAAGUUUGAGAUUUGAUGGUGCCGUAGAUCUGUUUGGUCAUCAGGUUUUACGAGCCACACCCAUGUCUAGCUAGAAUAGUGUGUUAGGCUCAGGCUAGAAAAGAAACAGGGAAUAAAGUGAUGAAAGAAUGAUCAUACCAAGGGAAUUCACUCAGAACUAACAAGAACGAUAACAUGCUCCGACUGGAGUGGUUUAGAACUGCUGGAAGGCUAAAGGGGAAUAAAGAUGGAAUGACUUCUAAUUUUUAGGUCCGUAUGAUUUGAAAUACUUGCACACAAACCGCACGAAAGUGUUCCUGGAAAUCUCAGCCCAAAAAAGGACGUUUAGUAAUUCUAAAAGGGACUACAGGAUGAAAAACAAUAGUUUUGGCAGUUAAAGUUUGAGAUUCGAUAAUGACGUAGAUCCGUUUGGUCAUCAGGUGUAACGAGCCACACCCAUGUCUAGCUAGAGUAGUGUGCUAGGCUCAGACUAGAGAAGAAACGGGGAACAAACUGAUGAAAGAAUGAUCAUACCGAGGGAAUUCACUCAGAACUAACAAUAAUGAUAACGUGCUCCGACUAGAGCGGUUUAGGAACUGCUGGAAGGCUCUAGGGGAAUAAAGAUGGAAUGACUUCUAAUUUUUAGGUCCCUAUGAUUUGAAAUACUUGCACACAAACCGCGUGAAAGCAUUCCUGGAAAUUUCAGCCCAAAAAAGGACGUUUAGUAAUUUUAAAAGGGACUACACGAUGAAAAAGAAUAGUUUUGGCAGUUAAAGUUUGAGAUUCGACGGUGCCGUAGAUCCGUUUGGUCAUCAGGUGUUACGAGACACACCCAUGUCUAGCUAGAAUAGUAUGUUAGGCUCGGGUUAGAGAAGAAACGGGGAACAAACUGAUGAAAGAAUGAUCAUACCAAGGGAAUUCACUCAGAACUAACAAGAAUGAUAACGUGCUCCGACUGGAGCGGUUUAGGAACUGCUGGAAGGCUCUAGGGGAAUAAAGAUGGAAUGACUUCUAAUUUUUACGUUCGUAUGAUUUGAAAUACUUGCAAACAAACCACGCAAAAGCGUUCCUGGAAAUUUCAUCCUAAAAAAGGACGUUUAGUAAUUCUAAAAGGGACUACAGGAUGAAAAAUAAUAGUUUGGGCAGUUAAAAUUUGAGAUUCGAUGGUGCCGUAGAUCCGUUUGGUCAUCAGGUGUUACGAGCCACACCCAUGUCUAGCUAGAAUAGUGUGUUAGGCUCAGGCUAGAGAAGAAACGGGGAACAAACUGAUGAAAGAAUGAUCAUAUCGAGGGAAUUCACUCAGAACUAACAAGAAUGAUAACGUGCUCCGACUGGAGCAGUUUAGAAACUGCUGGAAGGCUCUAGGGGAAUAAAGAUGGAAUGACUUCUAAUUUUUAGGUCUGUAUGAUUUGAAAUACGUGCACACAAACCCCGAGAAAGCGUUCCUGGAAAUCUCGUCCGGAAAAAGGAUGUUUAAUAAUUCUAAAAGGGACUACAGGAUGAAAAACAAUAGUUUUGGCAGUUAAAGUUUGUGAUUCGAUGGUGCCGUAGAUCUGUUUGGUCAUCAGGUGUUACGGGCCACACCCAUGUCUAGCUAGAAUAGUGUGUUAGGCUCAGGCUAGAGCAGAAACGGGGAGCAAACUUAUGAAAGAAUGAUCAUAGCGAGGGAAUUUACUCAGAACUAACAAGAAUGAUAACGUGCUCCGACUGGAGCGGUUUAGGAACUGCUGGAAGGCUCUAGGGGAAUAAAGAUGGAAUGACUUCAAAUUUUCAGGUAUGUAUGAUCUGAAAUACUUGCACACAAACCGCGAGAAAGCGUUCCUGGAAAUCUCAACCCAAAAAAGGAUGUUUAGUAAUUCUAAAAGGGACUACAGGAUUAAAAACAAUAGUUUUGGCAGUUAAAGUUUGAGAUUCGAUAAUGUCGUAGAUCCGUUUGGUCAUCAGGUGUAACGAGCCACACCCAUGUCUAGCUAGAGUAGUGUGCUAGGCUCAUACUAGAGAAGAAACGGGGAACAAACUGAUGAAAGAAUGAUCAUACCGAGGGAAUUCACUCAGAACUAACAAGAAUGAUAACGUGCUCCGACUGGAGCGGUUUAGGAACUGCUGGAAGGCUCUAGGGGAAUAAAGAUGGAAUGACUUCUUAUUUUUAGGUCCGUAUGAUUUGAAAUACAUGCACACAAACCCCAAGAAAGCGUUCCGGGAAAUCUCGGCCCAAAGAAUGAUGUUUAGUAAUUCUAAAAGGGACUAUAGAAUGAAAAACAAUAGUUUUGGCAGUUAAAGUUUGAGAUUUGACGGUGUCGUAGAUCUGUUUGGUCAUCAGGUGUUACGAGCCACACCCAUUUCUAGCUAGAAUAGUGUGUUAGGCUCAGGCUAGAAAAGAAACGGGGAACAAAGUGAUGAAAGAAUGAUCAUACCGAGGGAAUUCACUCAGAACUAACAAGAAUGAUAACAUGCUCCGACUAGAGCGGUUUAGGAACUGCUGGAAGGCUCUAGGGGAAUAAAUAUGGAAUGACUUCUAAUUUUCAGGUCCGUAUGAUUUGAAAUACUUGCACACAAACCGCGCGAAAGCGUUCCUGGAAAUCUCAUCCCAAAGAAGGUCGUUUAGUAAUUCUAAAAGGGACUACAGGAUGAAAAACAAUAGUUUUGGCAAUUUAAGGUUUGAGAUUCGACGGUGCCGUAGAUCCGUUUGGUCAUCAGGUGUUACGAGCCACACCCAUGUCUAGCUAGAAUAGUGUGCUAGGCUCAGGCUAGAGAAGAAACAGGGAACAAACUGAUGAAAGAAUGAUCAAACCGAGGGAAUUCACUCAGAACUAACAAUAAUGAUAACGUUCUCCGUCUGGAGCGGUUUAGGAACUGCUGGAAGGCUCUAGGGGAAUAAAGAUGGAAUGACUUCUAAUUUUUAGGUCCGUAUGAUUUGAAAUACUUGCACACAAACCGCGCCAAAUCGUUCCUGGAAAUCUCAGCCCAAAAAAGGACGUUUAGUAAUUCUAAAAGGGACUACAGGAUGAAAAACAAUAGUUUUGGCAGUUAAAGUUUGAGAUUCGAUGGUGCCGUAGACCCGUUUGGUCAUCAGGUGUUACGAGCCACACCCAUGUCUAGCUAGAGUAGUGUGCUAGGUUCAGACUAGAGAAGAAACAGGGAACAAAGUGAUGAAAGAAUGAUCAUACCGAGGGAAUUCACUCAGAACUAACAAGAAUGAUAACGUGCUCCGACUGGAGCGGUUUAGGAACUGCUGGAAGGCUCUAGGGGAAUAAAGAUGGAAUGACUUCUAAUUUUUACGUCCGUAUGAUUUGAAAUACUUGCACACAAACCACGCAAAAGCGUUCCUGGAAAUCUCAGCCUAAAAAAGGACGUUUAGUAAUUCAAAAAGGGACUACAAAAUGAAAAACAAUAGUUUUGGCAGUUAAAGUUUGAGAUUCGAUGGUGCCGUAGAUCCGUUUGGUCAUCAGGUGUUACGAGCCACACCCAUGUCUAGCUAGGAUAGUGUGUUAGGCUCAGGCUAGAGAAGAAACGGGGAACAAACUGAUGAAAGAAUGAUCAUACCGAGGGAAUUCACUCAGAACUAACAAGGAUGAUAACAUGCUCCGACUAGAGCGGUUUAGGAACUGCUGGAAGGCUCUAGGGGAAUAAAGAUGGAAUGACUUCUAAUUUUUAGGUCCGUAUGAUUUGAAAUACUUGCACACAAACCGCAAGAAAGCGUUCCUGGAAAUCUCAGCCCAAAAAAGGACGUUUAGUAAUUCUAAAAGGGACUACAGGAUGAAAAACAAUAGUUCUGGCAGUUAAAGUUUGAGAUUCGAUAAUGCCGUAGAUCUGUUUGGUCAUCAGGUGUAACGAGCCACACCCAUGUCUAGCUAGAGUAGUGUGCUAGGCUCAGACUAGAGAAGAAACGGGGAACAAACUGAUGAAAGAAUGAUUAUACCGAGGGAAUUCACUCAGAACUAACGAGAAUGAUAACGUGCUCCGACUGGAGCGGUUUAGGAACUGCUGGAAGGCUCUAGGGGAAUAAAGAUGGAAUGACUUCAAAUUUUUAGGUCUGUAUGAUUUGAAAUACUUGCACACAAACCGCAAGAAAGCGUUCCUUGAAAUCUCAGCCCAAAAAAGGACGUUUAGUAAUUCUAAAAGGGACUACAGGAUGAAAAACAAUAGUUCUGGCAGUUAAAGUUUGAGAUUCGAUAAUGUCGUAGAUCCGUUUGGUCAUCAGGUGUAACGAGCCACACCCAUGUCUAGCUAGAGUAGUGUGCUAGGCUCAGAAUAGAGAAGAAACGGGGAACAAACUGAUGAAAGAAUGAUCAUACCGAGGGAAUUCACUCAGAACUAACAAGAAUGAUAACGUGCUCCGACUGGAGCGGUUUAGGAACUGCUGGAAGGCUCUAGGGGAAUAAAGAAGGAAUGACUUCUAAUUUUUAGGUCCGUAUGAUUUGAAAUACGUGCACACAAACCGCGCGAAAGCGUUCCUGGAAAUCUCAGCCAAAAAAAGGACGUUUAGUAUUCUAAAAGGGACUACAGAAUGAAAAACAAUAGUUUUGGCAGUUAAAGUUUGAGAUUCGACGGUGCUGUAGAUCCGUUUGGUCAUCAGGUGUUACGAGCCACACCCAUGUCUAGCUAGAAUAGUGUGCUAGGCUCAGGCUAGAGAAGAAAAGGGGAACAAACUAAUGAAAGAAUGAUCAAUCCGAGGGAAUUCACUCAGAACUAACAAUAAUGAUAACGUGCUCCGACUGGAGCGGUUUAGGAACUGCUGGAAGGCUCUAGGCGAAUAAAGAUGGAAUGACUUCUAAUUUUUACGUCCGUAUGAUUUGAAAUACUUGCACACAAACCACGCAAAAGCGUUCCUGGAAGUCUCGGCCUAAAAAGGACGUUUAGUAAUUCUAAAAGGGACUACAGGAUGAAAAAUAAUAGUUUGGGCAGUUAAAAUUUGAGAUUCGACGGUGCCGUAGAUCCAUUUGGUCAUCAAGUGUUACGAGCCACACCCAUGUCUAGCUAGAAUAGUGUGUUAGGCUCAGGCUAGAGAAGAAACGGGGAACAAACUGAUGAAAGAAUGAUCAUACCAAGGGAAUUCACUCAGAACUAACAAGAAUGAUAACGUGCUCCGACUGGAGCAGUUUAGAAACUGCUGGAAGGCUCUUGGGGAAUAAAGAUGGAAUGACUUCAAAUUUUUAGGUCCGUAUGAUUUGAAAUACUUGCACACAAACCACGCGAAAGCGUUCCUGGAAAUCUCAGCCCAAAAAAGGACGUUUAGUAAUUCUAAAAGGGACUACAUGAUGAAAAACAAUAGUUUUGGCAGUUAAAGUUUGAGAAUCGUCGGUGCCGUAGAUCCGUUUGGUCAUCAGCUGUAACGAGCCACACCCAUGUCUAGCUAGAGUAGUGUGCUAGGCUCAGACUAGAGAAGAAACAGGGAACAAAGUGAUGAAAGAAUGAUCAUACCGAGGGAAUUCACUUAGAACUAACAAGAAUGAUAACAUGCUCCGACUUGAGCGAUUUAGGAACUUCUGGAAGGCUCUAGGGGAAUAAAGAUGGAAUGACUCAAAUUUUUAGGCCCGUAUGAUUUGAAAUACAUGCACACAAACCGCGAGAAAGUGUUCCUGGAAAUCUUAGCCCAAAAAAGGACGUUUAGUAAUUCUAAAAGGGACUACAGGAUGAAAAACAAUAGUUUUGGUAGUUAAAGUUUCAGAUUCGAUAAUGCCCUAGAUCCGUUUGGUCAUCAGGUGUAACGAGCCACACCAAUGUCUAGCUAGAGUAGUGUGCUAGGCUCAGACUAGAUAAGAAACGGGGAAGAAACUGAUGAAAGAAUGAUCAGACCGAGGGAAUUCACUCAGAACUAACAAUAAUGAUAACGUGCUCCGAGUGGAGCGGUUUAGGAACUGCUGGAAGGCUCUAGGGGAAUAAAGAUGGAAUGACUUCUAAUUUUUAGGUCCGUAUGAUUUGAAAUACGUGCACACAAACCCCGAGAAACCGUUCCUUGAAAUCUCGGCCCAAAAAAGGACGUUUAGUAAUUCUAAAAGGGACUACAAAAUGAAAAACAAUAGUUUUGGCAGUUAAAGUUUGAGAUUCGACGGUGUCGUAGACCCGUUUGGUCUUCAGGUGUUACGAGCCACACCCAUGUCUAGCCAGAGUAGUGUGCUAGGUUCAGACUAGAGAAGAAACGGGGAACAAAGUGAUGAAAGAAUGAUCAUACCGAGGGAAUUCACUCAGAACUAACAAGAAUGAUAACGUGCUCCGACUGGAGCGGGUUAGGAACUCCUGGAAGGCUCUAGGGGAAUAAAGAUGGAAUGACUUCUAAUUUUUACGUCCGUAUGAUUUGAAAUACUUGCACACAAACCACGCAAAAGCGUUCCUGGAAAUCUCAGCCUAAAAAAGGACGUUUAGUAAUUCUAAAAGGGACUACAGGAUGAAAAAUAAUAGUUUGGUCAUCAGGUGUUACGAGCCACACCCAUGUCUAGCUAGAAUAGUGUGCUAGGCUCAGGCUAGAGAAGAAACGGGGAAUAAACUGAUGAAAGAAUGAUCAAACCGAGGGAAUUCACUCAGAACUAACAAUAAUGAUAACGUUCUCCGUCUGGAGCGGUUUAGGAACUGCUGGAAGGCUCUAGGGGAAUAAAGAUGGAAUGACUUCUAAUUUUUAGGUCCGUAUGAUACGAAAUACUUGCACACAAACCGCGCGAAAUCGUUCCUGGAAAUCUCAGCCCAAAAAAGGACGUUUAGUAAUUCUAAAAGGGACUACAGCAUGAAAAACAAUAGUUCUGGCAGUUAAAGUUUGAGAUUCGAUAAUGCCGUAGAUCCGUUUGGUCAUCAGGUGUAACGAGCCACACCCAUGUCUAGCUAGAGUAGUAUGCUAGGCUCAGACUAGAGAAGAAACGGGGAACAAACUGAUGAAAGAAUGAUUAUACCGAGGGAAUUCACUCAGAACUAACAAGAAUGAUAACGUGCUCCGGCUGGAGCGGUUUAGGAACUGCUAGAAGGCUCUAGGGGAAUAAAGAUGGAAUGACUUCAAAUUUUUAGGUCUGUAUGAUUUGAAAUACUUGCACACAAACCGCAAGAAAGCGUUCCUGGAAAUCUCAGCCCAAAAAAGGACGUUUAGUAAUUCUAAAAGGGACUAUAGGAUGAAAAACAAUAGUUCUGGUAGUUAAAGUUUGAGAUUCGAUAAUGUCAUAGAUCCGUUCGGUCAUCAGGUGUAACGAGCCACACCCAUGUCUAGCUAGAGUAGUGUGCUAGGCUCAGACUAGAGAAGAAACGGGGAACAAACUGAUGAAAGAAUGAUCAUACCGAGGGAAUUCACUCAGAACUAACAAGAAUGAUAACGUGCUCCGACUGGAGCGGUUUAGGAACUGCUGGAAGGCUCUAGGGGAAGAAAGAAGGAAUGACUUCUAAUUUUUAGGUCCGUAUGAUUUGAAAUACGUGCACACAAACCGCGCGAAAGCGUUCCUGGAAAUCUCAGCCCAAAAAAGGACGUUUAGUAUUCUAAAAGGGACUACAGAAUGAAAAACAAUAGUUUUGGCAGUUAAAGUUUGAGAUUCGACGGUGCCGUAGAUCCGUUUGGUCAUCAGGUGUUACGAGCCACACCCAUGUCUAGCUAGAAUAGUGUGCUAGGCUCAGGCUAGAGAAGAAAAGGGGAACAAACUGAUGAAAGAAUGAUCAAACCGAGGGAAUUCACUCAGAACUAACAAUAAUGAUAACGUGCUCCGACUGGAGCGGUUUAGGAACUGCUGGAAGGCUCUUGGCGAAUAAAGAUGGAAUGACUUCUAAUUUUUACGUCCGUAUGAUUUGAAAUACUUCCACACAAACCAGGCAAAGGCGUUCCUGGAAAUCUCGGCCUAAAAAGGACGUUUAGUAAUUCUAAAAGGGACUACAGGAUGAAAAAUAAUAGUUUGGGCAGUUAAAAUUUUAGAUUCGACGGUGCCGUAGAUCCGUUUGGUCAUCAGGUGUUACGAGCCACACCCAUGUCUAGCUAGAAUAGUGUGUUAGGCUCAGGCUAGAGAAGAAACGGGGAACAAACUGAUGAAAGAAUGAUCAUACCAAGGGAAUUCACUCAGAACUAACAAGAAUGAUAACGUGCUCCGACUGGAGCAGUUUAGAAACUACUGGAAGGCUCUAGGGGAAUAAAGAUGGAAUGACUUCAAAUUUUUAGGUCCGUAUGAUUUGAAAUACUUGCACACAAACCGCGCGAAAGCGUUCCUGGAAAUCUCAGCCCAAAAAAGGACGUUUAGUAAUUCUAAAAGGGACUACAUGAUGAAAAACAAUAGUUUUGGCAGUUAAAGUUUGAGAUUCGUCGGUGCCGUAGAUCCGUUUGGUCAUCAGCUGUAACGAGCCACACCCAUUUCUAGCUAGAGUAGUGUGCUAGGCUCAGACUAAAGAAGAAAUGGGGAACAAAGUGAUGAAAGAAUGCUCAUACCGAGGGAAUUCACUCAGAACUAACAAGAAUGAUAACAUGCUCCGACUUGAGCGAUUUAGGAACUUCUGGAAGGCUCUAGGGGAAUAAAGAUGGAAUGACUCAAAUUUUUAGGUCCGUAUGAUUUGAAAUACUUGCACACAAACCGCGAGAAAGCGUUCCUGGAAAUCUCAGCCCAAAAAAGGACGUUUAGUAAUUCUAAAAGGGACUACAUGAUGAAAAACAAUAGUUUUGGCAGUUAAAGUUUGAGAUUUGAUAAUGCCGUAGAUCCGUUUGGUCAUCAGGUGUAACGAGCCACACCCAUGUCUAGCUAGAGUAGUGUGCUAGGCUAAGACUAGAUAAGAAAAGGGGAAGAAACUUAUGAAAGAAUGAUCAGACCGAGGGAAUUCACUCAGAACUAACAAUAAUGAUAACGUGCUCCGACUGGAGCGGUUUAGGAACUGCUGGAAGGCUCUAGGGGAAUAAAGAUGGAAUGACUUCUAAUUUUUAGGUCCGUAUGAUUUGAAAUACGUGCACACAAACCCCGAGAAACCGUUCCUGGAAAUCUCGGCCCAAAAAAGGAUGUUUAGUAAUUCUAAAAGGGACUACAAAAUGAAAAACAAUAGUUUUGGCAGUUAAAGUUUGAGAUUUGAUGGUGCCGUAGAUCUGUUUGGUCAUCAGGUGUUACGAGCCACACCCAUGUCUAGCUAGAAUAGUGUGUUAGGCUCAGGCUAGAAAAGAAACGGGAAACAAAGUGAUGAAAGAAUGAUCAUACCGAGGGAAUUCACUCAGAACUAACAAGAAUGAUAACAUGCUCUGACUGGAGCGGUUUAGGAACUGCUGGAAGGCUCUAGGGGAAUAAAGAUGGAAUGACUUCUAAUGUUUAGGUCCGUAUGAUUUGAAAUACUUGCACAUAAACCGCGCAAAAGCGUUCCUGGAAAUCUCAGCCCAAAAAAGGACGUUUAGUAAUUCUAAAAGGGACUACAGGAUGAAAAACAAUAGUUUUGGCAGUUAAAGUUUGAGAUUCGACGGUGCCGUAGAUCCGUUUGUUCAUCAGGUGUUACGAGCCACACCCAUGUCUAGCUAGAAUAGUGUGUUAGGCUCAGGCUAGAGAAGAAACGGGGAACAAACUGAUGAAAGAAUGAUCAAACCGAGGGAAUUCACUCAGAACUAACAAUAAUGAUAACGUGCUCCGACUAGAGCGGUUUAGGAACUGCUGGAAGGCUCUAGGGGAAUAAAGAUGGAAUGACUUCUAAUUUUUAGGUCUGUAUGAUUUGAAAUACUUGCACGCAAACCGCGCGAAAGCGUUCCCGGAAAUAUCAGCCUAAAGAAGGACGUUUAGUAAUUCUAAAAGGGACUACAGGAUGAAAAACAAUAGUUUUGGCAGUUAAAGUUUGAGAUUCAACGGUGCCGUAGAUCCGUUUGGUCAUCAGGUGUUACGAGCCACACCCAUGUCUAGCUAGAGUAGUGUGCUAGGCUCAGGCUAGAGAAGAAACAGGGAACAAACUGAUGAAAGAAUGAUCAUACCGAGGGAAUUCACUCAGAACUGAUGAAAGAAUGAUCAAACCAAGGAAAUUCACUCAGAACUAACAAUAAUGAUAACAUGCUCCGACUGGAGCGGUUUAGGAACUGCUGGAAGGCUCUAGGGGAAUAAAGAUGGAAUGACUUCUAAUUUUUAGGUCCGUAUGAUUUGAAAUACGUGCACACAAACCCCGAGAAACCGUUCCUGGAAAUCUCGGCCCAAAAAAGGACGUUUAGUAAUUCUAAAAGGGACAACAAAAUGAAAAACAAUAGUUUUGGCAGUUAAAGUUUGAGAUUCGACGGUGCCGUAGACCCGUUUGGUCAUCAGGUGUUACGAGCCACACCCAUGUCUAGCUAGAGUAGUGUGCUAGGUUCAGACUAGAGAAGAAACGGGGAACAAAGUGAUGAAAGAAUGAUCAUACCGAGGGAAUUCACUCAGAACUAACAAGAAUGAUAACGUGCUCCGACUGGAGCGGGUUAGGAAUUGCUGGAAGGCUCUAGGGGAAUAAAGAUAGAAUGACUUCUAAUUUUUACGUCCGUAUGAUUUGAAAUACUUGCACACAAACCACGCAAAAGCGUUCCUAGAAAUCUCAGCCUAAAAAAGGACGUUUAGUAAUUCUAAAAGGGACUACAGGAUGAAAAAUAAUAGUUUGGCCAGUUAAAAUUUAAGAUUCGACGGUGCCGUAGAUCCGCUUGGUCAUCAGGUGUUACGAGCCACACCCAUGUCUAGCUAGAAUAGUGUGUUAGGCUCAGGCUAGAGAAGAAACGGGGAACAAACUGAUGAAAGAAUGAUCAUACCGAGGGAAUUCACUCAGAACUAACAAGAAUGAUAACAUGCUCCGACUGGAGCGGUUUAGGAACUGCUGGAAGGCUCUAGGGGAAUAAAGAUGGAAUGACUUCUAAUUUUUAGGUCCGUAUGAUUUGAAAUACUUGCACACAAACCGCAAGAAAGCGUUCCUGGAAAUCUCAGCACAAAAAAGGACGUUUAGUAAUUCUAAAAGGGACUACAGCAUGAAAAACAAUAGUUCUGGCAGUUAAAGUUUGAGAUUCGAUAAUGCCGUAGAUCCGUUUGGUCAUCAGGUGUAACGAGCCACACCCAUGUCUAGCUAGAGUAGUGUGCUAGGCUCAGACUAGAGAAGAAACGGGGAACAAAAUGAUGAAAGAAUGAUUAUACCGAGGGAAUUCACUCAGAACUAACAAGAAUGAUAACGUGCUCCGACUGGAGCGGUUUAGGAACUGCUGGAAGGCUCUAGGGGAAUAAAGAUGGAAUGACUUCAAAUUUUUAGGUCUGUAUGAUUUGAAAUACUUGCACACAAACCGCAAGAAAGCGUUCCUGGAAAUCUCAGCCCAAAAAUGGACGUUUAGUAAUUCUAAAAGGGACUAUAGGAUGAAAAACAAUAGUUCUGGCAGUUAAAGUUUGAGAUUCGAUAAUGUCGUAGAUCCGUUCGGUCAUCAGGUGUAACGAGCCACACCCAUGUCUAGCUAGAGUAGUGUGCUAGGCUCAGACUAGAGAAGAAACGGGGAACAAACUGAUGAAAGAAUGAUCAUACCGAGGGAAUUCACUCAGAACUAACAAGAAUGAUAACGUGCUCCGACUGGAGCGGUUUAGGAACUGCUGGAAGGCUCUAGGGGAAGAAAGAAGGAAUGACUUCUAAUUUUUAGGUCCGUAUGAUUUGAAAUACGUGCACACAAACCGCGCGAAAGCGUUCCUGGAAAUCUCAGCCCAAAAAAGGACGUUUAGUAUUCUAAAAGGGACUACAGAAUGAAAAACAAUAGUUUUGGCAGUUAAAGUUUGAGAUUCGACGGUGCCGUAGAUCCGUUUGGUCAUCAGGUGUUACGAGCCACACCCAUGUCUAGCUAGAAUAGUGUGCCAGGCUCAGGCUAGAGAAGAAAAGGGGAACAAACUGAUGAAAGAAUGAUCAAACCGAGGGAUUUCACUCAGAACUAACAAUAAUGAUAACGUGCUCCGACUGGAGCGGUUUAGGAACUGCUGGAAGGCUCUAGGCGAAUAAAGAUGGAAUGACUUCUAAUUUUUACGUCCGUAUGAUUUUAAAUACUUGCACACAAACCACGCAAAAGCGUUCCUGGAAAUCUCGGCCUAAAAAGGACGUUUAGUAAUUCUAAAAGGGACUACAGGAUGAAAAAUAAUAGUUUGGGCAGUUAAAAUUUGAGAUUCGACGGUGCCGUAGAUCCGUUUGGUCAUCAGGUGUUACGAGCCACACCCAUGUCUAGCUAGAAUAGUGUGUUAGGCUCAGGCUAGAGAAGAAACAGGGAACAAACUGAUGAAAGAAUGAUCAUACCAAGGGAAUUCACUCAGAACUAACAAGAAUGAUAACGUGCUCCGACUGGAGCAGUUUAGAAACUGCUGGAAGGCUCUAGGGGAAUAAAGAUGGGAUGACUUCAAAUUUUUAGGUCCGUAUGAUUUGAAAUACUUGCACACAAACCGCGCGAAAGCGUUCCUGGAAAUCGCAGCCCAAAAAAGGACGUUUAGUAAUUCUAAAAGGGACUACAUGAUGAAAAACAAUAGUUUUGGCAGUUAAAGUUUGAGAUUCGUCGGUGCCGUAGAUCCGUUUGGUCAUCAGCUGUAACGAGCCACACCCAUGUCUAGCUAGAGUAGUGUGCUAGGCUCAGACUAGAGAAGAAAUGGGGAAAAAAGUGAUGAAAGAAUGAUCAUACCGAGGGAAUUCACUCAGAACUAACAAGAAUGAUAACAUGCUCCGACAUGAGCGAUUUAGGAACUUCUGGAAGGCUCUAGGGGAAUAAAGAUGGAAUGACUCAAAUUUUUAGGUCCGUAUGAUUUGAAAUACUUGCACACAAACCGCGAGAAAGCGUUCCUGGAAAUCUCAGCCCAAAAAAGGACAUUUAGUAAUUCUAAAAGGGACUACAGGAUGAAAAACAAUAGUUUUGGCAGUUAAAGUUUGAGAUUUGAUAAUGCCGUAGAUCCGUUUGGUCAUCAGGUGUAACGAGCCACACCCAUGUCUAGCUAGAGUAGUGUGCUAGGCUAAGACUAGAUAAGAAACCGGGAAGAAACUAAUGAAAGAAUGAUCAGACCGAGGGAAUUCACUCAGAACUAACAAUAAUGAUAACGUGCUCCGACUGGAGCGGUUUAGGAACUGCUGGAAGGCUCUAGGGGAAUAAAGAUGAAAUGACUUCUAAUUUUUAGGUUCGUAUGAUUUGAAAUACAUGCACACAAACCCCGAGAAACCGUUCCUGGAAAUCUCGGCCCAAAAAAGGAUGUUUAGUAAUUCUAAAAGGGACUACAAAAUGAAAAACAAUAGUUUUGGUAGUUAAAGUUUGAGAUUUGAUGGUGCCAUAGAUCUGUUUGGUCAUCAGGUGUUACGAGCCACACCCAUGUCUAGCUAGAAUAGUGUGUUAGGCUCAGGCUAGAAAAGAAACGGGAAACAAAGUGAUGAAAGAAUGAUCAUACCGAGGGAAUUCACUCAGAACUAACAAGAAUGAUAACAUGCUCUGACUGGAGCGGUUUAGGAACUGCUGGAAGGCUCUAGGGGAAUAAAGAUGGAAUGACUUCUAAUGUUUAGGUCCGAGGUCCGUAUGAUUUGAAAUACUUGCACAUAAACCGUGCAAAAGCGUUCCUGGAAAUCUCAGCCCAAAAAAGGACGUUUAGUAAUUCUAAAAGGGACUACAGGAUGAAAAACAAUAGUUUUGGCAGUUAAAGUUUGAGAUUCGACGGUGCCGUAGAUCCGUUCGUUCAUCAGGUGUUACGAGCCACACCCAUGUCUAGCUAGAAUAGUGUGUUAGGCUCAGGCUAGAGAAGAAACGGGGAACAAACUGAUGAAAGAAUGAUCAAACCGAGGGAAUUCACUCAGAACUAACAAUAAUGAUAACGUGCUCCGACUAGAGCGGUUUAGGAACUGCUGGAAGGCUCUAGGGGAAUAAAGAUGGAAUGACUUCUAAUUUUUAGGUCUGUAUGAUUUGAAAUACUUGCACGCAAACCGCGCGAAAGCGUUCCCGGAAAUAUCAGCCCAAAAAAGGACGUUUAGUAAUUCUAAAAGGGACUACAGGAUGAAAAACAAUAGUUUUGGCAGUUAAAGUUUGAGAUUCAACGGUGCCGUAGAUCCGUUUGGUCAUCAGGUGUUACGAGCCACACCCAUGUCUAGCUAGAGUAGUGUGCUAGGCUCAGGCUAGAGAAGAAACAGGGAACAAACUGAUGAAAGAAUGAUCAUACCGAGGGAAUUCACUCAGAACUGAUGAAAGAAUGAUCAAACCGAGGAAAUUCACUCAGAACUAACAAUAAUGAUAACAUGCUCCGACUGGAGCGGUUUAGGAACUGCUGGAAGGCUCUAGGGGAAUAAAGAUGGAAUGACUUCUAAUUUUUAGGUCCGUAUGAUUUGAAAUACGGGCACACAAACCCCGAGAAACCGUUCCUGGAAAUCUCGGCCCGAAAAAGGACGUUUAGUAAUUCUAAAAGGGACUACAAAAUGAAAAACAAUAGUUUUGGCAGUUAAAGUUUGAGAUUCGACGGUGCCGUAGACCCGUUCGGUCAUCAGGUGUAACGAGCCACACCCAUGUCUAGCUAGAGUAGUGUGCUAGGCUCAGACUAGAGAAGAAACGGGGAACAAACUGAUGAAAGAAUGAUCAUACCGAGGGAAUUCACUCAGAACUAACAAGAAUGAUAACGUGCUCCGACUGGAGCGGUUUAGGAACUGCUAGAAGGCUCUAGGGGAAGAAAGAAGGAAUGACUUCUAAUUUUUAGGUCUGUAUGAUUUGAAAUACGUGCACACAAACCGCGCGAAAGCGUUCCUGGAAAUCUCAGCCCAAAAAAGGACGUUUAGUAUUCUAAAAGGGACUACAGAAUGAAAAACAAUAGUUUUAGCAGUUAAAGUUUGAGAUUCGACGGUGCCGUAGAUCCGUCUGGUCAUCAGGUGUUACGAGCCACACCCAUGUCUAGCUAGAAUAGUGUGCUAGGCUCAGGCUAGAGAAGAAAAGGGGAACAAACUGAUGAAAGAAUGAUCAAACCGAGGGAAUUCACUCAGAACUAACAAUAAUGAUAACGUGCUCCGACUGGAGCGGUUUAGGAACUGCUGGAAGGCUCUAGGCGAAUAAAGAUGGAAUGACUUCUAAUUUUUACGUCCGUAUGAUUUGAAAUACUUGCACACAAACCACGCAAAAGCGUUCCUGGAAAUCUCGGCCUAAAAAGGACGUUUAGUAAUUCUAAAAGGGACUACAGGAUGAAAAAUAAUAGUUUGGGCAGUUAAAAUUUGAGAUUCGACGGUGCCGUAGAUCCGUUUGGUCAUCAGGUGUUACGAGCCACACCCAUCUCUAGCUAGAAUAGUGUGUUAGGCUCAGGCUAGAGAAGAAACGGGGAACAAACUGAUGAAAGAAUGAUCAUACCAAGGGAAUUCACUCAGAACUAACAAGAAUGAUAACGUGCUCCGACUGGAGCAGUUUAGAAACUCCUGGAAGGCUCUAGGGGAGUAAAGAUGGAAUGACUUCAAAUUUUUAGGUCCGUAUGAUUUGAAAUACUUGCACACAAACCGCGCGAAAGCGUUCCUGGAAAUCUCAGCCCAAAAAAGGACGUUUAGUAAUUCUAAAAGGGACUACAUGAUGAAAAACAAUAGUUUUGGCAGUUAAAGUUUGAGAUUCGUCGGUGCCGUAGAUCCGUUUGGUCAUCAGCUGUAACGAGCCACACCCAUGUCUAGCUAGAGUAGUGUGCUAGGCUCAGACUAGAGAAGAAAUGGGGAACAAAGUGAUGAAAGAAUGAUCAUACCGAGGGAAUUCACUCAGAACUAACAAGAAUGAUAACAUGCUCCGACUUGAGCGAUUUAGGAACUUCUGGAAGGCUCUAGGGGAAUAAAGAUGGAAUGACUCAAAUUUUUAGGUCCGUAUGAUUUGAAAUACUUGCACACAAACCGCGAGAAAGCGUUCCUGGAAAUCUCAGCCCAAAAAAGGACGUUUAGUAAUUCUAAAAGGGACUACAGGAUGAAAAACAAUAGUUUUGGCAGUUAAAGUUUGAGAUUCGAUAAUGUCGUAGAUCCGUUUGGUCAUCAGGUGUAACGAGCCACACCCAUGCCUAGCUAGAGUAGUGUGCUAGGCUAAGACUAGAUAAGAAACGGGGAAGAAACUGAUGAAAGAAUGAUCAGACCGAGGGAAUUCACUCAGAACUAACAAUAAUGAUAACGUGCUCCGACUGGAGCGGUUUAGGAACUGCUAGAAGGCUCUAGGGGAAUAAAGAUGGAAUGACUUCUAAUUUUUAGGUCCGUAUGAUUUGAAAUACGUGCACACAAACCCCGAGAAACCGUUCCUGGAAAUCUCGGCCCAAAAAAGUAUGUUUAGUAAUUCUAAAAGGGACUACAAAAUGAAAAACAAUAGUUUUGGCAGUUAAAGUUUGAGAUUUGAUGGUGCCGUAGAUCUGUUAGGUCAUCAGGUGUUACGAGCCACACCCAUGUCUAGCUAGAAUAGUGUGUUAGGCUCAGGCUAGAAAAGAAACGGGAAACAAAGUGAUGAAAGAAUGAUCAUACCGAGGGAAUUCACUCAGAACUAACAAGAAUGAUAACAUGCUCUGACUGGAGCGGUUUAGGAACUGCUGGAAGGCUCUAGGGGAAUAAAGAUGGAAUGACUUCUAAUGUUUAGGUCCGUAUGAUUUGAAAUACUUGCACAUAAACCGCGCAAAAGCGUUCCUGGAAAUCUCAGCCCAAAAAGGACGUUUAGUAAUUCUAGAAGGGACUACAGGAUGAAAAACAAUAGUUUUGGCAGUUAAAGUUUGAGAUUCGACGGUGCCGUAGAUCCGUUUGUUCAUCAGGUGUUACGAGCCACACCCAUGUCUAGCUAGAAUAGUGUGUUAGGCUCAGGCUAGAGAAGAAACGGGGAACAAACUGAUGAAAGAAUGAUCAAACCGAGGGAAUUCACUCAGAACUAACAAUAAUGAUAACGUGCUCCGACUAGAGCGGUUUAGGAACUGCUGGAAGGCUCUAGGGGAAUAAAGAUGGAAUGACUUCUAAUUUUUAGGUCUGUAUGAUUUGAAAUACUUGCACGCAAACCGCGCGAAAGCAUUCCCGGAAAUAUCAGCCCAAAAAAGGACGUUUAGUAAUUCUAAAAGGGACUACAGGAUGAAAAAGAAUAGUUUUGGCAGUUAAAGUUUGAGAUUCAACGGUGCCGUAGAUCCGUUUGGUCAUCAGGUGUUACAAGCCACACCCAUGUCUAGCUAGAGUAGUGUGCUAGGCUCAGGCUAGAGAAGAAACAGGGAUAAAACUGAUGAAAGAAUGAUCAUACCGAGGGAAUUCACUCAGAACUGAUGAAAGAAUGAUCAAUCCGAGGGAAUUCACUCAGAACUAACAAUAAUGAUAACGUGCUCCGAUUGGAGCGGUUUAGGAACUGCUGGAAGGCUCUAGGGGAAUAAAGAUGGAAUGACUUCUAAUUUUUAGGUCCGUAUGAUUUGAAAUACUUGCACACAAACCGCAAGAAAGCGUUCCUAGAAAUCUCAGCCCAAAAAAGGACGUUUAGUAAUUCUAAAAGGGACUACAGGAUGAAAAACAAUAGUUUUGGCAGUUAAAGUUUGAGAUUCGAUGGUGCCCUAGAUCCGUUUGGUCAUCAGGUGUUACGAGCCACACCCAUGUCUAGCUAGAAUAGUGUGUUAGGCUCAGGCUAGAGAAGAAACGGGGAACAAACUGAUGAAAGAAUGAUCAUACGGAGGGAAUUCACUCAGAACUAAGAAGAAUGAUAACGUGCUCCGACUGGAGCGGUUUAGGAACUGGUGGAAGUCUCUAGGGGAAUAAAGAUGGAAUGACUUCUAAUUUUUAGGUCUGUAUGAUUUGAAAUACUUGCGCACAAACCGCGCGAAAGCGUUCCUGGAAAUAUCAGCCUAAAAAAGGAUGUUUAGUAAUUCUAAAAGGGACUACAGGAUGAAAAACAAUAGUUUUGGAAGUUAAAGUUUGAGAUUCGACAGUGUCGUAGAUCCGUUUGGUCAUCAGGUGUUACGAGCCACACCCACGUCUAGCUAGAGUAGUGUGUUAGGCUCAGGCUAGAGAUUAAACGGGGAACAAACUGAUGAAAGAAUGAUCAAACCGAGGGAAUUCACUCACAAUAAAGAUGGAACUUCUUUCUUCCCCUAGAGCCUUCCAGCAGUUCCUAAACCGCUCCAGUCGGAGCACGUUAUCAUUCUUGUUAGUUCUGAGUGAAUUCCCUCGGUAUGAUCAUUCUUUCAUCAGUUUGUUCCCCGUUUCUUCUCUAGUCUGAGCCUAGCACACUACUCUAGCUAGACAUGGGUGUGGCUCGUUACACCUGAUGACCAAACGGAUCUACGACAUUAUCGAAUCUCAAACUUUAACUGCCAGAACUAUUGUUUUCCAUCCUGUAGUCCCUUUUAGAAUUACUAAACGUCCUUUUUUGGGCUGAGAUUUCCAGGAACGCUUUCUUGCGGUUUGUGUGCAAGUAUUUCAAAUCAUACGGACCUAAAAAUUAGAAGUCAUUCCAUCUUUAUUCCCCUAGAGCCUUCCUGCAGUUCCUAAACCGCUCCAGUCGGAGCGUGUUAUCAUUAUUGUUAGUUCUGAGUGAAUUCCCUCGGUUUGAUCAUUCUUUCAUCAGUUUGUUCCCCGUUUAAUCUCUAGCCUGAGCCUAACACACUACUCUAGCUAGACGUGUGUGUGGCUCGUAACACCUGAUGACCAAACGGAUCUACGGCACCGUCGAAUCUCAAACUUUAACUUCCAAAACUAUUGUUUUUCAUCCUGUAGUCCCUUUCAAAAUUACUAAACGUCCUUUUUUGGGCUGAGAUUUCCAGGAACGCUUUCGCGCGGUUUGUGUGCAAGUAUUUCAAAUCAUACAGACCUAAAAAUUAGAAAUCAUUCCAUCUUUAUUCCCCUAGAGACUUCCACAAGUUCCUAAACCGCUCCAGUCGGAGCACGUUAUCAUUCUUCUUAGUUCUGAGUGAAUUCCCUCCGUAUGAUCAUUCUUUCAUCAGUUUGUUCCCCGUUUCUUCUCUAGCCUGAGCCUAACACACUAUUCUAGCUAGACAUGGGUGUGGCUCGUAACACCUGAUGACCAAACGGAUCUAGGGCACCAUCGAAUCUCAAACUUUAACUGCCAAAACUAUUGUUUUUCAUCCUGUAGUCCCUUUUAGAAUUACUAAACGUCCUUUUUUGGGCUGAGAUUUCUAGGAACGCUUUCGCGCGGUUUGUGUGCAAGUAUUUCAAAUCAUACGGACCUAAAAAUUAGAAGUCAUUCCAUCUUUAUUCCCCUAGAGCCUUCCAGCAGUUCCUAAACCGCUCCAAUCGGAGCACGUUAUUAUUAUUGUUAGUUCUGAGUGAAUUCCCUCGGUUUGAUCAUUCUUUCAUCAGUUUGUUCCCCGUUUCUUCUCUAGCCCGAGCCUAAUACACUAUUCUAGCUAGACAUGGGUGUGGCUUGUAACUUCUGAUGACCAAACGGAUCUACGGCACCAUCAAAUCUCAAACUUUAAAUGCCAAAACUAUUGUUUUUCAUUCUGUAGUCCCUUUUAGAAUUACUAAACGUCCUUUUUUGGGCCGAGAUUUCUAGGAACGCUUUCUCGGGGUUUGUGUGCACGUAUUUCAAAUCAUACAGACCUAAAAAUUAGAAGUCAUUCCUGUAGGGUUUCGUAGUAAUUUCAAAAAAUUUCCUACGCACACACAGGAUCAUGUGAUGCAUAGCAACGAGGGGAGAGUAUUGUCUACGUACCCAACGCAGACCGACUGCGGAAGCGAUGACACGACGUAGAGGAAGUAGUCGUACGUCUUCACGAUCCAACCGAUCAAGUACCGAAACUACGGCACCUCCGAGUUCGAGCACACGUUCAGCUCGAUGACGAUCCCCGGACUCCGAUCCAGCAAAGUGUUGGGGAAGAGUUUCGUCAGCACGACGGCGUGGUGACGAUCUUGAUGAACUACAGCAGCAGGGCUUCGCCUAAACUCCGCUACAGUAUUAUCGAGGAAUAUGGUGGCAGGGGGCACCGCACACGGCUAAGGAAUAGAUCACGUGGAUCAACUUGUGUCAACUUGUGUGUUUGGGGUGCCUCUACCUCAGUAUAUAAAGGAGCCAAGGGGGGAGGGGGCGCCGGCCAAGAGAGAGAGGCGCAGGAGGAGUCCUACUCCUACCGGGAGUAGGACUCCCCCCCCAAUCCUAUUCCAACUAGGAUUCCCAAGGGGGAAAGAGGAUGAGGGGUGGCCGGCCACCUCUCCUAGUCCUAAUAGGACUAGGGGAAGGGGGGAGGCGCGCAUCCCCCUUGGUCUGCCCCUUUCUCCUUUCCACUAAGGCCCAUGAUGGCCCAUAUGGCUCCCGGGGGGUUCCGGUAACCUCCCGGUAACCCGGUAAAAUCCCGAUUUCACCCGGAACACUUCCGAUGUCCAAACAUAGGCUUCCAAUAUAUCAAUCUUUAUGUCUCGACCAUUUCGAGACUCCUCGUCAUGUCCGUGAUCACAUCCGGGACUCCGACCAACCUUCGGUACAUCAAAAUGCAUAAACUCAUAAUAUAACUGUCAUCGUAACCUUAAGCGUGCGGACCCUACGGGUUCGAGAACAAUGUAGACAUGACCGAGACACGUCUCUGGUCAAUAACCAAUAGCGGGACCUGGAUGCCCAUAUUGGCUCCUACAUAUUCUACGAAGAUCUUUAUCGGUUAGACCGCAUAACAACAUACGUUGUUCCCUUUGUCAUCGGUAUGUUACUUGCCCGAGAUUCGAUCGUCGGUAUCCAAUACCUAGUUCAAUCUCGUUACCGGCAAGUCUCUUUACUCGUUCCGUAAUACAUCAUCUCACAACUAACAUAUUAGUUGUAAUUCUUGCAAGGCUUAUGUGAUGUGUAUUACCGAGAGGGCCCAGAGAUACCUCUCCGACAAUCGGAGUGACAAAUCCUAAUCUCGAAAUACGCCAACCCAACAUCGACCAUUGGAGACACAUGUAGUACUCCUUUAUAAUCACCCAGUUACGUUGUGACGUUUGGUAGUACCCAAAGUGUUCCUCCGGUAAACGGGAGUUGCAUAAUCUCAUAGUCAUAGGAACAUGUAUAAGUCAUGAAGAAAGCAAUAGCAACAUACUAAACGAUCGGGUGCUAAGCUAAUGGAAUGGGUCAUGUCAAUCAGAUCAUUCUGCUAAUGAUGUGACCUCGUUAAUCAAAUAACAACUCAUUGUUCAUGGUUAGGAAACAUAACCAUCUUUGAUUAACGAGCUAGUCAAGUAGAGGCAUACUAGUGACACUUUGUUUGUCUAUGUAUUCACACAUGUAUUAUGUUUCCGGUAAAUACAAUUCUAGCAUGAAUAAUAAACAUUUAUCAUGAUUAUAAGGAAAUAAAUAAUAACAUUAUUAUUGCCUCUAGGGCAUAUUUCCUUCAAUUCCAUCUUUAUUCCCCUAGACCCUUCCAGCAGUUCCUAAACCGCUCCAGUCGGAGCACGUUAUCAUUCUUGUUAGUUCUGAGUGAAUUCCCUCGGUAUGAUCAUUCUUUCAUCAGUUUGUUCCCCAUUUCUUCUCUAGCCUGAGACUAACACACUAUUCUAGGUAGACAUGGGUGUGGCUCGUAACACCUGCUGACCAAACAGAUCUACGGCACCAUUGAAUCUCAAACUUUAACUGCCAAAACUAUUGUUUUUCAUCCUGUAGUCCCUUUUAGAAUUAUUAAACAUCCUUUUUUCGGCCGAGAUUUCCAGGAACGCUUUCUCGGGGUUUGUGUGCACGUAUUUCAAAUCAUACGGACCUAAAAUUAGAAUUCAUUCCAUCUUUAUUCCCCUAGAGCCUUCCAGCAUUUCCUAAACCGCUCCAGUCGGAGCACGUUAUCAUUCUUGUUAGUUCUGAGUGAAUUCCCUCGGUAUGAUCAUUCUUUCAUCAGUUUGUUCCCCGUUUCUUCUCUAGUCUGAGCCUAGCACACUACUCUAGCUAGACAUGGGUGUGGCUCGUUACACCUGAUGACCAAACGGAUCUACGGCACCGUCGAAUCUCAAACUUUAACUGCCAAAACUAUUGUUUUUCAUCCUGUUGUCCCUUAUAGAAUUACUAAACGUCCUUUUUGGGAUGAGAUUUCCAGGAACGCUUUCGUGUGGUUUGUGUGCAAGUAUUUCAAAUCACACGAACGUAAAAAUUUGAAGUCAUUCCAUCUUUAUUCCCCUAGAUCCUUCCAGCAGUUCCUAAACCGCUCCAGUCGGAGCACGUUAUCAUUCUUGUUAGUUCUGAGUGAAUUCCCUCGGUAUGAUCAUUCUUUCAUCAGUUUGCUCCCCAUUUCUUCUCUAGCCUAAGCCUAGCACACUACUCUAGCUAGACAUGGGUGUGGCUCAUAACACCUGAUGACCAAACGGAUCUACGGCACCUUCGAAUCUCAAACUUUAACUGCCAAAACUAUUGUUUUUCAUCCUGUAGUCCCUUUUAGAAUUAAUAACGUCCUUUUUUGGGCUGAGAUUUCUAGGAACGCUUUCGUGCAGUUUGUGUGCAAGUAUUUCAAAUCAUACGGACCUAAAAAUGAGAAGUCAUUCCAUGUUUAUUCCCCUAGAGCCUUCCAGCAGUUCCUAAACCGCUCCAGUCGGAGCAUGUUAUCAUUAUUGUUAGUUCUGAGUGAAUUCCCUCGGUUGGAUCAUUCUUUCAUCAGUUUGUUCCCCGUUUCUUCUCUAGCCUGACCCUAACACACUAUUCUAGCUAGACAUGGGUCUGGCUUGUAACACCUAUUGACCAAACGGAUCUACGGCACCAUCGAAUCUCAAACUUUAACUGCCAAAACUAUUGUUUUUCAUCCUGUAGUCCCUUUUAGAAUUACUAAACGUCCUUUUUUGGGCUGAGAUUUCCAGGAACGCUUACGCGCGGUUUGUGUGCAAGUAUUUCAAAUCAUACGGACCUAAAAAUUAGAAGUCAUUCCAUCUUUAUUCCCCUAGAGCCUUCCAGCAGUUCCUAAACCGCUCCAGUCGGAGCAUGUUAUCAUUCUUGUUAGUUCUGAGUGAAUUCCCUCGGUAUGAUCAUCCUUACAUCACUUUGUUCCCCGUUUCUUUUCUAGCCUGAGCCUAACACACUAUUCUAGCUAGACAUGGGUGUGGCUCGUAACACCUGAUGACCAAACGGAUCUAUGGCACCAUCAAAUCUCAAACUUUAACUGCCAAAACUAUUGUUUUUCAUUCUGUAGUCCCUUUUAGAAUUACUAAACGUCCUUUUUUGGGCCGAGAUUUCCAGGAACGCUUUCUCGGGGUUUGUGUGCAUGUAUUUCAAAUCAUACGGACCUAAAAAUUGAAAGUCAUUCCAUCUUUAUUCCCCUAGAGCCUUCCAGCAGUUCCUAAACCGCUCCAGUCGGAGCACGUUAUCAUUCUUGUUAGUUCUGAGUGAAUUCCCUCGGUAUGAUCAUUCUUUCAUCAGUUUGUUCCCCGUUUCUUCUCUAGUCUGAGCCUAGCACAUUACUCUAGCUGGACAUGGGUGUGGCUCGUUACACCUGAUGACCAAACGGAUCUACGGCAUUAUCGAAUCUCAAACUUUAACUGCCAGAACUAUUGUUUUUCACCCUGUAGUCCCUUUUAGAAUUACUAAACGUCGUUUUUUGGGCUGAGAUUUCGAGGAACGCUUUCUCGCGGUUUGUGUGCAAGUAUUUCAAAUCAUACAGACCUAAAAAUUUGAAGUCAUUCCAUCUUUAUUCCCCUAGAGCCUUCCAGAAGUUCCUAAACCGCUCCAGUCGGAGCACGUUAUCAUUCUUGUUAGUUCUGAGUGAAUUCCCUCGGUAUGAUCAUUCUUUCAUCACUUUGUUCCCUUUUUCUUCUCUAGUCUGAGCCUAGCACACUACUCUAGCUAGACAUGGGUGUGGCUCGUUACACCUGAUGACCAAACGGAUCUACGGCACCGUCGAAUCUCAAACUUUAACUGCCAAAACUAUUGUUUUUCAUCAUGUAGUCCCUUUUAGAAUUACUAAAUGUCCUUUUUUGGGCUGAGAAUUCCAGGAUCACUUUUGCGCGGUUUGUGUGCAAGUAUUUCAAAUCAUACGGACCUAAAAAUUUGAAGUCAUUCCAUCUUUAUUCCCCUAGAGCCUUCCAGCAGUUUCUAAACUGCUCCAGUCGGAGCACGUUAUCAUUCUUGUUAGUUCUGAGUGAAUUCCCUCGGUAUGAUCAUUCUUUCAUCAGUUUGUUCCCCGUUUCUUCUCUAGCCUGAGCCUAACACACUAUUCUAGCUAGACAUGGGUGUGGCUCGUAACACCUGAUGACCAAACGGAUCUACGGCACCGUCGAAUCUCAAAUUUUAACUGCCCAAACUAUUAUUUUUCAUCCUGUAGUCCCUUUUAGAAUUACUAAACGUCCUUUUUUAGGCUGAGAUUUCCAGGAACGCUUUCGCGUGGUUUGAGUGCCAGUAUUUCAAAUCAUACGGACGUAAAAAUUAGAAGUCAUUCCAUCUUUAUUCCCCUAGAGCCUUCCAGCAGUUCCUAAACCGCUCCAGUCGGAGCACGUUAUCAUUCUUGUUGGUUCUGAGUGAAUUCCCUUGGUAUGAUCAUACUUUCAUCAGUUCGUUCCCCAUUUCUUCUCUAACCUGAGCCUAACAUACUAGUGUAGCUAGACAUGGGUGUGGCUCGUAACACCUGAUGACCAAACGGAUCUACGGCAACGUCGAAUCUCAAACUUUAACUGCCAAAACUAUUGUUUUUCAUCCUAUAGUCCCUUUUAGAAUUACUAAACAUCCUUUUUUGGGCUGAGAUUUCUAGGAACGCUGUCGCGCGGUUUGUGUGCAAGUAUUUCAAAUCAUACAGACCUAAAAAUUUGAAGUCAUUCCAUCUUUAUUCGCCUAGAGCCUUCCAGAAGUUCCUAAACUGCUCCAGUCGGAGCACGUUAUCAUUCUUGUUAGUUCUGAGUGAAUUCCCUCGGUUUGAUCACUCUUUCAUCAGUUUGUUCCCUGUUUCUUCUCUAGUCUGAGCCUAGCACACUAUUCUAGCUAGACAUGGGUGUGGCUCGUAACACUUGAUGACCAAACGGAUCUACGGCACCGUCGAAUCUCAAACUUUAACUGCCAAAACUAUUGUUUUUCAUCCUGUAGUCCCUUUUAGAAUUACUAAACAUCCUUUUUUGGGCUGAGAUUUCCAGGAACGCUUUCGCGCGGUUUGUGUGCAAGUAUUUCAAAUCAUACGGUCCUAAAAAUUAGAAGUCAUUCCAUCUUUAUUCCCCUAGAGCCUUCUAGCAAUUCCUAAACCGCUCCAGUCGGAGCAUGUUAUCAUUAUUGUUACUUCUGAGUGAAUUCCCUCGGUUUGAUCAUUCUUUCAUCAGUUUGUUCCCUGUUUCUUCUCUAGCCUGAGCCUAGCACACUAUUCUAGCUAGACAUGGGUGUGGCUCGUAACACCUGAUGAUCAAACGGAUCUACGGCACCGUCGAAUCUCAAACUUUAACUGCCAAAACUAUUGUUUUUCAUCCAGUAGUCCCUUUUAGAAUUACUAAACGUCCUUUUUUGGGCUGAGAUUUCCAAGAACGCUUUCGCGUGGUUUGUGUGCAAGUAUUUCAAAUCAUACAGACCUGAAAAUUAGAAGUCAUUCCAUCUUUAUUCCCCUAGAGCCUUCCAGCAGUUCCUAAACCGCUCCAGUCGGAGCAUGUUAUCAUUCUUGUUAGUUCUUGGUGAAUUCCCUCGGUAUGAUCAUUCUUUCAUCACUUUGUUCCCCGUUUCUUUUCUAGCCUGAGCCUAACACACUAUUCUAGCUAGACAUGGGUGUGGCUCGUAACACCUGAUGACCAAACAGAUCUACGGCACCGUCAAAUCUCAAACUUUAAUUGCCAAAACUAUUGUUUUUCAUUCUGUAGUCCCUUUAGAAUUACUAAAUGUCCUUUUUUUGCCGAGAUUUCCAGGAACGCUUUCUCGGGGUUUGUGUGCACGUAUUUCAAAUCAUACGUACCUAAAAAUUAGAAGUCAUUCCAUCUUUAUUCCCGUAGAGCCUUCCAGCAGUUCCUAAACCACUCAAGUCGGAGCACGUUAUCAUUCUUGUUAGUUCUGAGUGAAUUCCCUCGAUAUGAUCAUUCAUUCAUCAGUUUGUUCCCCGUUUCUUCUCUAGUCUGAGCCUAGCACACUACUCUAGCUAGACAUGGGUGUGGCUCGUUACACCUGAUGACCAAACGAAUCUAUGGCACCGUCGAAUCUCAAACUUUAACUUCCAAAACUAUUGUUUUUCUUCCCGUAGUCCCUUUCAGAAUUACUAAACGUCCUUUUUUGGGCUGAGAUUUCCAGGAACGCUUUCGCGCAGUUUGUGUGCAAGUAUUUCAAAUCAUACGGACCUAAAAAUUAGAAGUCAUUCCAUCUUUAUUCCCCUAGAGCCUUCCACCAGUUCCUAAACCACUCCAGUCGGAGCACAUUAUCAUUCUUCUUAGUUCUGAGUGAAUUCCCUCGGUAUGAUCAUUCUUUCAUCAGUUUGUUCCCCGUUUCUUCUCUAGCCGGAGCCUAACACACUAUUCUAGCUAGACAUGGGUGUGGCUUGUAACACCUGAUGACCAAACGGAUCUAGGGCACCGUCGAAUCUCAAACUUUAACUGCCAAAACUAUUGUUUUUCAUCCUGUAGUCCCUUUUAGAAUUACUAAAUGUCCUUUUUUGCGCUGAGAAUUCUAGGAACGCUUUCGCGCGGUUUGUGUGCAAGUAUUUCAAAUCAUACGGACCUAAAAAUUAGAAGUCAUUCCAUCUUUAUUCCCCUAGAGCCUUCUAGCAGUUCCUAAACCGCUCAAGUCGGAGCACGUUAUCAUUAUUGUUAGUUCUGAGUGAAUUCCCUCGGUUUCAUCAUUCUUUCAUCAGUUUGUUCCCCGUUUCUUCUCUAACCUGAGCCUAACACACUAUUCUAGCUAGACAUGGGUGUGGCUUGUAACUGCUGAUGACCAAACGGAUCUACGGCACCAUCAAAUCUCAAACUUUAAAUGCCAAAACUAUUGUUUUUCAUUUUGUAGUCCCUUUUAGAAUUACUAAACGUCCUUUUUUGGGCUGAGAUUUCUAGGAACGCUUUCUCAGGGUUUGUGUGCACGUAUUUCAAAUCAUACGGACCUAAAAAUUAGAACUCAUUCCAUCUUUAUUCCCCUAGACCCUUCCAGCAGUUCCUAAACCGCUCCAGUCGGAGCACGUUAUCAUUCUUGUUAGUUCUGAGUGAAUUCCCUCGGUAUGAUCAUUCUUUCAUCAGUUUGUUCCCCGUUUCUUCUCUAGCCUUAGCCUAACACACUAUUCUAGCUAGACAUGGGUGUGGCUCGUAACACCUGCUGACCAAACAGAUCUACGGCACCAUUGAAUCUCAAACUUUAACUGCCAAAACUAUUGUUUUUCAUCCUGUAGUCCCUUUUAGAAUUAUUAAACAUCCUUUUUUCGGCCGAGAUUUCCAGGAACGCUUUCUCGGGGCUUGUGUGCACGUAUGUAGGAUCGAAAGUAUGUCUAGAGGGGGGUGAUUAGACUACUUGACCAAUUAAAAACUUAACCUUUUCCCAAUUUUAGUUCUUGGCAGAUUUUAGCUAUUUUAGGACAAGUCAAGCAAUCAUCACACAAUUCAAGCAAGCAUGCAAAGAGUUUAUGGGCAGUGGAAAGUAAAGCAUGCAACUUGCAAGAGUAUAAAUGGAAGGGUUUGGAGAAGUCAAACGCUAUUGGAGACACGGAUGUUUUUCCCGUGGUUCGGAUAGGUGGUGCUAUCCUACAUCCAUGUUGAUGGAGACUUCAACCCACGAAGGGUAACGGUUGCGCGAGUCCACACAGGGCUCCACCCAAGGGCAACGGUUGCGCGAGUCCACGAAGGGCUCCACCCACGAAGGGUCCACGAAGAAGCAACCACCCACAAAGGGUCCACGAAGAAGCAACCUUGUCUAUCCCACCAUGGCCAUCGCCCACGAAGGACUUGCCUCACUAGCGGUAGAUCUUCACGAAGUAGGCGAUCUCCUUGCCCUUACAAACUCCUUGGUCCAACUCCACAAUCUUGUCGGAGGCUCCCAAGUGACACCUAGCCAAUCUAGGAGACACCACUCUCCAAGAAGUAACAAAUGGUGUGUAGGUAAUGAACUCCUUGCUCUUGUGCUUCAAAUGAUAGUCUGCCCAACACUCAACUCUCUCUCUCAUAGGAUUUGGAUUUGGUGGAAAGAAGAUUUUGAGUGGAAAGCAACUUGGGAAGGCUAGAGAUCAAGAUUCAUAUGGCAGGAAUGGAAUGUCUUGGUCUCAACACAUGAGUAGGUGGUUCUCUCUCAGAACAUAUGAGUUGGAAUGGUGUGUGUGUUCUGAUGGCUCUCUCACUGAAUGAGAAAGAGGUGGAGGGGUAUAUAUAGCCUCCACACAAAAUCCAACCGUUACACACAAUUUACCAAUCUCGGUGGGACCGAAUCAGAAAACUCGGUCUGACCGAAAUAGUAAACCUAGUGACCGUUAGGAAUUUCGGUGGGACUGACAUGCAACUCGGUAGGACCGAUUCGGUUAGGGUUUGGGCAUAACGUAAUCUCGGUGAGACCGAUUACACAAACUCGGUGGGACCGAAUUUGGUAAUUAGCUAACCAGAGAGUUGGUCAGGCAAACUCGGUGGGACCGAUUUGCUCUUUUGGUGAGACCGAGUGGAACUCGGUGAGAUCGAAAGUUACAAAGGGGAAACACUGAGUUUACAUUGCAAUCUCGGUAGGACCUAUUCGCUCUUUCGGUGGGACCGAAAAGUUACAAAAGGGAAACAGAGAGUUUGCAACCCCAUCUCGGUGGGAACGAGAUCCUUAACGGUAGAACCGAAUUGCUAGGGUUUGGCAGUGGCUAAUGACAAGUGAAACUCGGUGGCGCCGGAUAGGAAGAAUCGGUAGGACCGAGUUUGGCUUAGAGUUUAGGUCAUAUGUGGAUAUGGGAAAGUAGUUGAGGGUUUUUGGAGCAUAUCACUAAGCACAUGAAGCAAGAGGCUCAUUAAGCAACACCUCAUCCCUCCUUAAUAGUAUUGGCUUUUCCUAUGGACUCAAUGUGAUCUUGGAUCACUAAAAUAUAAAAUGAAGAGUCUUGAGCUUUUGAGCUUGAGCCAAUCCAUUGUCCUUAGCAUUUUGAGGGUUCCACUUUCACAUCCAUGCCAUGCCAAUCAUUGAGCUUUCCUGAAAUAAUUAUCUUGUAAUAGUAUUAGCUCAAUGAGCUAUAUGUUGUUAUGAAUUACCAAAACCACCUAGGGAUAGUUGCACUUUCAGUCUCUCCCUUUUUGGUAAUUGAUGACAACAUAUAUAUCAAAGCUUCGACAAAAGAUAAUAAGCAUGAAAUAUAUCAUCGCUUUGAGAAGUAUGUGAUAAGUAAGAGCUCCCCCUAAAUUUGUGCAUAUUUAAAAUUUGCUUUGGACUGCAAAUGCACAAAAAGUUAGAGUCAUGGGUUACUCUUCCAUGUCACAUACAUCUUGGUGGAGCGCUCAAAAUGAUGAGAUUGAAAUGCAUGCACUCAUCACCAAGAAUAGUGAAUGAUCACAAACGAUAGAUAGAAUGGUAAUAUUUAAGCAAGCAUUAAGCAAACAUUAAGUGUAGCUUAUGAUCAAACACAUGAUCAUCGAUGUCUCACAAGCAUAAGGACGUAGUAUCUCACACACAAGCAAACAAGGUUCGAAAAACCACCAAAUAAAGCAAGAGAGAAAAGCAACACUCUCUCUCUCUCUCGAAGCCUAUGAUCUAUACAUAUUCUCCCCCUUUGGCAACAAGUUACCAAAAAGUUCCUAGAAAAUGCAUAGCACUAGAUCGACGCUCGGGCUUGAUCUUCAGGUGGUGGUGGAGUCCGGAUCACUCCAAGGACGAAGGCUUCAGUAGAUGUUGAAGUAGUCGCUGGAGUUGGAGCUGAAGUAGAUGCUGGAGCUGAGGCUGUAGCUGGUGCUGAAGUGGUGGCUCUGGUGUCAGCGACUGGCACGGCAGACGACCUCGGGCCUCGUGGCACUCUAGAAAAAGCAUGAGUCGUGGUCCUGCCUCUCCUCUCGUUCAUGUCCUCCUGGAGCUGCUCCACGGCAGACUGAACUUCCGUUACCUUGACGUCCAAGUCAUAGAACUUCUGUUCCAUGAUCCUCUCUAGGCUCUGCUGAUUCUUAGUGAGGGUGGCUAGACUUUACUCAAUUCUCAGCGUGGAUGCAAUCAAGUAACCAAGCUGCUCUAGUUUGGUCUUCAAGAAGUACUUAGAUGCCUCCUCUUGAGUGGGCAUCUUGGCAGCUUUCUCCUUCCUCGCCUUCUCCUUCUUUGCAAAUGCUUGAGCAGAUGAUGGUUCAUUCUCAGUCAUAACAACUUCAUUGUCCUCGAAAUCUGGACGGAUGGGUAGGUGUUCCUUAUCCAACAAAUAUACGCCCGUGCCCAUCUUGGAGUUGAUGAGCUCCUGAAUCUGAGGGGCAUAUCCACAGCUCCUCUUCUGAUCUGCCGCAGUCCUUUUGAUCGUUUCCACUAUGAGGCUCAUAACUUUGAAUUUUUUAGGCACGUCAAAAACAUGAAGCAAAUUGAUCGCGUGACCUCUGAUCAUCUUGUGAUCUCCAAACUUGGGCAGAAGGGUGUGCCUAAGGAUCCAGUUGAUCGUAGGAAAUCCUGAGAGCAGAUAAUGCACUGAGCCAAACUUGAACAUGUCAAGUGCUUCAUUCGGAAUCUCCUUGUACAUGUUGGACAUGGAGUUGUGGUCCAUCUUUUUCUUGGCAUAAAUGUCCAAGUCAUCUACUUGCUCCUCUGGGGCAUUGGUCAGCUUCGCCCAUUCUUCAACAGUAGAGUGGUACCUCGUACCCUCAGACAUCCAUGUAAUCCUCCCAUCUGGAUAAAAGUGAGCUGUGGAGUAGAACUGCAAGAUGAGUUCCUCGUUCCACUUUGUGAGCUUCUGCCCAACAAAGUCCUCUACUCCACAUGCCUUGAAGUUGUCCUGAACUCCUGGGUAGUACUCUUCAUUGUCCUUGAUAUAGGUCCAGUCGACCCAUCUCAUGUCACAUACGAUUGGCUUCUUGUCAAGUAGCACUGUCUCAUAGAAAUCUUGCUGCUCCUUGGUAUGAAAUCUGUAGUCCACUGCAGUCCUUCUCCUAGAAGCAUAUGGAUCUGCUUCUCUCCACUUCAUGAGCCCUGAGUCUCUCCUGAGCUUCAUAUCCUCAGCCACAGGAUGAGCAUCGUUGUGGUCUGGGAUCUUGGGCUUGAGCUUCCGAAGGACAUUCUCUUCCUCAUCCUCAGCAACAGUCUCAGGCACUGGGGCCUUGUUCUUCUCAGCUGCAGGAAUGCUCCGUGUGUUCCUCUUUGGUGCACUCUUAGGCUUAGAUGCAGCCUUAGGUGCUUCCUUGGGCUUGGAUGCAGCUCCCCCUGACCUUAUGGCAUCUCCCAUAAGUUUGGCUGCCUUGGGCGCUGGUGCAGCUGCCUCUUCUUCCUCCUCCUCUUCUACCAUGAUGGAGGCUUUCCCAAGCACUCUGGCUACAGUCUUCUUCACUCUUUCUUUCCUAUUCUUGCCCUCAGCUGCAACGGGCUCAAUGGGAGCAGGCUUCUCAUUUAAGGCUCUAGCCUUUGACAUGGGUUGCCUGCUUGUUGGCCUCUUGAUUUUCAGGCCUGGCUUUGAGCCUUGAGCUGGCUCAACUCUCUUGGAGGUGGCCUCUUCCUUUGCCACAUAGUCCUCAUCUUCUGAAUCUGAGGUUUUCUUCUUCCUUUGUCUCGUGGCAGCCUUUGGCAAAUUGCUAGGAGUGCUCCUGCUGCCUUCAUCAGAUGAACUGGAGGGACUAGUGCCCUCACUCAUCACCACUUGCUGCUCUGACAAGUUUUGGCUGUCACUGUGGUCUGACAUGCUGCAAACUGAUUGCUGACCCUGUGAAUAGAUUAUAGAAGAGAUAGAGUGGAUGAGCAUCACAAAAUGCAGAGAUUUUUUGCAAAAGAAUGAUCCAAAAACUUAGUUUUAGUUUCCCACUGAAAUCAUCUCGGAUCUACCGAUUUUAAAACUCGGUGAUACCGAAGCAGUUUUGGAACCUAAAGUAGUGAACUCGGUAGGACCGAGUCACAGUUCGGUGGCACGGAGACUGCUAGGGUUUCACUGAGUUCAAAAAUCGGUCACACCGAUAAGUAAUUCUUGGUCAGACCGAGUCUCACUUGUGCAAUGGCAAGAGCCAAAUCGGUGGGACCGAGUUUUUCAACUCGGCGGGUCCGAGAUGGUUUCGGCGGAAACCUAAACCUAGAAUUUUCGAAUCAAACCUAAUCUAUGAGUGUUUUGACUGGAUAGAAGUUUAUCAAACGUGGCCAGAAACAAUAUGAUCACAAUGUGCUAGGAAUCAGAUUGAGGAAUAGCACAGAGAUCAAGUCCAUACCCUAGUUCCGCGUGGACUUGCUACGGCGGCAACGGCUGGGCAGAAAUCCCAUUGACGGCGAUGGAGACCAGCGACUGGAGGCUGCUGGCGGCGAGAAGACAAUCCGGAGACCUCAAGGGCAGAGCAGGCUAUCGCGCGGGCGAAGGGGUUCGGAGAAAUUUCCAAAUUUUGCCCGUGACUAUAUAUAGCCCGACCCUGUCGGUGUGACCGAGUGGAACAACUCGGUGGCACCGAGAUUCACAACUGCGUGCAGUUAUUGAAACUCAGUGUGACCGAAAGGUUCAAAUCGGUUGCACCGAGAUUGAAAACUUAGAUCAACUUAAUGAUCUCGGUAUGACCGAAAGUGGAGUAUCGGUCAGACCGAGAAUCAUAAAGAGGUUUUGGAAGUUUAAGCCUAUGACGAAUCGGGAACUCCGAGCGCUCCUCACACAGAGUGGUUCGAAUCUGACUUGAUCAAAUUUUGUGAUGCAGCAUGAAUAGAGUUUGAGACGAGAAAAGCAUAGAUAGCUAGAGGAGGUUCUUAGGCAUUCUUUUCCAUCCACUUGGCAAAAGAAGAUAAAGCCGAACAAUCAAAGCAACAAGUGGAUGUCCUCGAAUGAGUAAAAUAUGCAAUCAGCAUGCUCACACAAUAAGAUAGCAAAUGAAAUAUGUGGCAAAGCAUGCACAACCAAUUCUAGCAUCUAUCAAGUAAUUUGCGAUGACUAGGUCAUCUAUAUAUGAGUAUAUUGACUUAGGAGUCAAGUGAGAACACUUGAUCGUAGGUCAUACUCAUCGUUUAAGCUCAAGUGGGGUUACCACUUUUACAUAAAGCAUUGUUUUGUUCACAUCUUUAGAGUUGCUUUAGCUCAGUCUUAGAGUAAAGCUCCCCCUAGAUGUGAUAUCCCCCCUAAGAGGGAUGAACUAACCUUGGGUUUUGUCGACGAUGACUUCAUGUAGACAUUUAAGAUGUGGAUGCUCAAUGUUGAUGUAGAUAUCUUGGAGCUAUCCAUUUGAGUGAAUUGCACUUUCAAUACCUACAUGGGUUAGUCCCACAAGGAACAAACAAGGAUAUCCAUAGACAUAGAGUGAUGCACACAAAAGAUGAUGUCCAUGAAAACUUUUAGGUUACCUUGUCCCUUGUCUUACCAACAAGAGGGUUUGUGACUCCUUGAACUAGUGCAAGAUGUGGAAGUUGAUUGCACUUGUUCUUGCCAAAAUGAUAAGAGUGAAGUAUGUUGGCAGAGUCACCGUCAAGAACUUUCUAGUUCUUCUUCUUUUGGAUCCACAUCAUCUUGAUGGGAAUCCUUGGAGUUGUAGUCGUACUUGAUGAAGUGGAACUUGAAGUAGUCUUGGGAAUCCACUUGACUAAGGUCUUAGGAGCUUCUUCAAAUGCAUCAAUUUCCUCUUGAAGCUUGUCCUUACCUUUUUGCUCGUAGUCUUGUGGUGGAAGAUCAUCUUGAGCUUGUGUCCCCUUGAAAAACUUCUCUUGUUGAGGGACAAACUUUGUCUUGGGGUAUUGAUCUUCUUCCCAUUCAACUCCAUUGGCAUUGAACUUUCGUUCAAAGCCAAUACCUUGAUUCUUCCGGUGCAUUCCUUGCUUGCGCACAAUUUCCUCAAAUUGCUUACUCCCGGCAAGGCUUUUGUACACUCCUUUCUCUAUAAUUCCCUUCAAUAAGCUAUUUUCUUGCUCAAGUGUAACUUGGCUAAGAGAAUCAUUAGUGGAAUCAAGAGAACUACUAGAAGCAACAAUAUUGGAUUUAGCAUGAUCAUUGUUACUACUAGCGGAAGAAUCUUUCUUGUUAGAUUUGACUUGAGGCAUGUAAGUGGAUAAGAGUAAACGCUUGGCAAUGUAAGAAGAACUUUUCUUGCGGAGAUCAUCAUUGAUUGCCUUUAAGAACUCAUGCUCUUGCUCAAGAUUGAGCUUUUCAAAGAGUAGCUUCUCAUGAGCUCUUAAAAGUUCUCGAUGAUCUUCGAAGAUAGUGUCAUGAGCUAACUUAAGAGUUUUUAGUUCUUUAGUUAGAGCCUCAAUAUUCUCCUUAUCAUUGUCAUUCGUUUUAUCUUGAUUAGCAUGAUUAAUUGGUCUUUCAUCAUAGUAUUCAUCACUAGAGUUGUCACCAAGCAAAUCAUCACCUAACAAGUCAUCUUCAUCACUAUUGAAAUCAACAUACUCGGGGUGUGUUACCUUAGGACCUUUGGCCAUGAGGCUUCCAAUUCCUUCAUUUGGUGAGUCAAAUAUGUCGUAGGAGUUGGUUGACACAAGUGCUAGACCGGCAACACCUUCAUCUUGAGUAUCUUCGGAGUCGGAGUGAUAACUUCUCUCGGAGUGGCUGUCGGAGUCGGAGUCGGAUACCCAUUCACCAACAUGAGCUUGAUGUCUUCGUCUUGUGUAGCUCCUUGAUGAUUUUUCCUUCCUUUCCGAAUCCUUGCUUCUCCGUGAGUAUCUUCGUUCAUAACGAUCAUCUCUACUCCUUCUCUCUCUUGGUGGUGAUCCUUUGCUUCUUCCUUUUGGAGAAUCUUCUCUUCUCUUGUAGGGAGCCGUACACUCGUUGGAAUAGUGUCCGGGUCUUCCACAAUUGUAACAGUUUCUCUCUCGACUAGAAGAUCUUUUGUCAUUGUAGGACCUUGACUUGGAGCUUCUAUCUUUGCUUCUACUCUUGUAGAACUUGUUGAAGUUCUUCACCAUUAAGCUCAAUUCUUCAUUGAAGUCUUGUUUCUCACUUGAUGAUGUAGGGGCUUCACAUGAGACUUUAUAGGCACCACUUGACUUGUUGUGAAGUUCCUCUUUAUCCUUAAGUGACAUCUCAUGAGCAACAAUUCUUCCAAUCACUUCUGUUGGCUUGAGAUCUUUGUAAUUGGGCAUCAUUUGGAUCAAUGUGCACACGGUAUCAUAUUUUCCAUCCAAGGCUCUUAAGAUCUUCUUGAUGAUGAAUCUAUCGGUCAUCUCUUCACUUCCUAAGCCGGCAAUCUCAUUUGUGAUGAGAGCAAGCCUAGAGUACAUUUCAGCGACACCUUCACCAUCCUUCAUCUUGAACUUGUCAAGUUGGCUUUGAAGCACAUCCAACUUGGAUUCCUUGACGGAGUCGGUACCUUCGUGCAUAUCAAUCAAAGUGUCCCAAAUUUCCUUUGCAUUCUCAAGGCGGCUGAUUUUGUUGAAUUCUUCUGGGCAUAAUCCGUUGAAGAGAAUAUCACAAGCUUGAGCAUUGUAUUGCAACAUCUUCAACUCAUCCGUGGUAGCUUCACGGUUUGGUUCUCUCCCAUCAAAGAAGUCACCUUGCAGACCAACACACACAAUAGCCCAAACAGCGGGGUUAUGUCCAAGAAUAUGCAUUUUCAUUUUAUGCUUCCAACUAGCAAAAUUAGUACCAUCAAAGUAAGGACCUCUACGGUGAUAAUUUCCCUUGCUAGACGCCAUACUCUCCUAGGUUGUGAAACCAAGGCUAUGACCACCAAAAGCUAUGGAGAUCAAGCAAAUGGAGACCAAAGCUCUGAUACCACUUGUAGGAUCGAAAGUAUGUCUAGAGGGGGGGUGAUUAGACUACUUGACUAAUUAAAAACUUAACCUUUUCCCAAUUUUAGUUCUUGGUAGAUUUUAGCUAUUUUAGGACAAGUCAAGCAAUUAUCACACAAUUCAAGCAAGCAUGCAAAGAGUUUAUGGGCAGCGGAAAGUAAAGCAUGCAACUUGCAAGAGUAUAAAUGGAAGGGUUUGGAGAAGUCAAACUCUAUUGGAGACACGGAUGUUUUUCCCGUGGUUCGGAUAGGUGGUGCUAUCCUACAUCCACGUUGAUGGAGACUUCAACCCACGAAGGGUAACGGUUGCGCGAGUCCACACAGGGCUCCACCCAAGGGCAACGGUUGCGCGAGUCCACGAAGGGUCCACGAAGAAGCAACCACCCACAAAGGGUCCACGAAGAAGCAACCUUGUCUAUCCCACCAUGGCCAUCGCCCACGAAGGACUUGCCUCACUAGCGGUAGAUCUUCACGAAGUAGGCGAUCUCCUUGCCCUUACAAACUCCUUGGUUCUGUGCUCCUAGGCAUUUUAUGAGAGAGCGAGGUGGGUCAUGUAACAACAAAGUAGUACAUAUUAAUAUUCAACUAUUGUACUUGCUGGCUACAAGCGUAGCUAUAUGUGACGUGACAACAUCAUAUAGCCAGCAGCCGGCUAUAUUAUUAACCAUGCUCUGAGUCAAUGACAUGCGGACGUUAAAUGUGGCUGGCCCACAUGUCAUUCUCAUGGUGGUGGUGUGGUUCACGACUCACUCGUUCGAGAUGAACCGGCCGGUGGUGGCGUGGUCGUGGCAAGGGUGCCACAGCUGGGUGUCGGGGCGUUAUGAGGCGUAGAUGGCCACACCGGCGGGUACUACCUGUAGUACAGAAGUACUCCAGCUGAGGAUUGAUGCCCAGGACGAAAUGUGUCACAGCCGCUGCAUGAAAAUUCAAUGAUGCGGGACGUGUGGUGUUAUGGGUUCGUGCGGCGUCGUGGGAAUCGCGUGUGGCUGUGGUAGAAACUUGAUGCUCGCCGCAUUUAAAGUGGCCCACAGUCAUGCACACAAAGGCAGAGAGGCGGUGCGGCCGAGAGGGGUGAGGCGCACGUCGGGGGACGUGGUGCCAUGGGUUGGAGCGGCGUCAUGGGAAUCGCGAGUGGCAGUGGAUGAAACAUGAUGGUCGUCGUAGUUGAACUUCCAUGGACAAGCUGUCAUUUCUACGGACACAUGCAUUGCAUACCGAUCACUAGAAGGAGUAGUAGAGAAAGCUAGGCGGAUAAAUAGUUCCUUAUAGUCAAGCGGACCCACGCUACUACCUGUUCCAAAGACAUGCACACCAUCGAAAUAGUCCAUCAAUAUCAAUAUACAUAGAGAGGGAAUAUUUUUUUACAAGAGAGGAAAUAGUUCAUCCAUCCAUAAUGCCCUGCUGCUGGUGCAACAUCUUCUUCUUCUUCUUCUUCUUCUUCUUAUUCUUAUUCUUCUUCUUCUUCUUCUCAUUUUCUGUGGGAGACGGCUUCGCAACAAGCUCUCUGGACCUUGCAGCUAUCUCGAAACUCAUACGGGCACCGAGGGCAGCAUAUUUUAUCUGCUCGUACGUUAAGGGAUAAUUCUCCCAUCCAGACGACCUUAAUGCCAGCGUCUCGCCACCCUUCUAAAGAUUUGUUCCUAGCACAAAAUUUGCUACGUUGAAUAGGGAUGGUGUCGGUUUAUCACAAUCUUCUAUAGGAAUUUUUAUUCUAGUUUGUAGGUCAGCGAUGCUUUUCAAAUCAAGGUUGUACGGCUCCAACUUCUGUUUGUCCCCUGCGAUGGCUGCCCCACAGAAGCAUAUGUCCUCCCGAGACAAGAAAUCAUGAAGCUCACCUGGUAUAGAGGGCGCGUGGAUGAUGUGGUACACCAAAACAUCAUCUUUGAGGCACAGCUGAAGGACUGCGGCGUGUUGGAUCUUCCUAGUGGCACGCUCCAUGUACUCUGCGUCGAGACCGAUGACAUUCAUCUCCACCUUUUGGAGGGAGUUGGAUACAUUGUUGAUCCACUUCCAAACAACCCUUGGGUGGUCGGUGAUUGUGGCAACUAUGCUCAACGAGCCUUCGACGAGGACAUGUUGGACGCUAAAAACCUGCAUCUCGAUCUCUUUCGCCAUUUGGAACCGCUGGACCGGAGGGCUAUGGUUUGGAGAAUUAGGAUUAGAUGGCUAAUCUAACUGAAGAAGAUGAUUAUUUAUAGGGGCUUCGGAAUUACUCCAUGAGGAUGUGAAGAGGUUAAAAAAAUGUGAAUGCAGUGUGGUUUGGAUGCAAAUGAAGAUCAAGGAGUAGUGAAAAGCCGAGGAAAUUUGGUUCCUGAUGGAGAAGUAAAUGGGAGAAGUUAUGCGCAUGCAUGAGGAGAGGUGCAGUGGUUUGACUGCUGCAUGCAAUGGAUUGGACGGGCUCUUCGGUUGCCUUUUCUCUCUCCCACGCGCACAGAGUGGCCCACUUGCAUGUUGCAGUUUAUUGGCUGGAGUCGGGCUGCAGCUGCUCAUGCGUACGCUAAUUAAUGCUGUGAAUGCGGGGCAUGGAGGGAAAUGGGUGCAUGCAAAAGGGUGUAUACGCAGACUAAUUAGAGAAAUACUGAAAAAAGUUAUGCGCAGACAAAAGAGGACCGGAGGGAGUACUACUCAUGUUCCUACUACGGUUAAGGAAUAUGUUGUUAUCCUCAAAAAAAGAAAAUUCCUUCUUCGCGCUUCCGCAUGCACGAGAAUUUGGUUCUGCUCGCAAUAUGGAUGAUAGCUGGAGGAUGAAGUGAACCCAGAGGCUUGCUAGCACGGGAAUGUACUCAUAUUCCUACUACUCCUACUACUAGUAGUAGUACAACUGUGGUACACUUGAUGGUCAAAAUACUAUUAUUCAUCCGGUCCUCACAGUGAAGUGACAAUACCCUGUGCCCGAGGUGACACCAGUCCAGGCGGCGUGUCGGGGUUACCAAAGUCAGCCUCACCUUGUGCACUAUGCAGUCACUGUCACAGCCGAUGUAUAGCAUGCCUCGCCUCGUCUCCCUCUCCCCUAGCACCACUCCAUCUCCAUCUCCGUCUCGCCAGAGAUCCUAAGGUCACUCUUCAUUAUUUCACUGUGCCCCCGCAUACCCUAGCCUCGCUCACCACCCCCAGUACCACUAUUCCCUCGCUAGCCGCUCCAGCACCGACAGCCUUCUCCCCCGUAAAUCAAGCCCCCCAAAACCCCACCUUCCAAACUCCACCAUGGCCGAACGCGAACCGCGCAGGAUCCAUAUGAGCCGCGAUAGGAGCUAUCUCCCCAGUGACGUCCUCGACCUCUGUUGUUCGUGUAUGGAUAUGUUGAGCGCCCUGCAGCUGGCUGCAUGCUCGAGGGGCAUGCACACGGCCAUCAUUGAAGCGAGGCCUAAGCUUUUCAAGACACCCUACUUGCUGCUAUCUGGUCUUACGAGAUUGGCUCACCAUGAUACGGAGGCGUACAUGAUGCCCUCGACUUCAAUCCGAUCUCCAUUAGCCAAAACUUCUUUGCGGGUAUGUAGUGGGUCGCCGUACAUCAUUUCCCUCGACUUUGAUCCGAUCACCAUCACCCGAAACUUCUUGGCACGUAUGUAUUAGGUCAGCAUGAACUCCCAAUGGAUGGCUGCCGUCAGAGAAGACAGUAAAAAGUUGGUGCUCGUCAACUUCCAGACCUCAUAUGAGAUUAUCCUUCCUCCGUUGGAUUAUAUAGAGUAUUACCAUCAUGGUCCUAGUCAUCUAGAUUACCGCGUCAGUUGGACGGACCUUGUUUUGUAGAAGAUUGUAAUCUGCCAAGUGCCCACACGACAUGCGGAUUACGCAGACUUCAAGCUAAUUGCCUUGUUCGACAAGGGACUCGCCUAUCUUUACGCCGGUGCCUUCUUUAGAUGGAGACAACUCAGCUCGCAGUGGAUCAUCAUCAAAGCUGAUAAACACUUCUGUGAUGCUAUUGAACACAAUGGCAUCAUCUACGCGAUCGACAAAGCAGAUGGCACCAUGUAUUGCUGGGACGGCGCAUGUAAGUUGUUUCCGUCUCAUGUUAAUGAUGACGCCAUGACACUGUUUGAACUUUUUGUGAUGAUUGGCAUAUCCCUGUUUGAGCAGAAUUUGAGUAGAACUAUGGCAAUGUAUUAGAGACGCCGUAAAUCAGCUAUAUUUGGAAUGAGUUAAUUCAUGCGAUUGUGAUCAUGUCAUUACAGCCAAUUUGUACCCCUGAAUAAUCAAAUGGUUAGGAAUAUAUGGAUAUUCUCCUUAUUUUAUAGUAAUCUAUAUAUCACUACUAAAUACGAGUGUGUAUCAAUGGCCAUGUUAGUUUCCUCAUUUUCAUGAUGUAGAAACAUGCACCACACUGCUGGUUUCAUCUAACCAUACAUUAGGGAAGUAAAUGUGCAUAUGGAGAACUCUAUAUUUGGAAGUAGUGAAUGUUGGGGAACGUAGCAAUAAUUCAAAAAUUUCCUACGUGUCACCAAGAUCAAUCUAGGAGAUGCUAGCAACGAGAGAGAGGGAGUGCAUCUUCAUACCUUUUCUUUGAAGAUUGCUAAGCGGAAGCGUUACAAGAACAUGGUUGAUGGAGUCGUACUCGCGGCGAUUCAAAUCCUAGAAGAUCCGAUCUAGCGCCGAACGGACGGCGCCUCCACGUUCAACACACGUACAGCCCGGGGACGUCUCCUCCACGUUCAACACACGUACAGCCCGGGGACGUCUCCUCCUUCUUGAUCCAGCAAGGGGAGAGGAGAAGUUGAGGGAGAACUCCAGCAGCACGACGGCAUGGUGGCGAUGGAGCUCGUGGUUCUCCAGCAAGGCUUCGCCAAGCACUACGGAGGAGGAGGAGUAGUUGGAGGAGGGAGGGCUGCGCCAGGGAAGAGUUACGGCUGCCCUCCCACCCCUCCACUAUAUAUAGGGGCAAGGGGAGAGGGGGAGGCGCCCUAGGGUUUCCCCUAGGGGGCGGCGGCCAAGCAGAUUGGAUCUCCCUAGGGAAAAUCCUAGGGAGACUUGCCCCCCAAGCCAAGCAGGUGGAGGCUUGCCUCCCAAGCCAGGUGGAGGCGCCCCACCUCCCCAAGUAACAUGGGAAAGGGUGUGGGGGACGCACCACCCCUUAGUGGGCUGGUUUGCCCCUUCCCCUUUGGCCCAUGAGGCCUUCCAACACUUGUCGGGGCUCCCGAAACACCUUUCGGUCAUGCUGGCCAUAGCCUGGUACCCCCAGAACACUUCCGGACUCCAAUACCCUUCAUCCAAUAUAUCAAUCUUCAUCGCCGGACCAUUCCGGAACUCCUCGUGGCGUCCGGGAUCUCAUCCGGGACUCCGAACUACCUUCGGUAACCACAUACUAUUUCCCAUAACAACUCUAGCGUCACCGAACCAUAAGUGUGUAGACCCUACGGGUUCGGGAACCAUGCAGACAUGACCGAGACACCUCUCCGGCCAAUAACCAAUAGCGGGAUCUGGAUACCCAUAUUGGCUCCCACAUGUUCCAUGAUGAUCUCAUCGGAUGAACCACGAUGUCAGGGAUUCGAUCAAUCCCGUAUUCAAUUCCCUUUGUCAAUCGGUAUGUUACUUGCCUGAGAUUCGAUCGUCGGUAUCCCAAUACCUUGUUCAAUAUCGUUACCGGCAAGUCACUUUACUCGUUCCGUAAUGCAUGAUCUCGUGACUAACUGCUUAGUCACAUCGAGCUCAUUAUGAUGAUGCAUUACCGAGUGGGCCCAGAGAUACCUCCGUCAUACGAAGUGACAAAUCCCAGUCUCGAUUCGUACCAACCCAACAGACACUUUCGGAGAUACCUGUAGUGCACCUUAAUAGCCACCCAGUUACGUUGUGACGUUUGGUACACCCAAAGCAUUCCUACGGUAUCCGGGAGUUGCACAAUCUCAUGGUCUAAGGAAAUGAUACUUGACAUUAGAAAAGCUUUUAGCAAACGAACUACACGAUCUUGUGCUAUGCUUAGGAUUGGGUCUUGUCCAUCACAUCAUUCUCCUAAUGAUGUGAUCCCGUUAUAAAUGACAUCUAAUGUCCAUGGUCAGGAAACCAUAACCAUCUAUUGAUCAACGAGGUAGUCAACUAGAGGCUCACUAGGGACAUGUUGUGGUCUAUGUAUUCACACAUGUAUUACGGUUUCCAGUUAAUACAAUUAUAGCAUGAACAAUAGACAAUUAUCAUGAACAAGGAAAUACAAUAAUAACAAUUUUAUUAUUGCCUCCAGGGCAUAUUUCCAACAGUCUCCCACUUGCACUAGAGUCAAUAAUCUAGUUUACAUCACUAUGUGAUUGUAAUGAAUCCAACACCCAUGGGGUUUGAUCAUAUCUCGCUUGUGAGAGAGGUUAUUAGUCAACGGGUCUGUACCUUUCAGAUCCGUGUGUGCUUUACAAAUCUCUAUGUCAUCUUGUAGAUGCAGCUACCAUGCGCUACUUGGAGCUAUUCCAAAUAACUGCUCUACUAUACGAAUCCGGUUUACUACUCAGAGUCAUCCGGAUUAGUGUCAAAGUUUGCAUCGACAUAACCCUUUACGAAGAACUCUUUUACCACCUCCAUAAUCGAGAAAAUUCCUUAGUCCACUAGUUACUAAGGAUAAGUUUGACCGCUGUCAUGUGAUCCAUUCCUGGAUCAGUCUUGUACCCCUUGAUUGACUCAUGGCGAGGCACACUUUAGGUGCGGUACACAGCAUAGCAUACUGUAGAGCCUACAUCUAAAGCAUAGGGGACGACCUUCGUCCUUUCUCUCUCUUCUGCCGUGGUCAGAUCUUGAGUCUUACUCAAUGCUCACACCUUAUAACACAGCCAAGAACUCCUUCUUUGCUGAUCUAUUUGAACUCCUUCAAAAUCUUGUCACGGUAUGUAUUCAUUUGAAAGUACUAUUAAGCAUUUUUUUAUCUAUCCUUAUAGAUCUUGAUGCUCAAUGUUCAAGUAGCUUAAUCCAGGUUUUCCACUGAAAAACACUUUUCAAAUAACCCUAUAUGCUUUCCAUAAAUUCUACAUCAUUUCUGAUCAACAAUAUGUCAACAACAUAUACUCAUCAGAAAUUCUAUAGUACUCCCACUCACUUCUUUGGAAAUACAAGUUUCUCAUAAACUUUGUAUAAACCCAAAAUCUUUGAUCAUCUCAUCAAAGUGUAUAUUCCAACUCCGAGAUGCUUACUCCAGUCCUUAGAAGGAUUGUUGGAGCUUUGCAUACUUGUUAGCAUAUUUCAGGAUUGACAAAACCUUCUGGUUGUAUCACAUACAACCUUUCCUCAAGAAAAUUGUAGAGGAAACAAUGUUUUGACAUCCUAUCUGCAAGAUUUCAUAAAUAAUGCAGUAACUGCAAAUACAAUUCCAACAGACUCUUAGCAUCGCUACGAGUGAGAAAAUCUCACCGUAGUCAACUCCUUGAACUUGUCGGAAAACAUCUUAACGACAAGUCGAGCUUUCUUAAUUGUGACACUUACCAUCAUUGUCCGUCUUCCUUUUAAAAUCCAUCUGCACCCAACAGCCUUACGACCAUCAAGUAGUUCUUCCAAAGUCUAUACUUUGUUUUUAUACAUGGAUCCUCUCUCGGAUUUUAUGGCCUCGAGCCAUUCGUCGGAAUCCGGGCCCACCAUCGCUUCUCCAUAGCUCAUAGGUUCAUUGUUGUCUAGCAAAAUGACUUCCAAGACAGGAUUACGUACCACUCUAAAGUAUUACGCAUCCUUGUCGACCUACGAGGUUUGUUAGUGACUUGAUCCGAAGUUUCAUGAUCACUAUCAUAAGCUUCCACUUCAAUUGGUGUAGGUGCCACAGGAACAACUUCCUGUGCCCUGCUACAUACUAGUUGAAGUGACGGUUCAAUAACCUCAUCAAGUCUCCACCUAUCCUCCCACUCAAUUCUUUUGAGAGAAACUUUUCCUCGAGAAAGGACCUGUUUCUAGAAACAAUCACUUUUGCUUCUGGAUCUGAAAUAGGAGGUAUAGACAACUGUUUUGGGUAUUCUAUGAAGAUGCAUUUAUCCGCUUUGGGUUCGAGCUUAUCAGCCUGAAACUUUUUCACAUAAGCGUCGUAGCCCCAGGUUUCUCUAAACCAUAGUUCAUACGGUGUCGUCUCAACGGAAUUGUGUGGUGCCCUAUUUAAAGUGAAUGUGGUUGUCUCUAAUGCCUAACCCAUAAACGAUAGUGGUAAUUCAAUAAGAGACAUCAUGGUAUGCACCAUAUCCAAUAGGGUGCAGUUAUGAUGUUCGGACACACCAUCACUGAAGGAAAUAUGCCCUAGAGGCAAUAAUAAAGUUAUUAUUUAUUUACUUAUUUCAUGAUAAAUGUUUAUUAUUCAUGCUAGAAUUGUAUUAACAGGAAACAUAAUACAUGUGUGAAUACAUAGACAAACAGACUGUCACUAGUAUGCCUCUACUUGACUAGCUCGUUAAUCAAAGAUGGUUAUGUUUCCUAACCAUGGACAAAGAGUUGUUAUUUGAUUAACGGGAUCACAUCAUUAGGUGAAUGAUCUGAUUGACAUGACCCAUUCCAUUAGCUUAGCACCCGAUCAUUUAGUAUGUUGCUAUUGCUUUCUUCAUGACUUAUACAUGUUCCUAUGACUAUGAGAUUAUGCAACUCCCGUUUGCCAGAGGAACACUUUGUGUGCUACCAAACGUCACAACGUAACUGGGUGAUUAUAAAGGAGCUCUACAGGUGUCUCCAAAGGUACAUGUUGGGUUGGCGUAUUUCGAGAUUAGGAUUUGUCACUCCGAUUGUCGGAGAGGUAUCUUUGGGCCCUCUCGAUAAUACACAUCACUUAAGCCUUGCAAGCAUUGCAACUAAUGAGUUAGUUGCGGGAUGAUGUAUUACAGAACGAGUAAAGAGACUUGCCGGUAACGAGAUUGAACUAGGUAUUGGAUACCGACGAUCGAAUCUCGGGCAAGUAACAUACCGAUGACAAAGGGAACAACGUAUGUUGUUAUGCGGUCUGACCGAUAAAGAUCUUCGUAGAAUAUGUAGGAGCCAAUAUGGGCAUCCAGGUCCCGCUAUUGGUUAUUGACCGGAGACGUGUCUCGGUCAUGUCUACAUUGUUCUCGAACCCGUAGGGUCUGCACGCUUAAGGUUUCGAUGACAGUAAUAUUAUGAGUUUAUGAGUUUUGAUGUACCGAAGGAGUUCGGAGCCCCGGAUGAGAUCGGGGACAUGACGAGGAGUCUCGAAAUGGUCGAGACGUAAAGAUCAAUAUAUUGGACGACUAUAUUCGGACAUCGGAAAGGUUCCGAGUGAUUCGGGUAUUUUUCGGAGUACCGGGUAGUUACGGGAGAAGCAAUGGGCCUUGAUGGGCUUUAGUGGGAAGANNNNNNNNNNNNNNNNNNNNNNNNNNNNNNNNNNNNNNNNNNNNNNNNNNNNNNNNNNNNNNNNNNNNNNNNNNNNNNNNNNNNNNNNNNNNNNNNNNNNNNNNNNNNNNNNNNNNNNNNNNNNNNNNNNNNNNNNNNNNNNNNNNNNNNNNNNNNNNNNNNNNNNNNNNNNNNNNNNNNNNNNNNNNNNNNNNNNNNNNNAUUGGACUAGGGAAAAGGGGGCCGGCCACCUCUCCUUCUCCUCCACUUCCUUCUUCCUUCCUCCCCUCUUGGUGGACUCCUACUAGGACUUGGAGUCCUAGUAGGACUCCACAUCCUGGCCGCACCAAUUGCCUUGGCCGGCCUCCUCCUCCUCCAUACUUUAUAUACUGAGGCAAGGGGCACCCCAUAGAGAAGUUGAUCCACGUGAUCUUAUUCUUAGCCGUGUGCGGCGCCCCCAGCCACCAUAGUCGUCGAUAAUAUUGUAGCGGUGCUUAGGCGAAGCCCUGUAGCAGUAGUGCAUCAAGAUCGUCACCAUGUCGUCGUGCUGAUAGAACUCUUCCCCGACACUUUGCUGGAUCGGAGUCCGGGGAUCGUCACCGAGUUGAACGUGUGCUAGAACUCGGAGGUGCCGUAGUUUCGGUGCUUGAUCGGUUGGGCCGUGAAGACGUACGACUACAUCAACCAAACGCUUCCGUUGUCGAUAUACCAAGGGUACGUAGAUCACACUCUCCCCUCGUUGCUAUGCAUCACCAUGAUCUUGCGUGUGCGUAGGAAAAUUUUUGAAAUUACUACGUUCCCCAACAGUGGUAUCAGAGCCUAGGUUUUAUAUGUUGAUGUUAUAUGCACGAGUAGAACACAAGUGAGUUGUGGGCGAUAUAAGUCAUACUGCCUACCAGCAUGUCAUACUUUGGUUCGGCGGUAUUGUUGGAUGAAGCGGCCCAGACCAACAUUACACGUACGCUUACGCGAGACCGGUUCUCCCGACGUGCUUUGCACAGAGGUGGCUUGUGGGUGACAGUUUCUCCAACUUUAGUUGAACCAAGUGUGGCUACGCCCGGUCCUUGCGAAGGUUAAAAUGGAGUCAAAUUGACAAACUAUCGUUGUGGUUUUGAUGCGUAGGUGAGAUUGGUUCUUACUUAAGCCCGUAGCAGCCACGUAAAACUUGCAACAACAUAGUAGAGGACGUCUAACUUGUUUUUGCAGGGCAUGUUGUGAUGUGAUAUGGUCAAAACGUGAUGAGAUAUAAGUUGUUGUAUGAGAUGAUCAUGUUUUGUUAAAGGUAUCGACAACUGGCAAAAGCCUUAUGGUUGUCUCCAUAUUGCAUAAGAUGCAAGCGCCAAAUAAUUGCUUUACUUUAUCGCUAUGCGAUAGCAAUAGUUGCAAGAGCAAUAGUUGGCGAGAUGACCAUGUGACGACACAUUGAUAUAGAUCAAGAUGAUGGAGAUCAUGGUGUCAUGCCAGUGACGAUAGAGAUCAUGACAGUACUUUGGAGAUGGAGAUCAAAGGCGCAAGAUGAUGAUGGCCAUAUCAUGUCACAUAUUUUGAAUGCAUAUGAUGUUUAUCUUUUAUACAUCUUAUUUUUAGUUUGAUGGUAGCAUUUUAAGAUGAUCUCUCACUAAUUAUCAAGAAGUGUUCUCCCUGAGUAUGCACCAUUGCCAAAGUUCGUCGUGCCCAGACACCACGUGAUGAUCGGGUGUGAUAAGCUCUACGUCCAUCUACAACGGGUGCAAGCCAGUUUUGCACACGCGGAAUACUCAGGUUAAACUUGACGACCCUAGCAUAUGCAGAUAUGGCCUCGGAACACGGAGACCGAAAGGUCGAGCGUGAAUCAUAUAGUAGAUAUGAUCAACAUAGUGAUGUUCACCAUUGAAAACUACUCCAUCUCACGUGAUGAUCGGUUAUGGUUUAGUUGAUAUGGAUCACGUAAUCACUUAGAAGAUUAGAGGGAUGUCUAUCUAAGUGGGAGUUCUUAAGUAAUAUGAUUAAUUGAACUUAAAUUUAUCAUGAACUUAGUCCUGGUAGCAUUUUGCAAAUUAUGUUGUAGAUCAAUAGCUUGCGUUGUUGCUUUCAUAUGUUUAUUUUGAUAUGUUCCUAGAGAAAAAUUGUGUUGAAAGAUGUUAGUAGCAAUGAUGCAGAUUGGAUCCGUGAUCUGAGGUUUAUCCUCAUUGCUGCACAGAAGAAUUAUGUCCUUGAUGCACCGCUAGGUGACAGACCUAUUGCAGGAGCAGAUACAGACGUUAUGAACGUUUGGCUAGCUCAAUAUGAUGACUACUUGAUAGUUUAGUGCACCAUGCUUAACGGCUUAUCGGGACUUCAAAGACGUUUUGAACGUCAUGGACCAUAUGAGAUGUUCCAGGAAUUGAAGUUAAUAUUUCAAGCAAAUACCCGAGUUGAGAGAUAUGAAGUCUCCAACAAGUUCUAUAGCUAAAAGAUGGAGGAGAAUUGCUCAACUAGUGAGCAUGUGCUCAGAUUGUCUGGGUACUACAAUCACUUGAAUCAAGUGGGAGUUAAUCUUCCAGAUAAAAUAGUGAUUGACAGAAUUCUCUAGUCACCAUCACCAAGUUAGUAGAACUUCGUGAUGAACUAUAAUAUGCAAGGGAUGACUAAAGUGAUUCCCAAGCUCUUCGUGAUGUUGAAAUCGACGAAGGUAGAAAUCAAGAAAGAGCAUCAAGUGUUGAUGGUAGACAAGACCACUAGUUUCAAUAAAAGGGCAAAGGGAAGAAGGGGAACUUCAAGAAGAACGGCAAGCAAGUUGCUGCUCAAGUGAAGAAGCCCAAGUCUGGUCCUAAGCCUGAGACUAAGUGUUUCUACUACAAAGGGACUGGUCAUUGGAAGCGGAACUACCCCAAGUGAUUGGCAGAUAAGAAGGAUGGCAAAGUGAACAUAAGUAUAUUUGAUAUACAUGUUAUUGAUGUGUACUUUACUAGUGUUUAUAGCAACCCCUCAGUAUUUGAUACUAGUUCAGUUGCUAAGAUUAGUAACUCGAAACGGGAGUUGUAGAAUAAACAGAGACUAGUUAAGGGAGAAGUGACGAUGUGUGUUGGAAGUGGUUCCAAGAUUGAUAUGAUCAUCAUCGCACACUCCCCUAUACUUUCGGGAUUAGUGUUGAACCUAAAUAAGUGUUAUUUGGUUUUUGCGUUGAGCAUGAAUAUGAUUUGAUCAUGUUUAUUGCAAUUCGGUUAUUCAUUAAAGUCAGAGAAUAAUUGUUGUUCUGUUUACAUGAAUAAAACCUUCGAUGGUCAUACACCCAAUGAAACAAGUUCAUUGGAUCUCGAUCGUAGUGAUACACAUAUUCAUAAUAUUGAAACCAAAAGAUGCGAAGUUAAUAAUGAUAGUGCAACUUAUUUGUAGCACUGCCGUUUAGGUCAUAUUGGUGUAAAGCGCAUGAAGAAACUCCAUGCUGAUGGAAUUUUGGAAUCACUUGAUUAUGAAUCACUUGAUGCUUGCGAACCAUGCCUCAUGGGCAAGAUGACUAAGACUCCGUUCUCCGGAGCGAGCAACUGACUUAUUGGAAAUAAUACAUACUGAUGUAUGCAGUCCGAUGAGUGUUAAGGCUCACGGCAAGUAUCGUUAUUUUCUGAACUUCACAGAUGAUUUGAGCAGAUAUGGGUAUAUCUACUUGAUGAAACAUAAGUCUGAAACAUUUGAAAAGUUCAAAGAAUUUCAGAGUGAAGUGGAAAAUCAUCAUGACAAGAAAAUAAAAUUUCUACGAUCUGAUCGCGGAGACAAAUAUUUGAGUUACGAGUUUGGUCUUCAAUUAAAAAAUGUGGAAUAGUUUCACAAACUCAUGCCACAUGGAACACCACAGCAUAAUGGUGUGUCCGAACGUCAUAACCAUACUUUAUUGGAUAUAGUGCAAUCUAUGAUGUCUCUUACCGAUCUACCACUAUCGUUUUGGGGUUAUGCAUUAGAGACAGCUACAUUCACGUUAAAUAGGGCACCAUCUAAAUCCGUUGAGACGACACCAUGUGAACUAUGGUUUGGCAAGAAACCUAAGCUGCCGUUUCUUAAAGUUUGGUGUUGCGAUGCUUAUAUGAAAAAGUUUCAUCCUGAUAAGCUCAAACUCAAAUCGGAGAAGUGCGUCUUCAUAGGAUAUCCAAAGGAAACUAUUGGAUACACCUUCUAUCACAGAUCCGAAGGCAAGACUUUUGUUGCUAAAUUCGGAAACUUUCUGGAGAAAGAGUUUCUCUCGAAAGAAGUGAGUGGGAGGAAAGUAGAACUUGACAAGGUAACUGUACCUGCUCCCUUAUUGGAAAGUAGUACAUCACAGAAAACUGUUUCUGUGACACCUACACCAGUUAGUGAGGAAGCUAAUGAUGAUGAUCAUGAAACUUCAAAACAAGAUACUACUGAACCUCGUAGAUCAACCAGAGUAAGAUCCGCGCCAGAGUGGUAUGGUAAUCCUGUUCUGGAAGUCAUGCUACUAGAUCAUGAUGAACCUACGAACUAUGAAGAAGCGAUGGUGAGCCCAGAUUCCGCAAAGUGGCUUGAAGCCAUGAAAUCUGAGAUAUGAUCCAUGUAUAAGAACAAAGUAUGGACUUUGGUUGACUUGCCCGAUGAUCGGCAAGUCAUAGAAAAUAAAUGGAUCUUCAAGAGGAAGACGGACGCUGAUAGUAGUGUUACUAUCUACAAAGCUAGAAUUGUCGCAAAAGGUUUUCGACAAGUUCAAGGUGUUGACUACGAUGAGAUUUUCUCACUCGUAUCUAUGCUUAAGUCUGUCCGAAUCAUGUUAGCAAUUGCCGCAUUUUAUGAAAUCUGGCAAAUGGAUAAACAAAACUGCAUUCCUUAAUGGAUUUACUAAAGAAGAGUUGUAUACGAUGCAACUAGAAGGUUUUGUCGAUCCUAAAGGUGUUAACUAAAUAUGCAAGCUCCAGCGAUCCAUCUAUGGACUGGUGCAAGAAUCUCGGAGUUGGAAUAUACGCUUUGAUAAGUUGAUCAAAGCAUAUAGUUUUAUACAGACUUGCGGUGAAGCCUGUAUUUACAAGAAAGUGAGUGGGAGCACUACAACAUUUCUGAUAAGUAUAUGUGAAUGACAUAUUGUUGAUCGAAAAUAAUGUAGAAUUAUUCUGCAAAGCAUAAAGGAGUGUUUGAAAGGAGUUUUUCAAAGAAAGACCUCGGUGAAGCUGCUUACAUAUUGAGUAUCAAGAUCUAUAGAGAUAGAUCAAGACACUUGAUAAGUUUUUUCAAUGAGUACAUACCUUGACAAGAUUUUGAAGUAGUUCAAAAUGGAACAGUCAAAGAAAAGGUUUCUUGCCUGUGUUACAAGGUGUGAAGUUGAGUAAGACUCAAAGCCCGACCACGGCAGAAGAUAGAAAGAGAAUGAAAGUCAUUCCCUAUGCCUCAGUCAUAGGUUCUAUAAAGUAUGCCAUGCUGUAUACCAGAUCUAUUGUAUGCCCUACCACUGAGUUUGGCAAGGGAGUACGAUAGUGAUCUAGGAGUAGAUCACUGGACAGCGGUCAAAAUUAUCCUUAGUGGAAUAAGGAUAUGUUUCUCGAUUAUGGAAGUGAAAAAAAAAGGUUCAUCGUAAAGGGUUACGCCGAUGCAAGUUUUGACACUAAUCUAGAUGACUCUAAGUCUCGGUCUAGAUACAUAUUGAAAGUGGGAGCAAUUAGCUAGAGUAGCUCCAUGCAGAGCAUUGUUGACAUAGAAAUUUGCAAAAUACAUGCGGAUCUGAAUGUGGCAGACCCGUUGACUAAGAUUCUCUCACAAGCAAAACAUGAUCACACCUUAGUACUCCUUGGGUGUUAAUCACAUAGCGAUGUGAACUAGAUUACUGAAUCUAGUAAACCCUUUGGGUGUUGGUCACAUGGCGAUGUGAACUAUGGGUGUUAAUCACAUGAUGAUGUGAACUAUCGAUGUUAAUCACAUGGUGAUGUGAUCUAGAUUAUUGACUCUAGUGCUAGUGGGAGACUGAAGGAAAUAUGCCCUAGAGGCAAUAAUAAAGUUAUUAUUUAUUUCCUUAUUUCAUGAUAAAUGUUUAUUAUUCAUGCUAGAAUUGUAUUAACAGGAAACAUAAUACAUGUGUGAAUACAUAGACAAACAGAGUGUCACUAGUAUGCCUCUACUUGACUAGCUCGUUAAUCAAAGAUGGUUAUGUUUCCUAACCAUGGACAAAGAGUUGUUAUUUGAUUAACGGGAUCACAUCAUUAGGUGAAUGAUCUGAUUGACAUGACCCAUUCCAUUAGCUUAGCACCUGAUCGUUUAGUAUGUUGCUAUUGCUUUCUUCAUGACUUAUACAUGUUCCUAUGACUAUGAGAUUAUGCAACUCCCGUUUGCCAGAGGAACACUUUGUGUGCUACCAAACGUCACAACGUAACUGGGUGAUUAUAAAGGAGCUCUACAGGUGUCUCCAAAGGUACAUGUUGGGUUGGCGUAUUUCGAGAUUAGGAUUUGUCACUCCGAUUGUUGGAGAGGUAUCUCUGGGCCCUCUCGGUAAUGCACAUCACUUAAGCCUUGCAAGCAUUGCAACUAAUGAGUUAGUUGCGGGAUGAUGUAUUACAGAACGAGUAAAGAGACUUGCCGGUAACGAGAUUGAACUAGGUAUUGGAUACCGACGAUCGAAUCUCGGGCAAGUAACAUACCGAUGACAAAGGGAACAACGUAUGUUGUUAUGCGGUCUGACCGACAAAGAUCUUCGUAGAAUAUGUAGGAGCCAAUAUGGGCAUCCAGGUCCCGCUAUUGGUUAUUGACCAGAGACGUGUCUCGGUCAUGUCUACAUUGUUCUCGAACCCGUAGGGUCCGCACGCUUAAGGUUUUGAUGACAGUAAUAUUAUGAGUUUAUGAGUUUUGAUGUACCGAAGGAGUUCGGAGUCCCGGAUGAGAUCAGGGACAUGACGAGGAGUCUCGAAAUGGUUGAGACAUGAAGAUCGAUAUAUUGGACGACUAUAUUCGGACAUCGGAAAGGUUCCGAGUGAUUCGGGUAUUUUUCGGAGUACCGGGUAGUUACGGGAGAAGCAAUGGGCCUUGAUGGGCUUUAGUGGGAAGAGGAGAAAGGGCCAAGGGGCUGCUGCGCCCCCCCCCCCCUCCCCUCUGGUCCGAAUUGGACUAGGGAAAAGGGGGCCGGCCACCUCUCCUUCUCCUCCACUUCCUUCUUCCUUCCUCCCCUCUUGGUGGACUCCUACUAGGACUUGGAGUCCUAGUAGGACUCCACAUCCUGGCUGCACCAAUUGCCUUGGCCGGACUCCUCCUCCUCCAUCCUUUAUAUACUAAGGCAAGGGGCACCCCAUAGAGAAGUUGAUCCACGUGAUCUUAUUCUUAGCCGUGUGCGGCGCCCCCAGCCACCAUAGCCCUCGAUAAUAUUGUAGCGGUGCUUAGGCGAAGCCCUGCAGCAGUAGUGCAUCAAGACCGUCACCAUGCCGUCGUGCUGACAGAACUCUUCCCUGACACUUUGCUGGAUCGGAGUCCGGGGAUCGUCGUCGAGCUGAACGUGUGCUAGAACUCGGAGGUGCCGUAGUUUCGGUGCUUGAUCGGUUGGGCCGUGAAGACGUACGACUACAUCAACCAAACGCUUCCGUUGUCGAUAUACCAAGGGUACGUAGAUCACACUCUCCCCUCGUUGCUAUGCAUCACCAUGAUCUUGCGUGUGCGUAGGAAAAAUUUUGAAAUUACUACGUUCCCCAACAAUCACACUAUGGUGUUCCAGGAGGUAUUAGUUGUGAAACAAUUUCCACAAUGUCUUAAUUGUGUGCCAAACUCGUAACUCAGAUAUUCAUCUCUAUGAUCAUAUCAUAGACAUUUUAUCCUCUUGUCAUGACGAUCUUCAACUUCACUCUGAAAUUACUUAAACCUUUCAAUAAUUCAGACUUGUGUUUCAUCAAGUAAAUAUACUUAGCGUCUACUAAAAUCAUCUGUGAAGUAAGAACAUAACGAUAUCCACUAUGUGCCUCAACACUCAUUGGACUGCACACAUCAAAAUGUAUUACUUCCAACAAGUUGCUUUCUUGUUCCAUCUUACUGAAAACGAGGCCUUUCAGUCAUCUUGCCCAUGUGGUAUGAUUUGCAUGUCUCAAGUGAUUCAAAAUCAAGUGAGUCCAAACAAUCCAUCUGUAUGGAGUUUCUUCAUGCAUAUCUACCAAUAGACAUGGUUCGCAUGUCUCAAUUUUUUUCAAAAACGAGUGAGUCCAAAGAUCCAGCAACAUGGAGCUUCUUCAUGCGUUUUAUACCAAUAUGACUCAAAUGGCAGUGCCACAAGUAUGUGGUACUAUCAUUACUAUCUUAUAUCUUUUCGGCAUGAACAUGUGUAUCACUAUGAUCGAGAUUUAAUAAACCAUUCAUUUUAGGUGCAAGACCAUUGAAGGUAUUAUUCAAAUAAACAGAGUAACCAUUAUUCUCCUUAAAUGAAUAACCGUAUUGCAAUAAACAUAAUCCAAUCAUGUCUAUGCUCAACGCAAACACCAAAUAACAAUUAUUUAGGUUUAAUACUAAUCCCGAUGGUAGAGGGAGCGUACGAUGUUUGAUUACAUCAACCUUGGAAACACUUCCAACACAUAUCAUCAUCUCACCUUUAGCUAGUCUUUUUUUAUUCCGUAGCCUUUUAUUUCGAGUUACUAACACUUAGCAACCGAACCGGUAUCUAAUACCUUGGUGCUACUAGGAGUACUAGUAAAGUACACAUAUGUACAUCCAAUAUACUUCUUGUUGGGGAACGUAGUAAUUUCAAAAAAUUUCCUACGCACACGCAAGAUCAUGGUGAUGCAUAGCAACGAGAGGGGAGAGUGUCGCCUACAUACCCUUGUAGACCGAAAGCGGAAGCGUUAUAUCAACGCGGUUGAUGUAGUCGUACGUCUUCACGAUCUGACCGAUCCAAGCACCGUUACUCCGGUACCUCCGAGUUCUUGGCACACGUUCAGAUCAAUGACGAUCCCCGGGCUCCGAUCCAGCAAAGCGUCGGGGAGGAGUUCCGUCAGCACGACGGCAUGGUGACGAUCAUGAUGUUCUACCGUCGCAGGGCUUCGCCUAAGCACCGCUACAAUAUGACCGAGGUGGAAUAUGGUGGAGGGGGGCACCGCACACGGCUAAGGAACGAUCAUGAAGAUCAACUUGUGUGUCUAUGGGGUGCCCCCUGCCCCUGUAUAUAAAGGAGUGGAGGAGGGGAGAGCCGGCCCUCUCUAUGGCGCGCCCUAGGGGAGUCCUACUCCCACCGGGAGUAGGAUUCCCCCUUUCCUAGUCCAACUAGGAGUAGGAGACAAGGAAGGGGAAGGGAGAAGGGAAGGAAGGAGGGGGCGCAGCCCCUCCCCCUAGUCCAAUUCGGACUAGGCCUUGGGGGGGGCGCGGCCUGCCCUAGGCAGCCCCUCUAUCUUUCCCGUAUGGCCCAAUAAGGCCCAAUACUUCUCCCGGCGAAUUCCCGUAACUCUCCGGUACUCCGGAAAAUACCCGAAUCACUCGGAACCUUUCCGAAGUCCGAAUAUAGUCGUCCAAUAUAUUGAUCUUUAUGUCUCGACCAUUUCGAGACUCCUCGUCAUGUCCCCGAUCUCAUCCGGGACUCCGAACUCCUUCGGUACAUCAAAACUCAUAAACUCAUAAUAUAACUGUCAUCGAAACCUUAAGCGUGCGGACCCUACGGGUUCGAGAACAAUGUAGACAUGACCGAGACAUGUCUCUGGUCAAUAACCAAUAGCGGAACCUGGAUGCUCAUAUUGGCUCCUACAUAUUCUACGAAGAUCUUUAUCGGUCAGACCGCAUAACAACAUACGUUGUUCCCUUUGUCAUCGGUAUGUUACUUGCCAGAGAUUCGAUCGUCGGUAUCUCAAUACCUAGUUCAAUCUCGUUACCGGCAAGUCUCUUUACUCGUUCCGUAAUACAUCAUCUCGCAACUAACUCAUUAGUUGCAAUGCUUGCAAGGCUUAUGUGAUGUGCAUUACCGAGAGGGCCCAGAGAUACCUCUCCGACAUUCGGAGUGACAAAUCCUAAUCUCGAAAUACGCCAACCCAACAAGUACCUUCGGAGACACCUGUAGAGCACCUUUAUAAUCACCCAGUUACGUUGUGACAUUUGGUAGCACACAAAGUGUUCCUUCGGUAAACGGGAGUUGCAUAAUCUCAUAGUCAUAGGAACAUGUAUAAGUCAUGAAGAAAGCAAUAGCAACAUACUAAACGAUCGGGUGCUAAGCUAACGGAAUGGGUCAUGUCAAUCACAUCAUUCUCCUAAUGAUGUGAUCCCAUUAAUCAAAUGACAACUCAUGUCUAUGGCUAGGAAACUUAACCAUCUUUGAUCAACGAGCUAGUUAAGUAGAGGCAUACCAGUGACACUCUGUUUGUCUAUGUAUUCACACAUGUAUUAUGUUUCCGGUUAAUACAAUUCUAGCAUGAAUAAUAAACAUUUAUCAUGAAAUAAGGAAAUAAAUAAUAACUUUAUUAUUGCCUCUAGGGCAUAUUUCCUUCACUUCUGUCGACCUUGCCUGCCUUCUCAUCUACCAAGUAUCUAGGGUAGUUCUGCUUCAGUGACUGUUCCCCUUAUUACAGAAGCACUUAGUCUCGGGUUUGGGUUCAACCUUGGGUUUCUUCACUAGAGCUGUAACUGAUUUGCCGUUUCAUGAAGUAUCCCUUUCUUGCCCUUCUUGAAACUAGUGGUUUUACUAACCAUCAACAAUUAAUGCUCCUACUUGAUUUCUACUUUCGCGGUGUCAAACAUCGCGAAUAGCUCAAGGAUCAUCAUAUCUGUCCCUGAUAUGUUAUAGUUCUUCAUGAAGCUCUAGUAGCUUGGUGGCAGUGACUUUGGAGAACCAUCACUAUCUCAUCUGGAAGAUUAACUCCCACUCGAUUCAAGUGAUGGUAGUACUCAGACAAUCUGAGCACAUGCUCAACGAUUGAGCUUUUUCUCCCUUAGUUUGCAGGCUAAGAAACUUGUCGGAGGCCUCAUACCUCUUGUCAUGGGCACGAGCCUGAAAUCCCAAUUUCAGUUCUCAGAACAUCUCAUAUGUUCUGCGACAUUUCAAAAAAUGUCUUCGGCGCCUCAAUUCUAAACCGUUUAACAUUAUGCACUGAACUAUCAUGUAGUCAUCAAAACGUGUAUGUCAGAUGUUCGCAACAUCCACAACCGACGCUCGAGGUUCAGCUCACUGAGCGGUGCAUUAAGGACAUAAUCCUUCUGCGCAGCAAUGAGGACAAUCCUCAGUUUACUGACCCAGUCCGCAUAAUUGCUACAAUCAACUUUCAACUAAAUUUUCUCUAGGAACAUAUCUAAAACAGUAGAACUAAAGCAUAAGCUACGACAUAAUUUGCAAAGACCUUUUGACUAUGUUCAUGAUAAUUAAGUUCAUCUGAUUAUUUAAUGAACUCCCACUUAGAUAGACAUCCCUCUAGUCAUCUAAGUGAUACAUGAUCCGAGUCAACUAGGCCGUGUCCGAUCAUCACGUGAGACGGACUAGUCAUCAUCGGUGAACAUCUUCAUGUUGAUCGCAUCUACCAUACGACUCAUGUUCGACCUUUCGGUCUCUCGUGUUCCAAGGCCAUGUCUGUACAUGCUAGGCUCGUCAAGUCAACCUAAGUGUUUUGGAUGUGUAAAUCUGGCUUACACCCGUUGUAUGCGAACGUUAGAAUCUAUCAAACCCGAUCAUCACUUCGUGCUUCGAAACAACGAACCUUCGCAACGGUGCACAGUUAGGGGGAACACUUUCUUGAAAUUUUAGCGAGGAAUCAUCUUAUUUAUGCUACCGUCGCUCUAAGCAAAUAAGAUGUAAACAUGACAAACAUCACAUGCAAAUCAUAAAGUGACAUGAUAUGGCCAAUAUCAUCUUGCGCCUUUUGAUCUCCAUCUUCGAGGCACAGCAUGAUCACCUUCGUCACCGGCAUGACACCAUGAUCUCCAUCAUCAUGAUCUCCAUCCUCGUGUCUUCAUGAAGUUGUCUCGCCAACUAUUACUUCUACUAGUAUGGCUAACGGUUAGCAAUAAAGUAAAGUAAUUACAUGGCGUUUUUCAUUGACACGCAGGUCAUACAAUAAAUUAAGACAACUCCUAUGGCUCCUGCCGGCUGUCAUACUCAUCGACAUGCAAGUCGUGAUUCCUAUUACAAGAACAUGAUCAAUCUCAUACAUCACAUAUAUAUAAUUCUUCACAUCCUUUUGGCCAUAUCACAUCACAUAGCAUACCCUGCAAAAACAAGUUAGACGUCCUCUAAUUGUUGUUGCAUGUUUUACGUGGCUGCUAUGGGUUUCUAGCAAGAACGUUUCUUACCUACGCAAAAGCCACAACGGUGAUAUGCCAAUUGCUAUUUACCCCUCAUAAGGACCCUCUUCAUCGAAUCCGAUCCGACUAAAGUGGGAGAGACAGACACCCGCUAGCCACCUUAUGCAUCAAGUGCAUGUCAGUCGGUGGAACCUGUCUCACGUAAGUGUACGUGUAAGGUCGGUCCGGGCCGAUUCAUCCCACAAUGUCGCCGAAUCAAGAUAAGACUAGUAACGGCAAGCAAAUUGAACAAAUCAUCGCCCACAACUACUUUGUGUUCUACUCGUGCAUAGAAUCUACGCAUAGACCUAGCUCAUGAUGCCACUGUUGGGGAACGUAGCAAUAAUUCAAAAUUUUCCUACAUGUCACCAAGAUCAAUCUAGGAGAUGCUAGCAACGAGAGAGAGGGAGUGCAUCUUCAUACCCUUGAAGAUCGCUAAGCGAAAGCAUUACAAGAACGCGGUUGAUGGAGUCGUACUCGCGGCGAUUCAAAUCGCGUAAGAUCCGAUCUAGCGCCGAACGGACGGCGCCUCCGCGUUCAACACACGUACAGCGCGGGGACGUCUCCUCCUUCUUGAUCCAGCAAGGGGAGAGGAGAAGUUGAGGGAGAACUCCAGCAGCACGACGGCAUGGUGGCGAUGGAGCUCGUGGUUCUCCAGCAGGGUUUCGCCAAGCACUACGGAGGAGGAGGAGUAGUUGGAGGAGGGAGGGCUGAGCCAGGGAAGAGUUGCAGCUAGUUGCGGCUGCCCUCCCACCCCUCCACUAUAUAUAGGGGCAAGGGGAGAGGGGGAGGCGCCCUAGGGUUUCCCCUAGGGGGCGGCGGCCAAGCAGAUUGGAUCUCCCUAAGGGAAAUCCUAGGGAGACUUGCCCCCCAAGCCAAGCAGGUGGAGGCUUGCCUCCCAAGCCAGGUGGAGGCGCCCCACCUCCCCAAGUAACGUGGGAAAGGUUGUGGGGGGUGCACCACCCCUUAGUGGGCUGGUUUGCCCGUUCCCCUUUGGCCCAUGAGUCCUUCCAACACUUGUCGGGGCUCCCGAAACACCUUUCGGUCAUGCUGGCCAUAGCAUGGUACCCCCAGAACACUUCCGGACUCCAAUACCCUUCGUCCAAUAUAUCAAUCUUCACCGCCGGACCAUUUCGGAACUCCUCGUGACAUCCGGGGUCUCAUCCGGGACUCCGAACUACCUUCGGUAACCACAUACUAUUUCCCAUAACAACUCUAGUGUCACCGAACCUUAAGUGUGUAGACCCUACGGGUUCGGGAACCAUGCAGACAUGACCGAGACAUCUCUCCGGCCAAUAACCAAUAGCGGGAUCUGGAUACCCAUAUUGGCUCCCACAUGUUCCAUGAUGAUCUCAUUGGAUGAACCACGAUGUCGGGGAUUCGAUCAAUCCUGUAUUCAAUUCCCUUUGUUAAUCGGUAUGUUACUUGCCCGAGAUUCGAUCGUCGGUAUCCCAAUACCUCGUUCAAUCUCGUUACCAGCAAGUCACUUUACUCGUUCCGUAAUGCAUGAUCCCAUGACUAACUGCUUAGUCACAUCGAGCUCAUUAUGAUGAUGCAUUACCGAGUGGGCCCAGAGAUUCCUCUCCGUCAUACGGAGUGACAAAUCCCAGUCUCGAUUCGUACCAACCCAACAGACACUUUCAGAGAUACCUGUAGUGCACCUUUAUAGCCACCCAGUUACGUUGUGACGUUUGGUACACCCAAAGCAUUCCUACGGUAUCCGGGAGUUGCACAAUCUCAUGGUCUAAGGAAAUGAUACUUGACAUUAGAAAAGCUUUUAGCAAACGAACUACACGAUCUUGUGCUAUGCUUAGGAUUGGGUCUUGUCCAUCACAUCAUUCUCCUAAUGAUGUGAUCCCGUUAUCAAUGACAUCUAAUGUCCAUGGUCAGGAAACCAUAACCAUCUAUUGAUCAACGAGCUAGUCAACUAGAGGCUCACUAGGGACAUGUUGUGGUCUAUGUAUUCACACAUGUAUUACGGUUUCCAGUUAAUACAAUUAUAGCAUGAACAAUAGACAAUUAUCAUGAACAAGGAAAUACAAUAAUAACCAUUUUAUUAUUGCCUCUAGGGCAUAUUUCCAACAGUGAAAUCCUGUAAUGCUUACCAUGUGUACAUACCUAUAUUCGCCCUUCAGCAAUCAAUGGCUAGAAUAAUAUCCUCACAAAAAUUUUGCCGACAGAACACGAGUAUAUAACAAUGCAUGGUCUGUUAGUUACCUUGAAGAAUUUGUUUGUGAGGACAGAACAUGAUUCCAUAACAUGCAUGACAUGGUAGUUUCCUGUGAAGAAUCGAUUGCGAGAUAACAUGAGUAUAACCAUGCAUGGCACUUCUAUAUUUUCGAACCCAGUAUACAUUUCCCCGUACUUUCCUCCCAGUUCCAACAGGGACACAUCAAUGAUGUUUUCUUGCAUUAUCCUACUCAUACUCUGAACAAUGCUGAUCUUACAUUAACAAUGCCUGUCCUUUUUGAUAUGAUGCAGUGUCCCUACAGUUACUGCCCUUUGUAAUCACACCACCUUUGCCAAGAACAGGGAAGCACAACUGGUUCCUCGCUCGAUCAGACGAUGACAAAAGACUGAUGAUCAUUCGGACACAUGAGCCGGAAAAGUUAUAUUGCAAAAACCCCACUAUAUACAAGCAUCGUGAAAUACGUGAGUAUCCGGACAGUGGUUGUUACGUCUAUGAGCAGGAUACUAGCUUGUUGGGGCCUUCAGGAUUUUUUAGUUGGAGGCGGGUAAAUAGCCUUGGUUCACACUCUUUGUUUCUCGGACUCAAUUAUCCGAUUAACCAGGAGAUCACCGUUGGCAACGACCUUGAUGGCAGAGAGGCUUUGUUUGCUAUGGAAAAUUGUGUCUACACGGUGAGCCCUAGGAGUUCGGGAGCAAACUCCCCUGAUUGUCAAUGAUACAGCCUGCAGGCAAAAGAAGGUGAGAAUGACAAAGGCAUCUAGAUUAACUUUGAUCCUUGGAUGUGUCACUUACGACGGGCAGUGAUGUGGUUCAAGCCUUCAGGUUGAUAGGUAAUUGGGUUGUUGCGUCGAAAGGGUGGAGUACUGGUGUCUCUGGAUCAUUGGUCGCUGAAGCGGGGCUGCAAAUUAUGAUGGUGUUGGAUCAUCUCUUCGAAUGACUUUGUUGUCUUUGCUGCUUGUUCUGGAUGGGUAGUUCUUUCUUUUGUUAUGCAUAUUCCUUGUCAUUUGGUCAUCCUCGUCUAUGUCACUCUUACUAUGUAAUAGUUGGGUCUAUUUAGAAUGUCAUUCUCGUCUGGAUCACGAGAGUCUGAGCGCUGCAGAUGGGUGCGUUUUGGUGGUGUAGCAAGACUUCUUAUGAACUAUCAUGUCUUGUUGUUUAUGUCAGUAGUAGUCACUAGGUAGUGUUUGAAUGUUGUAUAUACCGUUGUUUCGAAUUGUUUAUUGUCUUGAACUACUGGUGGGCUAAAUGAGGGCAUCACCAUUCUCCAGUGUUCAAAGUGUAUCUCCUUUUUUCAAAUUAUAUAAUUUGAGCUUAGUGUCUUUUCGAUGAUGUACACUUGUUUGGGCCAGUGAGGUGUCAUUGAAUAUGGGCCGAGUAGUAAUGCAAGCCAAACAGCUCAAUUAUGACUCUCAGGCCGGGCUCUCAAAAGAUCCUAAAAAUAAGGCUGGGCUCUCCAAAAAAGAAAGAAUAAGGACUCUUAGGCCGACAUGUGGGCACCACCGGUGUUUUCAUGCGCUUGCACGCCGAGAGCAUAUUGGUGCGUGUUUGAAAUUCAAGCUACCUUUUCAUCCCCAAUCUCCUGCCCCUCCCCCACCUCUGGAAUCUCGAUUCCUACUCCAGUUCCCCCAAGUCCCCCUCCUGUACUCCCUGUACUCAAGCUCACUAUCAUGUCGCCGGUCAACGCGGAUCUCUGAGCCAGAGAUCCUAAGGUCUGUCCUGCCUUCGAUCGCUACGUGCUACCGCUCAACAGUGGCAUGGCGGCGCUUGACGACUAGUUUGUCGGCAAAGUGCUGAUGGUAACCAUCAACGGCGACCGACCUCCCGUCUCGCCGGACGACCUUGUCAAAGCUCUUGGCAUUGUGCACGGCAUCCAAAAAAGUGACAUGCUCAUCGAAGUCUGUCCGCCACCGGCUGAUUUCUUUGUCAGGUUCCGGACAACUUUCGACUGCAGUCGUGUGUUCGAAUCUUCCCGACGUUUGUUCUGCAAUGGCGCGCUGGUGAGCUUUGAUCGGUGGUACCCAGGAUGGGGCUCGGUGCCCUCUGAGCUUGAGUUUUUAACAAAGCUUACCUUCCACGGCAUGCCUCGACGUGCUUGGAACAGCGAGUCCAUGAAUGAGCUUAUCAACGAACUUGGAGGUGAGCUCGUAAGUAUGUUUGUUCCUCCAGACAGCUGGGCUCUGACGGUUAUGGCAUGGAUGAAGAAGCCAUCCACCAUACCGAAGGUGAUUGGUGUUGAGAUACCGGUGCAAGAACCGGGGUUGUACUAUUCGUCGCCACCAAGGCCGUCGCGGACCACAUUAGGGAUGUACCUGUAUCGAGUGUUCGUGCAUGUCAAAGAAGUGGUCAAUCCAUCAAUCGAAGUCCUGCCACCGCCACUGGUGCCAGGGUCCGUCGACGACGUCCAUUACAGGAGUCAACGUCAGACUUUCCCCGUGUUGCUCGGAACGAUCCAUCGUGUGGCGGAGGCCAAGAAGAGGCAGGGCUGGCUGUCUCGAUGUGCUCUAAUUUGAGGUAACAACUGAAUAUUGUCAGAUACUAGUUAAAUCCGAGCUAUGGGUGUGAAGCACUGAUGUGCCAGUACAUUUGAUUGUGACCUGUUCUAAUUUUGUACCUGAACUUUUUUUAGAAAGGGUUGUACGUCAACUUAAUGUGCUAGCAGAACUUAUUGUGUUGUCUGUCUAUUUUCUUUGCACAUCAUUCAAGAUAUUUCCCUCUCAUUGAUAAAGAAGACGAACCGUUAUGUACGAGUUCGUUGGUUUCAACAUAGCCCUACCCGUAGCGAUCCACUGCUUCCAUCCUGAUUGUGCCGCCUACGUGAAAUUUUUGUAUGCAAGUGAAGUGUGCUAUGAUGUUCUAUAUGAUUACGUCAACUAUAUAAGUUUUUACUGAGCAUCAGCAAUGCAUAUGGCUGAAAGAUGUAUUUACGAGCAUCGACCGAUGGGUCUCUCUCUCUCACACACACACACGCACACACGCACACACGCACAAGUGGGACCCGUUGAAUUAUUUCUUUACUCGUGACAGCUUUUAAUUAGGUUCCACUGUAAUCUAACUUUUUUCUUAAGUUAUUAAUUGAACUCAGUGACUUCAAAAAGUUGUAUAGAAGCCUUCUUUGGGCCUUUUCGGCAUUGCUGAAUAUGGGCUGAGUAGCCAUAUUAGGUUGUACUAUACUACACAUGCCUUUUUUCAACAUCAGCAAUGCAACUGGGCACAAUAUCCGGGUCAACUUGUUAUUCUCCGCCCGCUGGGCUGCAAACUUUCCUAGGAGGUAUGCAUUAGGCUUAACAAGAAAAUGGACUUUAAGAAAUAAUAAAUGAGAUAUAAUUAUAAUAACUGGGCAGUAACUAUAAAAAGAUGCAAUAAAAGCGUAAUUAGUUUAAAAAAUAUAUUAUUUUCGGAAUUUGGAAAUUUUAAUUUCAUUAUUUGUUGCGCGCGCAAUAUUUCGUUGGAUUUUAACGUAAUACAACUUUAUUUUGAAAUUAUAUUUAAUCUGACUAGAAAUUUCAGAUAAAAUAUUUGGGAUCCCAUAAAAAUGUGGGAUUUUUUUUAAUUCUGUUUUGAGCGGUUGGUUGAAAUUAUUAAUCGUUGUCCUAGCUAGAAAAUGGGCUGUACUUUUAACAAACUAUAAAUGGGUUGUAGUAAAUUCCAUUAGAAUUAAAAAAUGGGUUGUACAUUCUUACAAAUCGCAAAUGGGCUAUAUGUUCUCUGCCACACACUUGUGGGCCUUCUAAGUUGACGCGUCCCCUAAAAAACUAAGUUGACGCGUAUGCAAGGCUUUGUCAACAACACACGGUUCUGGCAGCUGUGGCUGUUGGAUGUCCAUCCAACGGAUGUCGUGCUUCUUCUUCAAUCUCGGAUAUUCUUACUUCAACCGCCCAAAAAAAGAUUCCUCCCCCUGACAUCUGGGGCACACCAUUUCGGAGGCUGACCUGUGGGCCUACUAAGUUGAUGCAUACCAAGGGCUUUGUCAACUUAGUCAAUAUAAGCGAUUCUAGCUGCAGUGACCGUAUGAUGUCCAUCCAACGGCCGUAGUGCUUCUUCAACCUCCAGUCUUCUUGCUCCAGCUGCCCAAAGCAGCGCUGGUCGUGUCGCGUGCUCCUGCCUCUCAUGGCCGACUGUGAUGCCGCGGAGGCCUCACCGCCCCCUACUACUCCCACUGCUGGCCAGGCCAUCCCUCUACUUACCCACACCCCCUGUUAUUCCACGGCGACGACAGCCUCACACCGCAGCCGAACCAGUGAACCCUCGUACUCCUCUCCGUGCGGGCUUCCACUGCCGCGUCUUCCCUGGCUAUGCAUCGUCCCCUUCCUAAGCCUCGCCGUCGUCCAUCGCCCUGGUGCUCUCUGUGCGGCAUGGUCAACGUGGUCAAGGAACGGCUUCCAUCGGACGUGGAUUGCAUGUGGAGAGGCUGACAGCUGGGUCCACGGCCGCAGCUAGGAAGUGCCUCCUUAUUACGCGCAAAAUAAUUAUUCCUCCACCUGACAGUGGGGACCCACCGGACGGGCCACCGUAUUUCAUGAAAAAAAAACAUUUCCCCCUGACUGCUGUGACCCAUCAGCUACAUCUUCGCAUGCAAGGAAGUGCAUCCGGGCAAAAAAAAUGAUUCGCCCCCCUGACUGCUGGGACCCACCAGCUACAUGUUCGCAGGCAAGGAAGUGUCUGACAGUCGGGACCCACCUGGUCGAGGCGUACAUAGCAUUGUCAUUCUGGUCGCAAACGUGUACGUACAUACUGGUCGAUGUAGAGGCGCGCACGUACUACAUACAGCAGCCAGUGUGCAAGAAAGAAAAUACGGUCACGUACAUACAUAUGGGUAGGGUCUCGAACGCCUACUCGCACAUACGUACGGCCAGGGCUCGUGUACAUGGCUGGGUCGGAACGGAGAAAUAGCAUCAUCGUCGUGUUCAUGGGGAGCCAACCGGCUGGGUCGGAACGGAAUGCGUCGUCAUGUUCAUCGGGCGGGCUUGGACGGAACAGCCGAUGGAAACGAGGCCUGGUGUACCGCAGAACGGAGGAAACGGCCUUGUGUUCGACCAUCCACGUUCGAAACGGGAUCCUGUUCAUCGGGAGGGGGUCUGGCGUACCGCAAAACGGAGGAAACGAACCUCCUACGGUCGAAAUGGGGGUCCUGUUGAUCGGGAGGGGUGUGGCGUACUGCAAAACGGAGGAAACGGACUUGUGUUGGAGCGCUACGGUCGAAACGAGGAACCUGUUCAUCGGGAGGGGUGUGGCUUACCGCAAAACAGGACUCCACGGGAUACUGUUCAUCUCCACCGUCGACCCCCUCCAGCCUCCACGGGCUAUUGUUCAUCAAUUGUCGACCUCCUCCAGCCUCCACCUACGACUGUUCAUCCACGGGCUCCUGUUCAUCCAGCCUCCACCGCGCGCUACUCCACCGGCUACUGUUCAACUAGCCCUCUCCACGGGCUCCUGUUCAACCACCCCUCCAUGGGCUACUGCUCAUCCUGCCCUCCACCGUCUGCUGUUCAUCCUGCCCUCCACGGGGUGGACAUGUUCAUCCUGCCCUCCACGGGGUCAUGUUCAUCCAGCCCCAACUGGCUCGAACGAUCGAGGUCCUGUUCAUCCACCCCCACUGGGAACUAUUCACCCAAACCCCCCCAGCAACGCUCACUGUUCAUCCAGAGGCAACGCCACAAGGUCCUGUUCAUCCACCCCCAUCGGGAACUGUUCAUCCAACCGCCCCCCCCCCCAGCAAUGCUCACUGUUCAUCCAAAGGCAGCGUCGAUCAGCUUUAGUUAGAGCAGUAGCGAAGGAAUCACUCGAUCGGGUUCAGUUAACAGCCAUCAAUCGAUCGCUCAGGUUCAGUAACGCGUAGCCUGCAGUGCAAUCGCUCAGGUUCAAUUACAGCCCAACGCCUCGCUCGGGUUCAGUUAGAGCCCAACGCCUCGCACACACGCGCGUACGUACGAGAGAAACGCGCAUCGCUCGGCCCCCGACCACCCACCGUAACCGGGGACUCCCCGAUAUUUUCCACGCCCUCGCUUCUACCACGGUUUUUUCCGUCAUAAGAAUGUCAUGCAGCUGCGUCUCCGGCCCGCCCAGGACAAAAAGCCCAUUUUCUGUCAUGAUUUUUUGUCAUGGAAGUAGGACCCCACCACAUCUAUGAUGAUACUGUGACGCCCCCGAUUCAAUCGUACACUAAUCAU
rnacentral:lncRNA from 1 species